CUUUCACAAUAUCUUUGGCGAUAUUUUCUUCAUCAGUACGAUCAACUCUGCCAUUGUACUCCAAGGAAAGUUCAGGCUGAGGACUCGAGUGGUGUUCCAGCCUCAUAAUAAGAGGCACUCUCGUGCAGAUGCCUUGGCCCCGAGGUAGGCUGAUGCCGGCCAAGGAUUCGAGCACGCUAGACUUCCCGGAUGACUGGUCUCCGACCACCACAAUCGUUGGCAGCUGAAUGCCUUCAUCCAUCACCUUCAAGCUGCGUAACUUGUCUACCGCAUCCAGAAGAGGGCGGAUCUUGUCGUUAUAGGACGACACAAUGGGUGCGCAUUUGAGAGGUACUACGUCUAGUCCUGCCUGAACCAUUGCGAGUGAGCCUUCACCGUUUAAGACUGUGUAACUCGAUUCCAUUUACCUUCGUCCUUCCGUUUCUGAAUUAUAGGAUGUCGAAACAAUGGUGAAAAUCCAGAGGGAAACCGAGAUUACUUGUCAGAGAAGAUAUCAGUCAGGAAGAAGUGAGAAAGCUGGUUUUAGUAAGUGCCUUAAGGUUAAAGGCUCCUAGUUGUAUGUAUAAUUGUUCAGCAAAACCUAUCGAAGUAAAUGACAACCAGCCGUUUCAAAGGCUCCUAGUAGUAUGUAUAAUUGUUUAGCAUUUUGAAGAUGCUACAUGAAAUGUCGUUUUUAGCCCUUUCCUUUAUCUUUUUUAUUUUUUUUCCCGCGUGUUGCUCGGCUUUGCCGUUUUGCCUUUUUUAUUCUAGGUAUUUAUUUCCUUUUUCUCUCUUGACUUCCCCUCGCACACUUCCAUGCAAUCCCUGUCGCCAUUGUGGCACAAAACACAAUAAAAAAUUAUAAAUAAAUUAGAUGCAUUCGCAAAAUAAUUAUUAAAAAUUUUGAGAAGCCCACCUGUCUUCCAUUGCUUUGCCUUUUGGUUAUUUUAUUUUUUGGUUUUGCUGUUUUUUUUGUCUUCCACGCCGAGCCUGCAAUGGUUUGUGGCAAACAACACAUAGGGGGUGGGUUCAAAAAACCGAAAACCGAAAAAAAUCGAAAAUCAAACCGAAUCGAAACCGAACCGAACAAAAAAACCGAACCGAAUUGAAAAAACCGAACCGAACCGAAUUAAUUAAAUUAAUAUUUUUUUAAAUUUUAUUUAUUUAAUUAUUUGUUUUGGGUAUUGUUUUUUAAACCCAAUUUGUAAUAUUUUUAAACCCAAUUUUAUUUGUUUUGGAUAUUAUUUUUUAAACCCAAGUUGUAAGCCCAAUGUGUUACCAAAUACUUACUACCCUUUUCUCAUUUUUCUCACACUCCAAUUUUACUUCUAAUUAUUUAUGGUUUGUUUGUUUCAUCACUAAACCAGUUGCUUUCCAUUUGUCUCUUGAUCAAUCAUGUUCUUCUUUGUUUGUCUUUUUAUUGUUUGAAUUGAAAUUAUGAGUGAUUUGGAGUAAUAAUCAUAGGGUAAUCAAAUUUACUUGUACAACUUCUCUCUCUUUGCACUCCAGUCCAUUUACUUUCAUAUCUCUGCUGAGUAAAAAUUGAGGGGGAGAGAGAGAGUUAAACAUUUUAAAUUUUAUUUUUUGUUGCUUGACUUUGUAAAAGACUGAAACUUUCACUGCAUUCUCUUAGAAAACUAAACAUACUAUUGGAUUUGAUGGUUGUUUGUGAUUUGGGUUUUACUGCUUUGUUUGCCCUUUAUUAAUAAUCAUGUAAUGUUUGAGUGAUCUAUUUUGCUCAAAAGUUUUAGGACUUUCCUUGAUAUUUUUUAAGAAACCAAACAAGGAUUAACCCUAUGUAUACUUUGUUUGUUUGCUUGAUGUGAAAAAAAAAUAUCCAAAACAAAUAAUUAAAUAAAUAAUACUGAGAAAAAGAGAAUUUAAAAUAUCAUUACUUUUUAAACCCAAUUUCUCAAGAACCAAACAAAGAUUAACCCUGUGUAUACUUUGUUUUUUUUUAAAAACCCAACCAUGAUGUAAAAAAAACCGAAACCGAACCGGAAAAAACCAAACCGAAAAAAAAAUAAACCGAACCGAAAUUUCGGUUCGGUUUCGGUUUUGGCAAAAAACUGAACCCACCCCUAACAACACGUAUAAAAAAAAUUAUUUGCCCAAAAAAAAAGAUUACAUGGACAAAACAAUUAUUAAAAAUUGAGAUAUUUGUCCCCUUUUUCUCUCCUGACUUCCCCUGCUUCCCUGCAUUCUUGCCAUGUCGCCUGUUGCAGGGAGAAGGUGAGAAUUGGUUGUGCCACGUGUUGGUGAUCAUGUUGUUUACUUUUUGGGGUUUAUAUUGGUGGAGGCACAUUCUCUGCCUUCUUAAUUUCGGUGUCCUCCUGUUUUGUGUGGUCACGGUUAAAUCAUUUCAACAUUUUAUAUUAUUUUUUAAUAGAGAUAAUAAGACAAAAAAGAAUAGUAAUAUAUAAUGUUGAUCUGACUUAACCUUGACCACACAAACAGGAGGGCACGGGAGAGCACUGAAAUUGGGAGGGCAGAAAAUCUGCCUCCUAUAUUGGUUCAUUUUAGUACCGUUUGGUACGCAGACGGGACGAAAGGGAACAAGACGGGAUGAGACGGGACGAAACAGUGGUUCCAUGUUAUAUUUGGUAUGUACAGGACAGAACGGGAAAGUUGUUCCGUUGUGGGUUUGGUAAGCGCAAGACGGAACGGAACCAAAAGAAUAAAAUGAUUAACUUACCCCUGUUUCGUCUGUUGUUUGGUACAAUAUUUAGGCUUGGUAUGGGACGGAACAAUUUCAUUAUUUUUUCACCUUCUUGCUGCUGCUUAUCUAUGAUAUAUUUUGUACACUAUACUUGGAUGUGUUCAUAUUUCAUACCGUGUAUAACAGAAAACAAGAGACAUGUAUUUGUACUUUAUGUUGCUCAUAUAAUUAAUUUAGUGGGAUAAUACGUCAAUUAAUUUUAUGUGAUUUAAAAAAAUAAUAUGGUGAGAGCAUGCCAUUGGCUUGGCACUUUGGAACAUGGCAGUGUAGCCACAAUAUGUAUAUGUGAUGAAUUACAUAUGAAAAGGUUGGUGUGGUAGAACAACCGUUGAUGCAAUGGCUAUGUUGGAAUCUUUGACACAAUCUGCUUUCAUCUCUUCAUCAUCACAUUGAAAUGCAAAUUGUGUCAAACAAUAUGUAUAUUAUAAGUUGAGAUGUGAGUCAAUUGGAUGUCUAUGGCAAUGGUUGUCAUGCAAGGAUGAAAAAUAUAGAAGUUUAAUGAUAUUAUCUUGCUAAAGCAAUAAACAUGAAAUAUCCAGAGCUUAAACAUGAAAUCCCAAAUUAAACAUUCAUCUUGACUUAAAGAAAAAAGAAAAGAAAGAUAAUGUCUUACUAAACCCCAGAAGUUGAUAUAGUUCAUUCAUAUCAUACUAAACCCCCUAAUGCUCAGAUGUCAUCCAUAAAUAUUUUAAUGAAAUCUGCCUUGUGAGAGUCAUCCAGGGUACACCAAAUACUCAACAUAUCAGUAUUUUUCACUAAUUUUUAUUGAAAUUUUCAGCACUUGAUCAUAUGGGAGACCCAUGGCCUGAACUCGAUACAAAAAAUUUAGUCUCAUAUUCAUCUAUACCUUCACAUGAAAAAAAAACACAUGAAUGAAUGGAGCAUCAACAUACGUGGGAUUCAAUUACAAGCAUAUGAUUAAAUGGUAAAACAAAGUGGAGCUUCAUAUCCUAAUUGCAAUUCUUAAAGUGGAGCAUCAACUUUGUCAUGCACUGAAAAUCUGAGUGAUACCAUAUGAGGAUUCGAGUAAUGCUAUAUGACCCAAAUGCAGUUCAGUCUACAUUAUUAAAAGAUGGCAGUCCGAACAACAAGAAUGUACCAGCUUUAACAAUGACUUCUAAGUUUUGCAUAUGCUGAAGUUAAGAAUAUUCAAGCAUCAAAUAUGGCAGUCUGAACUCAAUACACUAUAAGACCUUACAUAAAUAGGUGACUACAUUAUUAAAACAUACCAGCAGUACUGCAAUAAAUAGUGAGCCAUACUAUUAACGAUCAUUUAUGACACGCCCCGAUCCCGAUGUCCUGUAGACAUCGAGAUGGUCACGUGUUGGCCGACACCCGAGGGGUGACGUAAGCCAUUCGAUUAAAGUAAAAACCCAUAAAAUGCUCACAAGCAUGAAUAAUAUAGCUCAAACCAUAGCAAUUAAACGUAAAGCAGCAGAAACAUAAUUACAUUAAAAUAAUAUUCAACUGCCAACACAAAACAAAACAAGAUACAACAAACCCUGUCCAGAGCAUACGUCUAAUAUAGAUUACAAAAGAAAGAAUAUAAAUUGAAUAACAAAAGGAGUGGAUCCUACAAUGAGAGGACUCAAAGAUGCCAAUGCAGAAGUGUCUUAACGCCGGGAUUGUAUGCCUCGAAUCUAAGCCCUAAAGGGGGCGCAAAACAAAGGUGAGUGGACCAAUUUGAUAUACAUAUAAGAAACAAUUAUCAACAUACUAUCCCGCAGGUUUUAUGAAAACUCAUAUAUAUCAUGAUAAACAUAGGUUUAUCGAAACCUAGAAUGUCGUGCAAUAUUUCAAUUCAUAACUCGCCAUGCAAUGUCUCAAUUCAUAACUCGUCGUACAAUAUCUCAAUUCAUGAUUUGCAUAUAAUAAUCACUAGUGUCAAAUGUUCACAUAUAUCCCUCCUGGCCCUAUGCCAUCUCCCCGUCCCUGAGCAUACAGUUAGAGGAAAAUAUCGCUUCAGGCCCUAUGCCAGCUCCCCGUCCAUGUGCUAAAUAGCCAGAGGAAACACACUCCAGGCCCUAUACCAACUCCUCCGUCGCUUGGGAUGGACCGGAAUCUAUCUCUCAUCCCGUAGCGGAAAUUGGGACCACUAGGUAAUAUAGAACCAUUGCACAUACAUCUCAUAAACAUUCUCAUAAACUCAUGCUUCUCAUGUAUGCAUUUCUACUAAUAAAACAUGCAUUUUUAGAAAGGGGUCACUCACAGUACUUCGCCGUCGAAAGCCGCGCUGCUAGCGAAGAAACAGUGCCACAAUAUAUGCACUUAAGCACAUAAAGGGUUCAACACAGUCAAACUCUAUUCAGAUGAUUUAAUUUAGGAAAACAGACUUAAAAAACGGAUCUAAGACGUCGAAAUUAACCUACGAGGGAAAUUAACCUACGAGGGGUCCUGAACGAAAUCCAAAAAGUCAACUCAGAACAGUCAACGAUCAACGGGUCAAAGUCAACGGGUCGGGUCAACCGAGUUUUGGAUUGGAUUUGGAUCUGGGUAUAGGGUUUGGGUUUUUGGGUCACGGGCCAGAGGCCCUAAUUGAAGGAACCCAAAAGGGUUCCCUGGGUUUGGGUUACACGGGCCAAAGGCCCUGGUCUUCUCGGCCCAAGGCUUUAAGCCUAGGGUUUGGGUUUUAGCUGCCAAGGCCCUAAGGGCUUUUGGGUUUCGAAUUGAACGGGCCGAAGGCCCCAACUAAAAUAAAAAAAUGUAACGAGCUAGGGAACUGGGUCUGCUAGCAAUGGGCCUAAUGCCCAAAAUAAAAUGGCCCAAAGGCCUUGUGAAUUAACAAGCAAAAUAAUUAAAAUAUAAAUAAAAGAAAAUGGGCUGGGUUUGCAACGGGCCUAAGGCCUGAGGGGGUUUGGGUCGGUCCGAAGGCCUGGGUGCGCCGGGGGAAAAACCAGAGGACACCGAAGCUGCUACAGCUCUGGCUGACUACAAACGGAGGUCUAGUGCUCCAAUCUAGCUACCAAAAUGGAGUACAAGAAGAGGGGAGUACUUUGGUACCUUCAAAUCGAAUUGAAUUGACCGGAUUUGCUCAGAAAAGUCCACGGCGCUCACAGGUUCGUCGGAGAAAUGGGUGUGCUCACCCCGUGUGUCGAUCUCGACCUAAACCUCAGAAAAAUCAUGAAAGUCACUUCCAAUUUCUCAAUCAAACACAAUUUAACCCUGAGUGAGAACGAUCGGAGGCUUACCUAGCCGGAAAAAAAGAAGAUUCGCCGGAGGUUUCCUGUGUUGUUUUUCCUUCGUGCGUGCGUGCGUGUUCACGGGAGGGAUGCGAGGGAUACGGGAGAGAGAUGAGAGAUUUAGUUUCGAGAAAGACUGAGGGAAUACAGAGAGAAAGAGAGAUGAUAGGGAUAGGUGAUGUGGGAAAUGGAGGACAUAAUCAGGGUGGGCCCCUUGGGCUUACCAUUUAAGGCCCAAAACAAUAUUUUAUAAAAAGAAGGAGGGUGGGGUGUAACAAUUUAGCUUAUUAUCCCCCACUCAAGACAGGGCCAGGCCAUUAUUAUUAACAGUUUGAGGUUAAAUACAAAAAUCCUACGUAUUCGUCCGAUCAAUCUGUGGGAGAAGAAAUUUCAAGAUAGGAAGAUAAUAUCUUUCCUUGCUAUAAAAAAACUUCAUUUAUUUCUAAAAGCCAGUGGUAGAAUAACUAUCAACUUGGGGCCACAUCACACAUACACGGUACAACAUUGGUCUCUCUUUAACCUUUGUUAUAAAAACGCAUCUAAGGUCAUUAAAACAAUUCAAACAUGCUCCUUCCACUAACUGAACAACCAAAGAAUGCUGUUCUUCACUAGACAUACUGAUCAACUAUAACAAAACUCACGAUGAUAAGUAAUAGGUACGGUGAAUACAAUCAAAUAAAAUAUGUUGCAAGAUGUAGAACUUUGCAGAAAUAUUAAUGUAAAGAAAGAACAAAAAAUAUUCGAGGCAAACAAGUUACUCGUCCCUAAGAAAAACCCUCAAAUUACUUGAUUCUUCCAACAUAGAAUCCAAUCCAACAUAGGAAAAUCCUAAACAUGUAACCCAAUCCAAUCCAACAGAACCCAAAGACAUCAGAUUUAUAGAUUUUAGCACAUAAAAAAUGAAACUUGAACACUAGAAAACCAGAUAGAGAGAUACCUCUGAAUGUAGUACUGCUCAAUAGGGGGAGUGGAAUGAGAUAAACAGAGGCGGAUCUUUGGUUUCAGAUGCAGUAUUGGGUAGAUCGAAGCACUACAAAAUACAAAGAAAAAAAAAAAAAAAGCAAAUCAGAAAAGAAUACAAAGAAAUCGAAGCACUAAAAAAUACAAAGAAUUUCAGCAGAAUUAGGAACUGGGUGUUAAUGAAAUCGAAGCAAGCAAAUCAGAAAAGAAUAAUAAUGCCACUUCAAGCAACAGCAAACACCAAACCAAGAGAGAAAGUACUACAAAAUACAAAGAAAGAGAGAUCGAGAGACUACACAAUCACUAUCAGAUUGAACCUGGAACGGAGAUGCAGAGCUGAAAGUUCACAGAGAAGCUACAUGGAAAAGGAUGAGGAGGAAGGUUGCGAAGGGGAGAUGCAGGAGGAUGAAUAAGUUCACAGCGACAGAGAGAAGAGAAAUGAUAGUUAGGGUUUGUCGUAUGAUAUAGAUGGUGUAAAUAUUGAAAAAGCUAAGGGGUAUUUUUGCCUUAAAAUUUUAUGAUUUUUGUGUUCCACGUGAUGGAACAACCCGUUCCCGGGGGAGAGGGGAGGUGGCACCAAAAUUUAACCCAUUUUCUUUCCGUGGGACAGCGCGUUCCACAUAAUUUAGGGCACCAAACAUGGGACGGAACACGUCCAUCCCACUCCGUUCUGUCCCAUCCAACGUACCAAACGCACCAUUUCCGUUUCAGCUUAGUUCCCUUUUUGUUUGCACAUUUGUGCAUUGAAAAGUCGAUUAUGCCCUUUGCUGGGUGCUAUCUUCCUUAUUUCAGUUCCUCAUAGUUUAAGCGGCUGUUUCUCAGCCCACGUGUCGGUUAUCGUGAGGUUUGGUCUUCCAUCUAUAUCCACCCUGCUUUGUGAAGCUGCUGGAAAUGUCUUCCAUUUUGAGCGUUUUCUUAAUUUUUUUCGUACUUUGUGUGUGGAUGUUUGAUCUAAUUUCAUUUUUUUGUUUCAAGAAACGUUGGCCUUCGAAUUUUAAGGGUUUAUUGUACAAGCUUGCAAGCCCUUUCUGGGUGAGGUAUAUAAUUUUUGUUUUUGUUCUUAAAUCUUUUUCCAAUAGAAUUUUAAUUGUUUUUUUGGUCCUGUUUUGUUUUUGGUGUGAUGAUUAAUUAUUGGGCGGUGAAGCAUCAACACGUACACAAAAUGGGUGUAGCGGAGAUGAGGAUGCUUCGUUGGAUGUGUGGGCACACGAGAAAGGAUAAGAUUAGGAAUGAGGAUAUCCGGGGUAAAGUAGGAGUAGCCGAAAUUGAAGGAAAGAUGAGAGAAAAUCGGUUACGAUGGUUUGGACAUGUGCAAAGAAGGCCUACUGACGCUCCGAUUAGAAGAUGCGACUAUGGGACAGAGGUUCAGGGCCGAAGGGGUAGAGGAAGACCUAGGAAAACUUUGGAAGAGACCCUAAGAAAAGACUUAGAGUACUUGGAUCUAACGGAGGACAUGACACAGGACAGAACACAAUGGCGUUCUAAGAUUCAUAUAGUCGAUCCCACUCAGUGACUUGGAUUUUCCAAGUCUCCAACCGAGAAGUUUUCCUCACUCGGGAAAUUAAGGGAACACUACCUCAACCUACAUGCUCCACUCAUAAAGCUUCAACAUACAAACUUCAACAAAAGAAAAUUCAAAGAACUUAGCGAAGAAGGCUUUGGUGUAUUUAACACAAUACGUUGAAAUGAAGGAAAACUUAUUUAUUGAUAUCCCUGAUAAGUUACAAAUAUGUACAUAUACAUGAGUCAAAAUAAACAAACAAGAGGGAGCCUUCACAAAUGUUGUUUAGGAGAAGUCUUAGCAGUCGGUAGAGCCCCAGAAAGAGAAGGCACCGGACGGGGAUCAUUCGGAGCCUCAGUACUGGACAGAACCCUAGAAGGAGGAGGCAUCAGAGGUUGAUCAUUUGGAGCUUCAUUACGCGGUACAACCCCAGAAGACGAAGGCAAUAAAUGCCUUUGGAACAAACCCACAAAUCUCUGAUGAUCAAGUAAAACCUGACCAUCAGAUUCCUUCAUCUGGUCAAGCUUCCUCUUCAUGUUUGUAGCAUAGUCAUGUGCGAGCCGGUGCAACUGUUUAUUCUCAUGCUUGAGCCCUCUAAUCUCCUGUUUGAGACUCAUCACUUCAGCCGCCAAUGAUUCAACUUGGCGGGUUCGAGCAAAUAGGCGUUGGACCAUAUUAGACACAGAACCUGCACACUGAACACUGAGAGCCAGAGAAUCCUUAACAGCCAACUCAUCAGACCGUUUGGAAAGUAGUCUGUUAUCUUUGGGAGUGAGAAGGUUCCUGGCCACUACCGCAGCGGUCAUAUCAUUCUUCAUCACGGAAUCCCCAACGGUAAGAGAACCAGUAGGGGAGACGAAUGAUGGGCGUCAUAUGUUGUCUGGAGAAGGCGGGGCUGUCUCUUCAACAAGGUUCAAGUCAAAACGACGGUCGGAGGGGCCAGACAUUUUCAAAGGUGUUGAAGAGAGAAGAGGUCGGACAAAUCAAGAUCUUAGAAGUGCAAGAAUGAAGCUUCUACUGGUGGAGAUUCAAGUGUGCUUUGGAACUUAAUGCCAGCCCCUAUAAAAAUCUGCACUCGACGAAGCUUCAGAAAUCGAAGAGGCGCCUGCUCAGAAAUCGAAGAGGCGUUUGCUUUCUCAAAAGCUGGGCUGCUCAGAGACCACGAGGGUCGAUCUCAGAAAUCGAAGAGGCGUUUGCUUUCUCAAAAGCUGGGCUGCUCAAAGACCACGAAGGCCGAUCUCAGAAAUCGAAGAGGCUUGCUUUCUCAAAAGCUGGGCUGCUCAGAGACCACGAGGGCCGAUUUCAGAAAUCGAAGAGGCACAUACUUUUCCAGCCUUGUCAGCACCUGCCACACGCACACUCAGCUUUGCGGAAAUUAUGGGCAUUCUGUCGAAGAUUUCUGGUGAAGUAGAAAACACAUGAAUCGUACUGUUCAAUCACCCACUUCCCACACGCAACAGUAGCUCAUGGGUACCACAUAUAACUUUGCCAAAGUUAUCUGACAAAGUUGAGACACGUGAAGCUUGCAGCUCUCACUACAUCGCUCUGACCAAGAAGGGUAAAAGAAUAGCAAAGAAACAACACUAACAAAGUUUAGACACAUAAAUUUUGAAGGUCUAGCUACCAUAUUAUUACCCAUAAGGGUAAAGGAACAGUACCACUGCUGGAUAAUUGGAAGGUCCCGGUGUGUCAACCUCUGUACUUCGUGGCAAGGUAGACUAGCAAACAUGCCCAACCUUUACUCACAUUCAAGAAAACACUCCCAACAAGAUUGCUUGCUCCAAAAUCGAAGAGGCACCGCUUUCCGAAUCUUGAGAGCCAGACUCCCAACAUGAUUACUUUCUAAAAAAUCGAAGAGAGGGUAAAGGAACAGUAACACUGCUGGAUAAUUGGAAAGUCCCUGUGUGUCAACCUAUGUGCUUCGUGGCAAGGUAGACUAGCAAACAUGCCCAACCUUUACUCACAUUCGAGAAAACACUCACAACAAGAUUGCUUGCUCCAAAAUCGAAGAGGCAUCGCCCUCCGAAUCUCGAGAGCCAGACUCCCAACAUGAUUACUUUCUCAAAAAUUGAAGAGAGGGUAAAGGAACAGUACCACUGCUGGAUAAUUGGAAAGUCCCUGUGUGUCAACCUCUGUGCUUCGUGGCAAUGUAGACUAGCAAACAUGCCAAACCUUUACUCACAUUCGAGAAAACACUCCCAACAAGAUUGCUUGCUCCAAAAUCGAAGAGGCACCGCCCUCCGAAUCUCGAGAGCCAGACUCCCAACAUGAUUACUUUCUCAAAAAUCGAAGAGACACCGCUCUCCGAAUCUCGAGAGCCAGACCCCCAACAGGAUUGCUUUCUCAAAAAUCGAAGAGGCAUCGUUCCCCGAAUCUCGAGAGCCAGAUCCCUGACAGGAUUGCUUGUUCGAAAACCGAAGAGGCACCACUUUCCCAACUUCAAGAGCUGGAUCUCCUUGGAUAAAGCUUGUCUGUAAUCUUCACACGCAACAUCAGCUUUCCAGAGACCACAGACCACUUUUUCAAAGUGCUCCGACAGAGUUAAAACAUGUGAAGCUGGCAGCUCCCACUACCGUGCUAUGACCAAGCAGGGUAAAGGAAUAGCAUUAUUACUUGAUGUUAGUGAGACUCCUAUAUAUGUCGACCUCCAUCCCCAACGGACAGGCAGACCUGCAAAAAUGCUCAACCAUUCCUCUUAUAUGAGAGGGCACUCCCAACGAAGCCUUUCGAAAUAUUCAACUUUCUUUCCCCUCGAUAAUACCUCUGCAAACAAGCUAUACUAGAGCAAGAAUAUCUCAUAUCAUCAGGGUUAAAAGCAAGAGUAUCCCAUAUCAUGCUUUUUCCCUGUCUUUUCCUUUGGCCUUGUUCUUACCUGCAAGACAAGGAGAAAGAGAGCAAUCAGUCAGCACUUGGAAUCAAGCUUCCAACCAGGAAUUGAUUGCCUAGAACCCCUUACCUGAGUACUUACCUGGCAUUGCUCUCGAGUACUCAUCUUCAACAUCUUAUGCUUCCAGGGAAGAUACCGCAUCUGCCUAAGGAACAGAUAGGUCAAGUGAGAAGGAUACAAAGAAGCAUGUGGAGACAAGCGUAACAGCACACGUGCCGAUACAUCCACUACUCUGUCAAAAGCAAAAGUAUCCCAUAUCAGCAGGGUCGAACGUACUCUAGAUUUGAUGGACUUGUUUUGACCCUCAAAUUCUUCAGUCGGCCUUAUACUCUGGAGGAAACCAGAAAACCCUCAAGCCCAGUUCAAGAAUAAGCCUGUGGAAAGUUACUUCUUCAAAAGCAAAAGUAUCCCAUAUCAUCUCUUCUCAUUUUUCUUCUCUUUAUCCUUCCUGCUGCCUGCAAGAUAGGGAGAAUGUGAACAAUCAGCCGGAGCUCUGAUUUCUUACCUUGUCUGUCACAUCUUUUAGCAGAUCCCCUAGCCCGGCGACUUGGGGGACUCCUACUACAUGGUUUGUAUCGUGCUUGACCAAGCCUGAAACUACAAGUAAGCUUCAAGUGAAAUUGAUACAUUACCUUGUGCAUCUCCACCAGUUAAAGAUACCACCCCUGGAUGGAGGAAGAGUACUUCCAGAGAAGAUGUCACAUCUACCUAUGAGACAGAUAAGGCAAGUCAAGACGAUACCACACUCCGGUACUUAGAAGUUUUGUGAUUACGAGAUCAUUUUCCCACAAUAUUUCCUAAUGUCAUUUGUACUAAAUCAUUCACUUGUACUCACUAAAGGAGAGCUUGAACCUAUGUACUUGUGUAAACCCUUCACAAUUAAUGAGAACUCCUCUAUUCCGUGGACGUAGCCAAUCUGGGUGAACCACGUACAUCUUGUGUUUGCUUUCCUAUCUCUAUCCAUUUAUAUACUUAUCCACACUAAUGACCGGAGCAAUCUAGCGAAGAUCACAAAAAGCGACCGUUUUCGCUACCUAGGAUCUAUCUUGCAAGAGAAUGGAGAAUUAGAUGGAGAUCUCAACCAUAGAUUACAAGCUGGAUGGAUGAAGUGUAAGAGUGCAUCCGGCAUGUUGUGUGACCGUCGUAGGCCACUGAAGCUCAAGGGAAAAUUUUAUAGGACGACAAUAAGGGCAGCGAUGUUGUAUGGCACCGAAUGUUGGGCGGUGAAGCAUCAACACAUACACAAAAUGGGUGUAGCGGAGAUGAGGAUGCUUCGUGGGAUGUGUGGGCACACGAGAAAGGAUAAGAUUGGGAAUGAGGAUAUCCGAGGUAAAGUAGGAGUAGUCGAAAUUGAAGGAAAUAUGAGAGAAAAUCGGUUCCGGUGGUUUGGACAUGUGCAAAGAAGGCCUACUGACGCUCCGGUUCGAAAAUGUGACUACGGGACAGAGGUUCAGGGCCGAAGGGGUAGAGGAAGACCUAGGAAAACUUUGGAAGAGACCCUAAGAAAAGACUUGAGUACUUGGAUCUAACGGAGGACAUGACACAAAACCGAGCGCAAUGACGUUCUAGGAUUCAUAUAGCCGACCCCACUUAGUGGGAAAAGGCUUUGUUGUUGUUGUUGUUGUUGUUGUUGUGUUUAGUUUGCGGAUCUAUUUUCUAUAAAAAAAAUUGGUGAUAAUUGAUUUUGAGGUUGUGUUGUAUAUGGAUUUUUAGUGUGGGUAUAUGAUUUGGUUUUUUUAUUUUGAGGAAGCAGUGGCCAUCGUUUUUUACCGCUUAUAUAUAUAUUAUUCCAGAAGCUUGAGGUAUAAAAUCUUGAAAUUGCUCACCUUAAAUAGACAGCGGCGUGCAUAUGUAGUUUAUCAUCGAAUAAUCAACCUCUCAUCACUAAAUUAACGUUUAAGUUUGUUUUUAAUUUAGUUCACAAAUGAAUCAACCAAGUUUUCAUGCCAUAUUGAUACGAAAUUAUAAAGAAAUGUCGAUCAUAUUUUGUUUGUUUGUUUUCCUUCUUUUGAGAUCUAUUAUUCAUAUAUAUCAUAGAUGAUGAAGAAUAAAAGAAAUUAAAUGCCGCUUUGGAUGAUAAGUUGAUGUUGAUGACAAGUACUAUUGAUGAUACCCACUAUUUCUCAUCUGUUCUAAUGCUGCAGGUAUGUAUAUUAUGUAACAAGUUCUCUAUCAGUUUGUUAAUAUCCAUAACCAAUACAGGUUUUCAAACACUUACACAGGUUUGUAUUUCAGUGAAAAAAUUGUAGGAAAAACAAAAGGAGGUUGAGCCUAUCUACAUAGUGAGUCGAAAGAAAAAUUAAACUCAACAACUAGAGAAUGAGAAUGGUUUGAUGAAAAAUAGGAAAUGAACACAUAUAAGGUAAUGUCACAAGGUGAGAUUUCAGUAUGAAUUUUUCAUUGUCAUACUAAUUAAUGCUUUUAAACCAAUCGGUAUAGAUUCUAUUUUUAGUUUCUUUUGCUUGAUCAAUUUACAUUCCUUUUUUAACCAAAUGCAAGUUCCAAUAUUGCAUUGAUGACAAAUAAAUUAAUUGAGAUUGAAGCUUUCUCUGAUUGAGAAAUCUCUUUUUGUUUAAAUAGUGUUACAAUUUUGUCUUUAUUUUUUUUCCCAAGAGGUGGACUUAAAAAGGAUAAAGUAUGCAAGGGAAUGGUAGGAUCAACAUAUCAAAGGUAGACAUCGAUUUUUUCUCUCAUGUUAAACUUAUAUUGUGAUGUUUAUUAUUAUUAAAUUUUGAAAAAAAAAAAUUGCUUAUCAUAACCUUAUCACAAUACUAAAUAACAGGGAGAGAGAUGAAAAAUAGAGGUAACUAUUUGAUUGUAUGCUUACUUUGGAGAUUUUGUGUAAGAUCCCACAUACUUAUAUGUAUAUUCCCAUCUCUACCUAGCACGAGGCUUUUUGGGAGCUCACUGGCUUCGGGUUCCAUCGGAACUCCGAAGUUAAGCGAGAAGGGGGCUAGAGCACUCCCAUGAUGGGUGACCCACUGGGAAGUUGUUCGUGAGUUCCCAGAAACAAAACCGUGAGGGCCUGGUUCCCGGCCAGGGCCCCACCACAACCUGGGCCCGCUCUACCACCGUAGCACGAUAUUGUCCGUUUUGGGCCCCAACCAUGCCUUCACGGUUUUGUUUCUGGAAACUCACGAUCAACUUCCCAAUGGAUCACCCAUCAUGGGAGUGCUCUAGCCCCUUUCUCGCUUAACUUCAGAGUUCCUAUGGAAUCUGAAGCCAGUGAGCUCCUAAAAGGCCUUAUGCUAGAUAGGAAUGAGAAUAUACAUUUAAGGAUCACUCACCUGGGCGAUGUGGGAUGUCACAAUCCACCCCCUUUAGGGACCCGAUGUCCUCGUCGGCACACUUCCGGCCAGGGAUAGGCUCUGCUACCAAUUGUCACAUCCCGGCUCGGGCCCCCACCACAACCUGGGCCCGCUCCACCAUCGUAGCACGAUAUUGUCCGCUUUGGGCCCCAACCACACCUUCACGGUUUUGUUUCUGGGAACUCACGAGCAACUUCCCAGUGGGUCACCCAUCAUGUGAGUGCUCUAGCCCCCUUCUCGCUUAACUUCGAAGUUUCUACAGAACCCGAAGCCAGUGAGCUCCCAAAAGGCCUCGUGCUAGGUAGGGAUGAGAAUAUACAUUUAAGGAUCACUCAUCUGGACGAUGUGGGAUGUCACACAAUUGACUAAGAAUUUGUUAAAUCAUUUUAACAUGUAUUAUAAUAAGAUAUUUACUUUUUAUGAUACAUUUCUAAUUUUUGCAAAUUACUUGAUUUACUAUUGUUAUAUGGUUUACAGAUUUUUAUGUUAAGUGUGUCACUAUAUUGUUGUAAUAGUUAAAUUGGAUGUAAUAUGAAGUGUUGAGAUAAAACUAGGCACAACUAAUUAUCUUUCACUUCUUGAGAUACAGUCAUUGUUUGAUUUAGCCUAUAACUGAUAAAUCUUUAAUUAUAAUUGGUUUUUUUAGUUUACCUGGAUCAGAACUGAUAACCGUAUAAAAGGGCAGUAAAAAUUAAAGUCUGCCUGUUCUGAUGACAACUGAUAAAUAUACAGUUCUGCACUGUAUACUGGUUGAUGAAAAGGUGAGCAAUCAUUACUUAAUGAUCUUAAGUAAUAACUACUUAGUAUUGCUCAUUGAAAAUUUAUUAAUUGUUUCAAUGCAUAUGAUCUAACAUUUCUGCUUUCUGUAAUAAACACUAUUUAUGAUCUUUAUUUUUUUGGUCAAAAACACUAUUUGGGAUCUGUUUGUCAUCUUUAGACAUUGCUUGAUUUUGUAUUGUCAAAUGAUAUAUAUUUUCAUAAUCACUGUGUCUGUAUAGUAUAUGGAUUAUAUAUAUAUAUAUAUAUAUAUAUAUAUAUAUAUAUAUAUAAUAUUAAGUGUUCUAUUCUUUGUAUUAGAUCUUUUUAUACUUAAACAACUUUUUUUAAGUGUUAAUUAAAAUGAUUAAUUGAUAGUUACUGUUUGCCUAUGCAUAUUCUUGCGUAGUAUUUACUAUGCACAUGCAUAUUCAUGUUAUACUAUAUGUAAUGGUCACUGUUAUUCACUUAUUCACUUGAUAUUUAACAAUAUUUUUUUCUUGCAUUUUUUCCCAUGCUGAAUUGUCAAGCGACAAUCAAUAUAAACUUAUAUGAAUUUUGUUUCUUCAUUGUUAAUUUACUGAUGCUAGGGAUAAUUUAAGCUUCUACAUUCUUAACAUUUUUCAUAUUUGACUUGCAGGAUUAGUGUCAAUGUACACAUUUUUGCAACUAUUUGUUCUGUCUUUCUCCCUCACUCUGUAUAAUUUUAGUCAAAUUGAACUACUCUUUAAAACUUGAGAUUUAACUAAAGUACUUAGAACUUAGUUAAAUGAAAGUUUACUUCGGUUUGAUGACAUUUACAUGAUUAUUAGGUUCACAAUCAUUGGAUGCAUUAUCUUUUAUAUGUUUUAAUCAUAAUGUCAUAAAAUUUUCGAUCCCGCAACAACGCGCAGGUCACACUUCCCGCAGCAACGCACGGGUUAUGCUUUCCAGUAGUAACUAAAGUCUGCUUAGUAGGCCUCCAAGAAAUUGUGGUUUCACCAACAAUACCCGUUUAGGAUAUUGCCAUGCGGGGAUCAAAUAAGUACCCAGCAUCAACAUAACCAACAAAGGAAACUCGAGAACUGGGUGGAGGGGGUGAGGAAGGGACGGUUGCACUCGAAUUUGAGUAGGGAUAUGACAAGUCCAAGUCUCACAGUACCAUUAAGAUAACAUAGAAUUUAUGUAACACCUUUCAAUGUCUGCGUGUUGGCACAUGAUUGAGAUUUAUAAUGCAGGAGAUGUUAGGUCUUCUACACUGAGAUAAGUACAGCAAAGUACCAAUUGCAAUUAAGUAUGGAACCUCGGGUUCUUAAACCUCUUCAUCAUCUAUCUUUGGAUGGUAUAGGUCUCGUUGUGCAUCAAGCGUACGGAUGACCAUGAGUGUACUCAAAGGUAAUGCUUUAUCAUUAAAGCAAUGUAACACCAUCUUGGUGUAGUUUGACUAAUGGACAAGAAUGUUGGAUUGUGAACUAUCUUAGUACAUAUUUGUAGAAGUGUGGCGGGUGGCGUAAGCAUACAUAAUCAUUUAACAUGCAUGUUAGCGGAAUGUUGGAUUCCGUUUAAUUUAUGUAUUGGUUAUGUUCAGGUAUAAUAAAAUUAAGAACACAUGUAUAAACUUCUGAGUUUUAGAAUUCUAACCUUUAGAUUUCAUAGGCGGAUGCAUUCAAUAUUGUUAAGGCUCCAAAGUGUUACCCCUCUACCAGUAUCUACACGAAUAUAUCUCCAACUAGUGAAGCAAGAAGACGACAAUCUGCUAGAACUUUAUCCAUUAGGUAGGUGUUGCAACAAGGGGAUUUGGUAUGGUGUUUUGUUUUUCAAUUCUUUAAAUUGGAAAACCUAAUUCUUUUCUCUCUAAUUUCUAUUUCCGCUUUGUGAAUUCUCACACUAUGUUACAUAGAGCCCUUAGGCUUAAAAAGAGAACAAUUUCUAAUUAAGCCAAUAGGAUUACAGAUUAAUUCUCUACCACAAAUGUGUGUCGCACGCCUUGGGAAAAAUUUUGAGAAACUUUGGGGUUCACUAGUCUGUAUCACGUCACUCGCUCGUCUCAAGAAGAGAUUCUUUCACGUCACCAAUUUACCACACUACAAUUUUGAAUUUAUUAGAUGAAUAAUACAAUUUGUUUAAUAAAUGACCAACUUUACAAAUAUUUUUGUGAAGUGAUUUCACACAUUUUUUUAGCUUUUUUACAGACCCAUGUUUAAUUUUGGAUGUUGAUUCCGUUUGAUUUAUUCAUUCUGGUGGCCAUAAAUAAAGAGAGGUAUGUGAGAAACUAAAAAUGGUGCGUGAAAAUCCAUGACACUACUGAGCAUGAAUUUUAGUUAGAUGAAAAAAGACCUUACGCCUGACACAAGUGGGAGGACGUGACAUGAGUGCCUUUAUUCAAGGAUGAGGAAUGCUAAGGUGACUCUCAAAAGUAGGAAUCUCUGUCACCUCAUAGCUAGUUUAACGUCAAUUCAUUCAUGUGCCAGCAUUAUAAGACUAAUGUUAGGAAGACUACAUUUGUAGACAAAAUUUAUAAACUAAAUGACAUGGAAGCAGAUGAGUAGAUUAUUACUUAAGCGUUGAUAAAUGUGCUCAUUUCAUAUUGGUGACACGCCAUUUAGUUUGAAUUUUUUUUUCCACAAAUUUAGUCUAUCUAGCAUUACCCGCAUUAUAAGGUAUUGUGGUAAACAUAUGAGGUGACGGAGAGUUCAUAGAGAGUCUCAUUAGUAUUUCUCUUCAAGAAUUUAACCUCAUUCUCCCCACUUAAUAAUUUCACCAAAAAUGUUUUCUAAAUGCUCGCUUAUCAGGAUUAAGCCUCUGUUUGGUAUUGUUUUUUUUUCAUCAAAAGUUGCUUCACUUUAAAGUUAAGCAAUAAAAAUGUGUUUGGUAAAAAUAAAUUAUUUUGCUUAUAUUAAAAGUAAUGCAUGGCCUCCAGACAACAGCUUUUAAAAGCAGCAUGCAGGUAAAACUGCUUUAAUAAAAAGCUGAGUUGAGCCUUUAAUGAAUAUUUUUACUUCUUGUAAUACGCUCAAUAAUUUUUUCUUUUAAAAAAUAACAUUAUUUAUUCUUGUAGGCACAUUUUAUCAUUGGAGAACAAAGUGACCACCACUAUAAACCCUAACCUCUUACAUUACCAUUGCCAUGAUCACCACCAUUGUUGCCAUGACCACCACACUACAAUUGCACCACGACCACCACUAUAAACCCUAACCUCUUACACUACCAUUGCCAUGAUCACCACCACUGUUACCACCACCACACUUCAAUUGCGCCACGACCACCACAACCAUACGCACCACCACUACCAUUGCUAUUGUUACCACCAUGCCACUACCGCCACCACCACCACCAUAAAUACAACAACCGCUACCACUACUACCACAACCACCACCAUCGUUGUUAUCACCACCCCUACCACCAAUGUUGCCUCUGUAGCCCAACCACCACACCUCUUUAUUGGCACCAUGACCACGACCACGACCAUCACCACAACCCUACCAUCACAACCCCUUGCCCUUAUCAUUAUUGUCAUCGUCACCACCAACAUUGUUACGUUUAUUUUUGUCAUUAUAUACAAUUAUAAAAUAUCAAACGCUUUUACACUAUUUUUCAUAUUCACAACACUUUUAAAAAUACAGUUCAUCAAGCACUCAACUGCUUUAUUUUGUAGCAAAUUAUUCUUAAAGCACAUCAGAAGCAGUUUUUUAAAAAGCACAUCAAUCUCAAAAUGGCCGUAAUAUUAUGAGUUUUUUUAAUUGAGGUAAAUAUAUUAUGUAUUUGACCAAAACGAUUUUAAAUAAUUUGUAAUAAGAUGACGCGAAAAAAGAGCAGAAAUGCAACACAUGAAAUAAAACCAAAGCAAAGAGAUUUGAGGUUGAUUUUCAUUCCUUACAACAUUUUUAAAACAUUUCAAUUUCAUACCUUUACUUAUCAUUUUAUUUCAAUUUCAUACAUCCGUUAGAAAAUAUGUUAAGUAAACCGUUAAGUGAUGACGUGGCAAAUAUAAGGUCCCCAUUUGUGUUGAUGUGGCUGCCACAUUUGUGCCAUGUAGCUAAAAACUGAAUAAUUUUUUUUUAAAAAUAAUUAUUUAAAAAAAGUUAUAAAAAAAAAACACAGAUCCCCCUUCUUCCCCCGAAUCCCCACCCAUGCCCACCCUCCCAACCCCCAGCACCCACCCGGGCCACCCCUUCCUCCAUCCCACAUCACCAACAACCACUUACCUCCCCACUGCGCCUCCAUCUCCGACGAGAGCCUUCCUGCCGAGCUCUUCCCCCAGUACACCGGUAAAACUCGUCGGCAAAGUAGCUCCGUGUCGGAGCUUGUCGAAUCGACGUUUGUGGUUCAUUUUUCUCCAAACUGACGUCAUAGAUGAGUUCAAAGGGAAAGAGACUUUAAUGGCAAAGGGAAAGAAACUUUAAUGGCGGUGUUGGUGGUCUGAAAUUCGUCAGAGAUGGUGGUGGUCUUUAUCGACCCGAUCGAUCGAGGUUUUCUUCGAGUGAGGGAGAAUGUCGAGAGAGAAUGAGAUAGUUGGGGAAGAUAGUGGUGCGAGAGAAAUAGUGUUCGGGGUGAGAGAAAGGGUGGGGGAUGGGGAAAAGGGUGGGGGAUGGGGAAAGGGGUGGGUGAUGAAGGGUGGGGAUUCCGGGGAAGAAGGGGAUAUGUUUUUUUUCUUUUCGUUUUUUGUUUUUAACCUUUCUUUAUAUAACUAUUUUAAUAUUUUAAAUAUUUUAUUAAGUUUUUUUUACAUGUGGUACAAAUGUGGCAGCCAUGUCAGCACAAAUGGGGACACCAUAUUUGCCACGUCAUCACUUAAUGGUUUACUUAACAGAUUUUCUAACGGAGGUAUGAAAUUAAAAUAAAAUGAUAAAUAAAUGUAUGAAAUUGAAAUGUUUUAAAGAUUUUGUAAAGAAUUGAAAUCGACCUUAAACUUGAAAAGGUAAAAUGUAAUUUACCCUAUAUUUUUUGUUGGUUUAUCAUUUUCACCAAGCUUCACCUCAUCAAUACUUAAAGAAAUGUAUUAUGUUCUGAUCUAGAAACCAAGCUCCGCCUCAUCAAUACUUGAAUAAUUUGAUGCAUCAUGCAUUACUUUUGUUUCCUUUUGAAGGCCCAAACAAGAAACAAAGCAACACAAGACAAAGACAAUUACCGUUUAAUGGGUGUUUUAGAAACUCAAAAGCUUCAAUUUGUUUUGAGAAUCCAUUUGUUUGGAAUAAUGCUUGGGAGACUAAAAUUUUUAAAUUAAAUGAUGUGUCACCAAUUUUAACUUCCUCUUUUACUGUUAUACAAGCGAAAACGAGAGAGAUUUAAUAUGAGUAAAGGGAUACUUUACUUCUUGAGAUACAAGUUUAUUGUUAUAAUUUAGCAAGGUUUCUUCUAAGGAUCUUGGCUUUCUUUAUCUGUAAAAAAGUUGGGGUUUUGGUUGUUUAAUUAUUUUCUACCAGAAUUGCAAGAUAAAAAGGGAUACAAAGGAGAAGUGACAUAUGUAUAUGUAUAUAUAUAUAUAUAUAUAUAUAUAUGUUUUUUUGUCUCUUAUCAAUUAGGGUUUCUACAAUUCUUGUCGGAUUCUUUACCUAAGUUUUUAUUUGUCAGAUUAGUCACGAAAGUUCACUGUCAAAUUAAAUGAAAGGUAAUGAAAGUAGAAAACAGAAAACAAAUUAUCGGAGUUGACUGCUGGUAUGAUGAAUUAGUUGAAUAUCAUAGUGCACAAUGAACAAGACUACACAAUAAUAAAAAUAUUAUUAAAUAAACAAGAACACUGAAACGACUACAUAACACUAAGAAGCUACAUUGUGACUAACUUAUUCACGAUUGAAUAAAAAACAUGCUAUUUAUAAUAAACUAGUCCUAACUCUAAAAGGUAAUAAACCAAAACCUUAAUGCUAAUGGGCUAAACCCAGAAAACCAAAUAUUAAAGUAAACUUAAAUAUUAAUGUUUUCCAACACCUUCCGUCAAACUAAUGGCGGUAUACGACAUGAGUUUGCAAACAAGCAGUUGCGGACUGGCUCUGUUAGGCGGGCAUACAGGCAGGCUCCUCAACACGAACAGACAGGCAAGCUCUGCAACGCGGACAAACAAGCUCCGCAACCCCGCGGACAGAAAAAAGCAACAAUCCCAAAAGUGAUUCCAAAAAUCAAACCGAUAAUAUAGAUUGCAAGCUUUGUCUUGAAGCCAACAUUUCCAAAUUGAUGGUUCCAAAGUGUUGACAAAAGCACUGGUGCUAGUGUCACUGAAGCAACUGCAUAUGGCUUACACCAUCUUUCUUCACAAACAACAGGAAUAGUCAAUCUCCUAGGCAGAUAAAGCGGAGCUCAAGUAUGAAAAUCAGCGUGCGAAAAAAAGCCGAUGAUCUAAGAUUGGAGCAGCAUUUCUUGACUUCUACUACUUCAGAACUGCCUUGUGCAGCUCCUUCCUCUGCAGCACUGAGAUCUUCCUCUUCAAUGCUGAUAAGAAUUGGCACAGUCAAGUCACUCUCAUUGCUCGAAUUACGGCUCAAUUCAACGCUUUUCUUCCAAUGUGUGUGUGAGACGUAAACCACAAUCACAUAAGCAAUAUAGAGUGAAGAGAGAGCCAUUGCAGCCCACACAUCUAUUUCCUUGUGAAUCAAGAUAACACCCAAACAUACAAUGACCAAAAGGUAGAAGCAAAUAUCUCUCACAAAGUCCGCUUUGUGAACUCGAAUGCGCCUUUUGCUCAUUGAAAUGCUUAAGAUUCCAACCACAGCACAAGACACAAAGGAAGCACCCCCCAGAACUGUAUUAAGACCAAUUUCGCCAGUCCCGCCACCCAUAAACGAAACAAGACUGGAAAACACAUCAGGGGCUCCAUUGCCAAGAGAAAGCAGAGUUACCCCAGCAAUUGUGGGGGACAAUUUUAACAACCUAGAUAAACUAUCAAGUGAAGAACAUAAGUACUCAGAAGCUGUGUUCCCCAACACAUAGAACAAAACCAGAAGCCAAAGAAACAUACAGCAAUAACCCAAUUGAGGAAAAGUUCCAAAAUUGCAGUAGAAAAUGUUUAGAUAGUUUAUAUAGCCUUGGGAGACACAUGGGUUGUUGGAUUUAAGGUAAAAGCACUUUGCUUUGUAGUCAUCUAAACUAAGAAAACCCUUGCAAUCUAGUGAACCAGAAAUUCUGGAAACCCCAGAAGUGCUUAGAACCAGAAAAUCUGGAGCAUAGGAAUGUACAACCAAGAAAGCGCAUCCCACUAUCAGAAACGAGAUGUUCAGGAAAAUUAUGUAGUUUUUGUACUUUGGUAAGAAAACUAAGGUACCCAUUAGAGAAAUUCAAUCUAAUCUAAUUUUUUUUAAAGUAGAGAAAUUGAUUGAAAUUGAAUUUACCUUUAUGAUUGUGCUCCAGAGCAAUUGGAGAAGAUAAUGAAAAUCCAAAAAUGUAGGGUAGAAAUUGAGGAAAAUUACAAAAAUAUAAAGGGGUAGAAAUUGAAAUGGAUGGAGGGUUUUUUUAAUUUGGUAAAGCUGGAUGAUUAAGAGCACCUCCAGCGGGGGAGGUUGCUCGGGGGCUGUGGAUCAAACAGUAGCAAAUUGAUGGGGGGAUGAGCUCCAGCGUAUGGAAGCCCGAGCAACAGGCGAGGCCCGAGGAGCAGGCCCGUCGAGGAUUGCCAGCCCGAGAGCCCGAGGGCUGCGUCAGGCGCGUGCGUUUCACGCGCGCGUGGGCGCGAGUCGUCGGACAAAAAAACAGGGCUGGGGCCCGCGAUUUCAGUUUUGAAAAGUAACCGUUGGGGAAGCCACGUGGCUUCCCCAUGUCUGUUCGAUUGAAACGGUCAUAUUUUAUGGACCGUUGGAUUUCCAACGGUAAAAAACAUUUAAAAAUCUCAUUUAAUUUCAUCCGUUUGAUCUAAGAUCAACGGUUCACGUUAUUAGGCUUUGUAAAUUAUAUAAAAAAAAAGAAAAACUGUUUAAAAAUCUAAAAUGUUACCGUUGUGACACGUGGCACAAUCUGGAGUGUUGGAAUUUAAAUUUUUUUAAAUCCAACGGCAAAGAUUAAUUAGGUGAAUAAAAAUUAAAAAAAAAUGUAAAAAAAUUCUUAAAAAUCCGAAAAAAAUUAUGAAAAAUUAUAAAAAAUUUUGAUUUCACUUCACCUAUAAAUACCUUCUCAUUAUCUUCUACCCUACACCACAAUUUCAUAUUUUCUCAACUACUUUCAACCACAUUCCUAUCUUUCUUUCAAAGUUUCAAUCCAAUUUUUUUCCAACAAAAUGACUACUCAACCAGGUACGAAUUGGACGCUUCUUGAAGAUGUUGCGUUGUGUACUAGUUGGGUUCAAGUUACUCAUGAUUCGAUUACGGGUAAUGAGAUGCAGUUGCGAGAAAUGUGGAGUCUUAUUCAUACCAAUUAUCUUGAGAAAAUGGGUGGGCAAAGAACUAAAGAAUCGAUGUCCAGUCGUUGGAAAUUACUUAGUCAAUCGUUUAGUACGUUGAGAGACGCCUUGGCACAAGCUAGUGGUAAUCUUCGAAGUGGGGAAAAUUUAACGGAUCAGGUAACAAUAUAUUAUUUAUUUGUUAGCUACUUUCAUUAUAUUUAUUUGUUUGUAUUAUUUAUUUGUUAUCUUCUUUCAUUAUAAUUAUUUGUUAGCUACUUUCAUUAUAUUUAUUUGUUUGUAUUAUUUGUUACCUACUUUCAUUAUAAUUAUUUGUUAGCUACUUUCAUUAUAAUUAUUUUGUAUUAUUUAUUGUUACCUACUUUCAUUAUAAUUAUUUGUUAGCUACUUUCAUUAUAUUUAUUUUUGUAUUUUUUACCUACUUUCAUUAUAAUUAUUUGUUAGCUACUUUCAUUAUAAUUAUUUGUUAGCUACUUUCAUUAUAAUUAUUUUUGUAUAUUAUUUGUUACCUACUUUCAUUAUAAUUAUUUGUUAGCUACUUUCAUUUAUAAUUAUUUGUUUGUAUUAUUAUUAUUUGUUACAUACUUUCAUUAUAAUUAUUUAUUUGUUACCUAUUCUCAUUAUAAUUAUUUGUUUGUGUAGGAACUUCAAGCACAAGCUUGGUAUGGUGCCAAAACCAAAAGCAAAAAACAAAACAUUCACCCGGUUUGAAUGUUGGAAUAUUGUCAAAGAUUGUCCUAAAUUUAGAGUUGUGCAUGUCGGUCCAGAAGUUUUCAUGAAACAGCACCCCUCUACACUCUACACCUGAGCAUGCCUCGCAUGAUCAUGAUAAAGAUGAUGAAGAAGUGCCUGAAACGCCCCCCGUUGAACAAGCGUCGGGGUCGACCCGUUAUCCAAUUAGGCCUCAAGGUAAGAAGGCUUCAAAGAGAAAAGGUAAUGCUUCCAAGAAUGAUUAUGCAAAGUAUAUGGAAGAUCUUGCCCGCCAAGGUGAAUUGAAUUUGGCCCGGGAAAUGGCUAAAUUUGAGGCUGAUAAGGCUAGAGAGGAUGCAAAAGCUGCAGCUUUUGAGAGAGAAAAUUUGAAGCUGAUGAGAGAGAAAGAGAACUACUUCGGCAAGAAAGGGAACAUAGAAGAGAAGAAAGAAUGGCUGAACGAGAUCGUGACAUUAUGAAGGAGCCUUUAGAAGGGAAGUCUCCAGACUCUAAAAUAUUUUUGGAAGUCAGAGAAAGCGGAUGUGGUGCGAAGGAUGCGUGCAAGAGAAGCGAGAGCAAGAGGAGAUGGUCCUAGCACCACAAGAGAAGAUUAUCCUAGCAUGACAAGAGAAGAUCAUCCUAGCACCACAAAUUGGUUAGGUGAUGGUUAUCAUCCAUUCACAAACCCAUAAUUUUCCAAUCAAUUCGGGUUGUAAUUUCUUAUUCGGGUUGUAAUUUCUUAUUCAUUGAAUAGAGUACUUUAUGUUGUUUCCAAUUUAUUGAACUUAGUACUUUAUUCAAAACACAUUUAAACACACCAAAUAAAAUAACAUCAACACACCAAAAAAACACACCAAAUAAAAACAAACACCAAAUAAAAUAAAAUUACAUUUCAACUCACUAAAUGAACUAAAAAACACACCACAUAAAAUAAAAAUAAAUACACCAAAUAAAAACAAACACCAAAUAAAAUAAAAUUACAUUUCAACUCACUAAAUGAACUAAAAAAACACACCACAUAAAAUAAAAUAAACACACCAAAAUAAAAACAAACACUAAUGAACUUAAGUAUCGUCAGCACCCCUCAAUUCCCACUGGUGCUCUAUCAAGUCAAGUUGGCGGGCAUUGUGCAUAUUUGACCUUUGAAGUGCAGUAUAUCGUUGGAUGAUCCUUUCAUUGUAACGUCCAUCCCUUUCUAAUGGCUCAUGUUGCACGGGCUCAUCGGUGGCGUCAUGAGCACAAUAUAUACGUGUUCUUGAAUUGUUCAUCGUGUCUGGCUCAUAUUCAUCAACGGCUUCAUAAUCGUACUCAUCUUCCACAAUCAUGUUGUGAAGAAUGAUGCACGUCAUCAUGAUGGAUCGAAGCGACUCUACAUCAAACAAUCUGGCAGCACCUCUGAUGAUCGCCCAGCGAGCUUGGAGGAUACCGAAACAACGCUCCACAUCCUUCCUGCACCCUUCUUGACAUCUUGCAAAGUGUUUUUCCUUUGCACUGCGCGGACGUGGCACUGUUUUGACAAAUGUUGACCACCUUGGGUAAAUGCCAUCAGCUAGGUAGUAUGGCCCGUCGUACAUACGUCCAUUGACCUCAUACGUGACUUUUGGUGCGUUUCCUUGCAGGACAUCGUUGAACACUGGGGAUUGGGCAAGGACGUUGAGGUCAUUUUGAGCUCCCGGAACCCCGAAAAAGGCGUGCCAAAUCCAUGUAUCAAAAGAUGCCACCGCCUCCAAAAUGAUACUUUUUGAUCCUUUUCUGUCCCCAUAAGCGCCUUGCCAUGCACUUGGACAGUUUUUCCAAGUCCAAUGCAUACAAUCAAUGCUUCCAAUCAUCCCUGGAAAACCUCGCAUCUCGCCUUUCUUCAGAAGCCUUUGCAAGUCCAUAUGAGUAGGUAUCCGGAGGUACUCUGCGGUGUAGAUAGAUUCGAUUGCCGAACAAAACCUCAUGAGGGACUCAAGAAUGGUUGAUUGUCCCAUCCUCGUUAUCUCGUCCACUUGGUCUGCAGCUGCUCCAUAUGCAAGCAUCCGCAAGGCAGCAGUAAUUUUUUGCUGAGGCAGGAGACCCAUAGCACCAAAAGCAUCCGGCUUUUGCACAAAGUAAGAAUCAUGGUUGCAAACAGCGCCCAUGAUUUUGUUGAACAAAUGUCGUUCCAUUCUAAAACGACGUCGGAAGUAUGUAUCAGGGAAUGCACUGUUACGGACAAAAAUAAUCGUCCAAGAGCUCCUGACCUCGUCGUUGCCUGUUUCUAUCAAUGUUUACAGCACGGUUGGGCCUGCAGAGAUAUGAGCCACAGCUUGGACGACUCGACGGGAUUGUGAGGCUCCUGCCAUUCUUGAUUCGUCAUCUCGCCGUCUACGCUCGUCAUCCUCUUCCAUCUCAUUUUGGCCCCAAUCCCCAACAUUGAACAUUCCUUGUGAUUGGUUAAACAAUUCUUCCUCUUCUUGCUCGAUUUCCCACAUCAUCUUUGAAGAAGAAGAAGAAGACAUUGUAAGAAGGAAGCAGAAACUAUGAAUAAUGAUAGGGAUUUUGGUGAAGAAGGAAGCAAAAACUAUGAAAUAAUGAUAGGGAUUUUGGCGAAGAAGGAAGCAGAAACUAUGAAUAAUGAUAGAGAUCUUGAGAAAAUUGGUGUGAGAUUUAUGAGGAUGGAUGGGGGAUUAUAUGGAGGAUUCAGAAGGGAUUAGGUUGUAGAUAAUGCCACGUGGCAUGCCGUCAUUCGUUAAAAAUCUGGUGGAAAUCUAUCCUCAAAGAUUGUAAUCGGAUUGUGACACGUGGCACGACGUGAUUGGUUAAAAAUCUUAUCAGAAAUCCAUCACCAAUAAUUGUCUUUUCAGAUAAUGACACGUGCCUUGACACAACGAUUAAAAAUCUUAUCGGAAAUCCAUCACCAAUAAUUUUCUUUGCGGAUAAUGACACGUGGCGCAACGAGAACGAUUAAAAAUCUUAUCCGAAAUAACAAAUAUAAUUAUUUUGAAUUAUUUUAUAAAUACAAAAAUUUUAUUGCUAUUGGCUUUUCGGAUAAUGACACGUGGCGCAACGAGAACGAUUAAAAAUCUUAUCCGAAAUUACAAAUAAAAUUAUUAUGUAUUAUUUUAUAAAUAAAAAAAUACUAAUAUUUUAUUGCCAAUUGCCAGGGCUAUUCAGUGCAGGGGUGGAGAUGCAAAAGGCAAUUGCCAGGGGAAUGCACUAUUUAUUAAGAGCAGUUACUGUUCACUAGGUGGAUUAAAUAGUGAAUUGCCUGGGGGGAGGACUCCUACACUGGAGUUGCUCUAAGGUUGCUGCUUUUCUUGGGGAGAGAAGUGGAAGAGACAGAGCAUUUAAAGCUUUCCUUCUGAGUUUCCACAUUGUAGGAAUACUGUCACUUCAUGCAAUGUAAGGCCAUAGAUCAUGAUGCUGACAAGUUGAGGACACGUGUCGAAAGAUGGUGCCGUUGGGGCCCACAACCGUCCAAGGGAAAAUUUCUCGAGUAAUAUCAGUUACCACGGUAUUCAAGCGGAAACAACUACACGUGUGGGAAUUUGGUGGACGUCGGCUAUCAGGGUGAGUUUAGCAUCUGAGCUGUGAAAGCAAAGAAAAAGACUUGCGUCACAAUCAAAGCUUCAAAAUCGGUCUGUCCCUCCUUGGGCAAUGCGCUUUACAUUUUUCUUACUUUCUUCAUUAUUUGUUUGUAGAUCACAUUCUUUGAGAAAUUUUUGGGUUCAUUAGUCUUUGUCAAGUCACUCGUUUAUCUUAAAAAGAAAUUUUCUUGCAUCACUAGUUUAUCAUGCUACAAUCAUAAAUUUAUUGAAUAGAUAACAACAAUAAAGUCUCAUUUCAAUAAGUGGAGUUAGCUAAAUUUAAAAUGUCACUGGACUCAGUUUUACGCCAAAUUUAUUAGACGGAUAAUACAAUUUUUCAAUCCACAUUCUCCCCCACUUGACCAUUUCAUCAACAAUGUUGUCUAAAUGCUUUUGUUUCAUUUUUCAAUUUGAUGCUAGGCCCAUGUUAGACUAAAAACAACUGCCGUACAAAAGUAAGAUAAAAGGGAUACAAAGGAGAACAUAUAUACAUACAUAUAUAUAUAUAUAUAUACACAACUGCCGUACAAAAGUAAGAUAAAAGGGAUACAAAGGAGAACAUAUAUACAUACAUAUAUAUAUAUAUAUAGAGGCCCCUUCUCAAGAGGGAUUCUAAUUUUUCAAAAAAAAUGGGAAUACCUUCUUCACCGUUAGAUUUGACUUGAAUGAAAUUCUGUGGUUGAGAUGAAAUCACAGGCCACAAAAUCUUAAUCACAAAAUUUUAUUAAAGCCAACUCUAACGGUUAAGAGGGGAUCCUCUUUUUUUUUUGAAAAAUGGGGAUCCCUCUUGGGAAGAGAUUCCUAUAUAUAUAUAUAUAUAUAUAUAUAUAUAUAUGCUAGCUUUCAUGCACGCGCUCUUUGAAUCACAACGUGCUACGCAUGACUUACACAUUUUAAAUGAAUAAUAUUAGACCAUGCUAAAAGAAAUUCUUCGUAAAUCAAUCAAAACAGCCGAAUCUACAUUAGGGGCUCCAUUGCCAAGAGAAAGCAGAGUUACCCCAGCAAAUGUGGUGGACAAUUUUAACAACCUAGAUAAACUAUCAAGUGAAGAACAUAAGUACUCAGAAGCUGUGUUCCCCAACACAUAGAACAAAACCAGAAGCCAAAGAAACAUACAGCAAUAACCCAAUUGAGAAAAAGUUCCAAAAUUGCAGUAGAAAAUGUUAAGGUGGUUUAUAUAGCCUUGGGAGACACAUGAGUUGUUGGAUUUAAGGUAAAAGCACUUUGCUUUGUAGUCAUCUAAACUAAGAAAACCCUUGCAAUCUAGUGAAUCAGAAAAUCUGGAAACCCCAGAAGUGCUUAGAAACAAAAAGUCUGAAGCAUGGGAAUGUACAACCAAGAAAGCGCAUCCCACUAACAGAAACGAGAUGUUCAAGAAAAUGACCUAAUUUUUGUACUUCGGUAAGAAAACUAAGGUACCCAUUAGAGAAAUUCAAUCCAAUUUAAAAUAUAAAAAAAGUACAGAAAUUGAUUUGAAAUUGAAUCUACCUUUAUGAUCGUGCUCCAGAGCAAUUGGAGAAGAUCAUGAAAAUCCAAAAAUUAGGGUAGAAAUUGAAAUGGAUGGAGGGUUUUGGAGUUCGGUAAAGCUUAAGGAUUAAGGUUGCUUGCCGCUUUUCUUAUUGAGAGAAGUGGAAGACACAGAGCUUCCCUUCUGUGUUUCCACAUUGUACGAAUAUUGUCACUUUAGCCAAUGUAAGGCCAUAGAUCAUGGAUGCUAACAAGAUUGAGGACACGUGUCAAAUGAUGGUGCAGUUGGGGGUCAUUACUGUCCAUGAAAAAAAAGUUCACACGGCAUUCAAGUGGAAAAAACUACACGUGGGAAUUGGAUGCAUUUUUGCUCAUCAUUAUGAACUAUGGUGUAUGCUCACCAUAUAUCUUAUCAUUUGACAUGUGUCCUUUCACUUAAUCAUAGUUAAUUUUUUUUCAAAAUUAGAAAAGGAACAUUUAAUAUUAAAGUUAAUCAUAGUUAGUUAAAAGGACACGUGUCAAAUGAUACACCAUAGUUUAUGGUGAGUAAAAAUGCUCCUCGUGGGAAUUUGGUGGACGUUGGCUGUCAGUGAGUUUGGUCGCACGAUUUACGAUAAAUGAAUAUAAUUAGAAAAUUCUUGAACUCUUCACAAAGAGGAUUCUCAUUCAUAUUUUUCUAUCUUUCUUCAAUAUUUGACCUUUUAUUUUUAUUUUUUAUAAGUUGUGGCAUAUAUUUGUCACAAAAGGUUUAAGCGAUAGCAAAAAUACAAAAAGCUGAGAAUAGAUUCCAGCACUAGGGCUGGGUUUGGUUGGCAAACCGUGCCAAUUUCUUGUGCCACUUGCCGGCCGUAUAUAUAUAAUUACCGAAAAUUAGUUACCGCUAGCCAACCGUCUUUUUGCAGUUGCUAAAAAUCAGUUCAACCGAAAUUAUUGGUUAGUUCGGUUGACAAAUGGCAACCAAUGGUUUGCAAAUAAGCUACAAAAACAACAAUUGAAGACCAUGCAUUGACCCGUAAACAACAAACCCAAAAAGAAAAAAAGAAGUUGCUGCAAUUUUUCAAUUGAUGAUAAGCCAACAUAUUCAUGACCUAACAAAUUAAAAUGAAAAUCAAAACAAAACUCAAGCCAACAACAAUGUCAGCAAACAUAAUCCAAAUAGUUAUAAGUUUCACAAACUCAAAAGUCUAACUAAUAUAAUUUUAUAAAUUCAAUUGUAGCAACUAAUGCAUAAACAAAAAACUUAAAACUCAAAAGUAUGGUUAUGGUUAUAAGAUCUCCUUAUUAUAAUCCCAAAACAAAUAACUUCUUGUUUUGAUAAUGCAUAUUCAUUGAAGUAGCAGCAAUCAAUGCAUGUGAAAUCUUUCAUGAAUCAAUUCUUUGAGGCACUUAGAAUUGAUGUUCCUGCUUGAAAUGUAGAACCAUUAACUAUUUCAGUUCAAAUGUUACAUAAAAAAAAUAUGAUUAGCUAGAAUAAGAAAUAAUAUUGAAUAAUAAAUUAAAAAUAUCAAUAAACAUUGGAUUGAAGUGCUAUAAUUAGAAUUAGAAAAAUAUAUCAAUACUUACAAUUUUCCAGUUCUUCACAUGUCAAGCAUGUAAAAAAUACCUAAAACAUCUAAAUAGAAUAUAUAUAUAUAUAUUGGUAGGUAUGGCAUUCCGCCAAUAUACAAAAUCCAAUACCAAAGCCAUACCAUUAAUUGUCGGUUUGGUAUAAUUGUCACAUCCCGGGCCGGGGCGGACCACUUUCCGGGCCCGCUCUACCAUCGUAGCACGAUAAUGUCCGCUUUAGGUCUCGGCCACACCCUUACGGUUUUGUUUCUGGGAACUCACGAGCAACUUACCAGUGGGUCACCCAUCAUGGGAGUGCUCUAGCCCCCUUCUCGCUUAACUUUGGAGUUCCUACGGAACUCAAAGCCAGUGAGCUCCCAAAAGGCCUCGUGCUAGGUAGGGAUGAGAAUAUACAUUUAAGGAUCACUUCCCUGGGCGAUGUGAGAUGUCACAAUAAUGCCAACAGAUUAUGAAAAAAAUGCAAAAAUUAUACUAUAGCAUUAUGAACUGACCGGUAUGGUUCGGUCGGUAAAUUGAUUUAUAGCAAAAUUUCCCACCCCUGUCCAGCACAAUUCAAUACUGCAAUCAGUGCUUUACAUAUCUACAUUAUUUGUUUGUAGAUCACAUUCUUUAGAUAUUUUUGGAUUAGUCUCUGUUAAGUCACUCGUUCCUCUGAGAAUAGAGGUUAUAUCGCAUCACCAGUUUAUUACGCUACAAUCAUGAACUUAUUGAAUGGAUAAUAACAACAACAACAAAGUCUUAUUCUAAUAAGUGGGGUUGACUAUAUAAACUUAAACGUCACUGCGCUCAGUUUUGCGUUUAUUAAAUGUAUACACAAUGUGUUUAAUACAUGACCAACUUUACAAAUAUUUUUGGAAAGUAACAUUCACACACUUGUUUUUUUAACUUUUUACACAUUCAUGUUUGAUUCUGACCACUAAUUAUGUAUAAUUUAUUCAAUCUAAUAGUCAUAAAUAAAAAUAAUUGAGUAAAAAACUAAAAAAAAUCCAUGACGCUACUGAGCCUGAAUUUUAAUUACAAUCCUCGUACAAGUAGGAGUGUAGGAGGAUGUGACAUAAUUGCUUUUAUUCAAUCCACAUUCUUCUCCCCCACUUGACCAUUUCAUCAACAACGUUGUCUGCCUUUGUUUCCUUUUUCAAUUUGAUGCUAGGACCAAACAAGAAACAAAGCAACACUAGACAAAAACAACUGCUGUACAAAUAAAUGAAGAUUUAGGGAAGAUAGUUUUCUUAUUAGUUAGGAUUUUUACAAUGAGUGUCGCAUUCUUUACCUAAAUAAGUUUAUAUGCUUGUCAGAUUAGUCAUGAAAACUCACUGUUAAAUUAAAUGAAUGGUAAUAAAAGCAGAAAACAUGAGGCAAAAAGUCGAAGUUAACAUUAAACUUGACAUGGAUUACCACAAUCCUACGACUACCACAUAACAAGAACACAAGGGAAACAAAAGAACAUAAAAACUAAAGUUGAGAAACAAACAAACACCCACAUUAGACAACAGACUGCAUACUUUUAUUUUAGACCACUUUUGUAGUACCCUCAAAGCUAAUUGGCAAGAUAGUUAAUCACCAUAAGUGGUAAUGCUGUCCAUAAUCUUGGCCACCACCUCCUUAGAAUCCCUCAGCUUUUUUAUGCUUUUGUUAAGCUUCUCACGCUUUACUGCCACUGCCGGCGACUCCUCCAGCAUCCUCUCGAUUCCCCCGCCGUAUGGUCCCAUCAACUCAUUCACAAUCUCAGCUUCCAACUCUUUGUUCACAAGCUUAAAGACAGACAGCUGCAAGUGCAAUGCCAUGGAGUCCACAAGCCUCCUCAAAACAACCUUCCAAUAGGCAAUCAUUCUCAUUUUAAGGUCAUAAGCUUGACCUAACACAAGCGGGUACAUCCUCAGACAACCGACUUCCACUUCCCCGAUGCCUUCUAUAUCUAUGAUAGAAGGUUUCUUCUCAUCAGCUAAGACUCCAUGAAUGAAUUCAUUUUGAUUAGCCAUCAACUUGUUCCAUUCGGAAACAUAAUCACCAUCACAUGUAUAAUCUGUCAGCUUUUCCAUCUCUACAAGCUCCAGCAUCCACUUGAUUGACCUUUCCUUCAUCUUGGCCAUUAGAUUAUGGCCGGCACGCCUUGCUGACAGCUGCAGCUGAUGAUAGUUCUCCGUAUAAUGCAUCAACACAGAAAUAACCACCUCUUCAAUGUAGCUCCACACUUUUUCCACAAAUGCUAUCGGAAUACUCGAAAUUUCAUCCACUUUUCCCUGCAAGAUACUGAGGAAAGCAUUGCGUGGAAGAAAAUUUGGAAGUGAAAUACCUUUGGCCUUCUCCAAGAUCUUGAUCUCCUUCAUCAAGAAGUUGCUCUUUGCAUCAGUUUCAGCACAUCUGUGAAGUUCAUCAGAGUACAGGUUGACCAAUCUAGCAGUGCAGUGCAUGCUGUCUUCUGCGUACUCGUCAAAUUCUCCUCUCAAAAGAAUCUUCCUAAGCGAUUCCUUAGCCAAGCCAAUGAUUUGCAUAAAGGCCGUCAUGGCCUCGGCAACAGAUGAAAGACUCUUUGGCAUUUUAUUCAGUUCCAUAAUGCAGAAGUUCAGCCUGUCAUUGAUCUUCUUCACUAUAUCGGGUAUAUUUCUUGCUAUGCUGUUUGCUUGAAUUUGGACCAGCUUCUGUGCUAAAACUGGAAUACCGACAAUGGACUUGUCAAUCUUCGAAAGCAGGGGAUGGGUUUGAAAUAGUUCAUGAGCCAUCGCCGCUGCCUCCUCAUAAGUUUCGUCACCAAUCCUGUUCCUUACACAGACAUAACCAAGACCAAUGUUUACAUCAUCUCCGGUGACCUUCUCAAGUAGUCCUUCCGGUGCCUUGUCCACUUUCGUAACCACAGCGAGCGUCCUCUCACCAGUUUUAUCUACACUUUGUGACAUCCGAAUUGACUCACACGUAGUAAAAUCCACCGUAGCAGACAAUACAUUCAGAAUAAUACUUUCUUCCGGCUUAAUAUACUCCAUGAUCAUAUCUUUGAUCUGAUCAUAAAUAUUUUCAGGUUGGCCAUGGACCGGAACCCUUGUGAUUCCCGGAAGAUCAACCAUAGUCAGAUCCGGAACCCCAUUCUUCUUCACCAACAAAUUAAGUGGCGUGUUCGAAAUUCCCUUACCUCCUCCCGCAAUAGAAUUAGUAGCUUUCACAAUAUCUUUGGCGAUAUUGUCUUCAUCAGUACGAUCAACUCUGCCAUUGUACUCCAAGGAAAGUUCAGGCUGAGGACUCGAGUGGUGUUCCAGCCUCAUAAUAAGAGGCACUCUCCUGCAGAUGCCUUGGCCCCGAGGGAGGCUGAUGCCGGCCAAGGAUUCGAGCACGCUGGACUUCCCCGAUGACUGGUCUCCGACCACCACAAUCGUUGGCAGCUGAAUGCCUUCAUCCAUCACCAUCAAGCUGCGUAACUUGUCUACCGCAUCCAGAAGAGGGCGGAUCUUGUCGUUGUAGGACGACACAAUGGGUGCGCAUUUGAGAGGUACUGCGUCUAGUUCUGCCUGAACCAUGGCGAGGGAGCCUUCACCGUUUAAAUCUGUGCAACUCGAUUCCAUUUGCCUUGGUCCUUCCGUUUCUGAAUUAUAGCAAGUGAAAAUAAUGGUGAAAAAUCUAGAGAGAAACCGAGAUAAUUUCAAGCUUAGCUAAAGAAUUGAGGUUCUCUGGCAGCUUACCCUCCAGUUGAGAACCUUUUUUUACUAAGAAUGAUUUCAGGUAAGGGAAAACACCACUUUCGUGACCCUGUAGGAAACGAAGCCUUUCCUUCCAAUGCUGCAUUUCCACAAACUCAAGAGACUCUAAUACCCCAAAAGGCAAGUUACGCUCUCCAUAAAACUCAGCACCAAUUCGAAGAUGGAGUAAAAUGUUCUGUAUUGAGUUUAUGACUUAAUGGAGUAAACUGUUCUAUUUAUAGCUACUGCUAUAUAUCAUUCUUAGCCUUUAAGCAACUUAACUGACUCUCAAUCAACAAUAACAACACAUCUAAUAAAAAUGCUACUUUAUUUGUACCAUCAUUUGCUUACACUGAUAAAUAGCACUCAUACUCAUAAGCUGACAUGGCAGCCACAUCACUUAAAGUAAGAAGAUUACUUGUCAGAGAAGAUAUCAGUCAGGAAGAAGUGAGAAAGCUGGUUUUAGUAAGUGCCUUAGGCUUAAAGGCUUCUGGUAGUACGUAUACUUGUUCAGCAUAACCUAUCGAAGUAAAUGACAACCAGCCGUUUCAAAACCGCAUGCUGAGAGAGUUGUGAUUUGGACUUCCAAACGUUUAGCAAACCACACCUCAUGCGAGCCUUUGAACCCUAAUCAGUGUAAAUGUAAUAUGGACAGUUAACUGAUGACCAUUUUUUGUGCUUGAUGCUCUUGGACUUCAAUCAACCUUUAUAUAUUAUUCAUUCAAAUAAUCGAUCACAAGCUAGCCAAUGUAAGUUGUAACCCAACAGAGACGAGAUGUUGAAGAAAAUUAUAUAUUUUUUGUACUAUGGUAAGAAAACUAAGGCACCCAUUAGAGAAAGAGAAGUGCUAGCAGCCUUUGCACUAAUAUUUGUAUUUGGACCCUUUCAGUUUAACAAAUAACACAUUAUUUUCUAUACAAAAAAAAAAAAGCAAGAAUUUUGUCUAGGAAUUAACGAUGAGAAAUUGAAUCUAACAACCAAAAUUAAAGUUAACAAAAAAAAAUAGAGAACUUAAUUCUUAUCGAAUCGAAUCUACCUUUAUGAUCGUGCUCCAGAGAAAUUGAAAAGAAUGGAGGGUUUUUGAAUUUGGUAUUUUUUGUGUGGAGAAAAAUGAAACAGAAAGAGCCUUUGAAGAUUCCUUUUUGAGUUUUCACAUUAGGAAUUGGAUAUGCUCCCAAUUUUAGUGUCCGGAGCAUGUCCAUCAAUCGAUUUGGGUUGCUAAUUUGUGUGCAAAAGAAAUCAAAGUCGUUCAUUGUGUGUGGUGGGUCAGGAAAAUAAAUUAAAGGAGGCCGUUAGAUUCAAUUUGUGUGGCCCAAAUUGGUUGAUGCACAUGCUCCAGAAACUAAGGUCUGGAGCGGAUCCAAUUCCUUCACAUUGUGGAAUUUUGUUUCACUUUUACCAUUGUAAGACCAUAGAUCAUGGAUGCUGACAUGGUUGGAUAGGUGUCAAAUGAUGGUGUCCUUGGGGUCUCCACUGUGUCAAAGAAAAAGUAGUCCCCAUGGGCAUCCGAGCGGAAAGAGAACCCACGAUAGUAUAAAGAUUUUGCAUCACACUCAUAGCUUUGACAUCAAUCCUUUUCCCCUCCUUGCCGAUGUUCUUUAUAUUUUACUUUCUUUCUUGAUAAGUUGUUUGUAGAUGACAUUUUCUGAGAAUCUCUUGGGUGUCGUAUGCGUGCUACAUCACUCGUUUGUGUCAAAAUAUAUAUAAACAUUAUUUCUUUCAAUUGAUAUUUAAAAUUAAAAGUCUACAGACACUUUUUGGGUGAACUUGAAUUAAGGAAUUCUCAUUUUAUGUGUUAAGUUUUAUGCGGAUGAGUUACGUGGUACAAAUUCAAGAAUUACUCUACAUUUUAAGCUGUUUUUUUAAACAUUUAUAAGCACAUAUAACUGAACUAGAACGCCACAUGACAAUAAAUGAAUUUUAUAUAAAUCAUUGUUACUUGGAGACUAAGAUUAUGACACCAUUAAAUAUUACAUUGUUUUGCAAGAAAAAAGAGAACAUGGGAAAGAUAACAGGACCAAAACAAUUGAGACUACAAUUUAGGACAUAUUGUACCACAUCUUAAAAAAAAAAGUGGAAUUUACUUAUAUUAUGAAACCUACUAGUAUUAAAUGGUUUACAAUGUAAUUUACUAAAGUAUAACCUCUCUAGCUGAUAAGCCUAUGAGUAAUUAGCGUUUGUAGACAUCAAAUGCUAAUGAGAAAAAAAAAAAUCUAAUUUCAUCCUAUCCACCUCUAUUAUAAAAUUUAUGUUUCAAUGCAUAUACUAACGAUCAAAAUUCAAAUUUCAAUUGUAGAACUGAACCAAAUUAUUGGUAACAAAGCGAUAAUAUAACGAUCAAAACUCAAAGAACUCAUGCCCCGAGUCUAUCAAUAUUUAUUAAAUCCAAAUGUUGUCAACUAUUGGUCUAGUGGUAACUCGUCUUAAUUUUUUACAAGCGAAAAUUCUAGAGUACAUCAACUUAUAACAUAAAUUACAAAAUUUAACGGUUAAUAUGUGUUCAAGAAAUCAAAGAAAUCUAAGAUGUAUCAUUUAUGAAUAUGGUCUACAUGCGAAAUUAUCCUCAAAGAUCAUUGUUGGACAUCAAUGACGGAAGAAAAUCGACAAGUGCUUUGAAUAUGCUCGACAACGACUCUCAACUAUGUACACUCACGAGCAGCCUUAUAGAGGGCAAGUAUCCUUGACAUAAUUCGAAGACGUAGUAACUAAAGCAUGCUUAGCAGACCUCCAAGAAAUUGUGGUUCCACCAACAACACCCAUUUGGGAUCUUGCCGUGUGCAGAUUGAAUAAGUACCCAUCAUCAACAUAACCAACAAAUGGAACUCGAGAACUGGGGUGGGGGGGGGGGUGGUGUGGGAUGGUUGCACUCGAAGUUGAGUAGGGAUGGAACAAGCCCAGGUCAACAGUACCAUUAAGAUAACAUAGAAUUUCUUUAACACCUUUCAAUGUCUGCGUGUUGGCACAUGAUUGUGUCGUGCUAAGUGAUUCAUAAUGUAGGAAAUGUUAGGUCUUGUACACUGAGAUAAGUACAACAAAGCACCAAUUGCACUUAAGUAUGGAACCUUGGGUUCUAAAACCUCUUCAUCAUCUAUCUUUGGAUAUUAUAAGUCUCGUUGUGCAUUGAUGAGUCCAUAUUGUACUAUAUAUUUUACCCUAAUCUUAGUUACAAUUUUUUGGUUAUUUUGGUGAAGUUUUGAUACUUUGGUUUAUAUUUUUAAUGUAGAACAUUUGAAUUCCUCUUGAGCAUAAAGUGAUCAAACAGACAAAUUUUGGAGCAAUUCCAACUGAAGGAUGUUCGUGAGUCUUUCAAGAUGAUUAUGUCAAAAUUCUAGAUUUUUUUACCAAGCCAUUUGACCGUGGCCAUGAUAAGAAUGCCCAGCGCGCAGUUUUUCUAGAUUGACAUUUCUGGACGUUUUGGGUAUUUUGAAGGUUAAUAUGGCAUAUUUUAAGGAAGAUUCAAUCUGAAGAUUUGUAAAUGACGUCUCAAACUUUUAAAAAAAACCUUUUGGGACCAAAUCGGAGUUGAUUUAAUUAGUCAAAAGUUUGAUUUUCUAAGAAGUCCGAAUUUCAGUUCAAAUAGGAAAUCUUUUAUUUCCUAGUCAUCUUAUUCUAUUAUGUUUCCUAGUUUUUAGAAGACCUUUUCUAAGUAGGAUUUUAUUUUGUCGUAGUACAAAUAAGGCUAUUUAGCUAUUAGGAGGGGAAGGCAUCAAUUUGGAGAACUUAGCUAGGCUUUGACGAUUUGUAUUUCAAGGUGUUUUAUAUCAUUUUUCUAUUUCAAUAAAAUUCCUUUUGUUUUAUGGUUGUUGGUAACUAAUUUCCGUUUGUUCGGGUGAUGCCUUGAGCCUUAGCAUGAAUAUGUAGUUAAUUUAAUUGCUUAUGAUAUUAUGCAUACUUUGAAUUAUCAAUCACUGUACUUUAAACUGUAUUUGUGUCUUAAUGAUUCAUGACCAUUAGGAUGAUUAGAUAAGUAAUUGGAUGCAAUUCGGUCGGAAUACCACCAGGGAAUUGAGUAUUGCUUCUUGUGAUUGAUAGUUGUAAUUUCACCUAGAGCAAAUACCAUGUCUUAGGGGUUGCAUGGUUUUUUCAAGGGGUUUUAACAAAGCGUAAUGAGUCAUGCAUGUUUAUAUUUGAUCUGAAUACCACAGACAGAUUGCAUGUUUGAUAUACAUUCUAGCUUGAAUACCACGAGUAGAAUAUACAUUAGGAAAACCUAACCUUCAAAGUUGCAUGGGUAAUUCGUAAGUAAUUAGUAAAUCUACAUAGGAUUGUUCAGGGGAUGGCUGAAUCUUAGUGCUUUUCUAAAUUUAUUUCUUAAAACCUUUUCUUUUUUAUCUGAUUUCUUCUUAAUUGGUUACUAGUAGUUUUGUGACAACCCGUCCCGAAUUUGUAUGUAUUUUAAUCCCCGAGUGUGUAAAAUGACGGAAAUGCCCUCGAGGCUUAGUGACGUGGAUGUACAUAGAUAGUUUUAAAUUAUUUUUCUCGCUGUCAUAAUUAAAUCAUACACGACGCCACGAGCGCAUUGACGCGAAUUAGGGUUGAAUCGGAUUCGUAACGAAAAUGUUACAAACGAAUAGGUGUAAAUGAAUAAGUUUGGAUUUAUACCUAACCCACCAAUCAUAUUACUUCCUACAAUCUUGGACCCAAUUAAUUGUUUGGGUUAGCUUUAUUUCUUUUUGGACCCUAAAACCCACCAUCUCUUCUUGCCCAAUCCGGAGGUGCGCGCGCGCGCACACACACACACACACACACUAAAAAUAUCUCAUUUCUCUCCUUGGUGACCAAUCACACACACACACUAAAAAUCUCUCAUUUCUCUCCUUGGUGACCAAUCAGACGCACACACACACACAACCUCAUCUCAUCUCCUUCAUCUUCUCGAACUCUCUCAUUCGUCUGUACACCGUACGAACACCAUUCACAAAUCCACCAAAAACUUCACGGAUCAAGUAUUUGAACACCACUAUCACCUUUCCAGUGAUCUCAUGAGCGAAACUCUGAGAACCCAGAGCUUCGGCGAGGUACUCUAUUACUCUAAUGUGAUUAUGGACAUUUCAUGAGAUUUUGAGGCUUAAAUAGGGUCUUAAUCAACUCUAUAAGGAUCCUAGGCUAGUUUUGGACUGGUUUGAACGUCAGAAUCCUCGAGAUCACGGAGUUGCAGUUUUGGCUGGUUGUGUCGAGCUAUUUUCUGUCCAUUUCUCGAAGGUUUUAGGUUCCUAAAUAGGUAAGGACUUGUUCUCCUUGUUGAGAGCUUCAAUUCCAUAUAAACUUUAAGAAUUUUGGUUGAGUUUUGAAGAAGAUAUGAAUAUUUUAAAAUUUCCCAGUUUCCGGCGAGUUCAGACGGCGGCGGAGGACAACGGAUUCCGUCGAAGUUCACCGUUGAAGACAGAGAAUAUUCCGUGAACUUUAACGGAAUAUUCUAACGGCGUCAGGUAACUUUAACGGAAUAUUCUAGGAUUUUAACGAAAUAUUCCCUAACGCUGUUAGGGUUUCCGUAGUUGUAUCAAACACGUGCCUGCGCGUGGGACAUCAGAAAAUUGUUCUAAAAAUAUGGGGAUGUUCGUGGUGUUAAGUAGCCCACGAUGAUAUAUUCAAACACUCAAAUUGAGCAACGCAUGAGAAAUUAUUACACGGUUUUGGUUAUGUACUUUCAAAUUAACAUUUAAUCAGUUGUUUCACAUAUGGGUGAGACGUUUUCGGAGGACGAGUGUAGCCAGGUAGGACUUGGGGGCUACGACCCUGCUACAUACCAGUGAGUGGGCUUUUGGUUUUCUAUAUAUACGUAUAUAUGCUUUACUUUUUCUUAGAAACUUUUUAAAAUGGAUUCACGUUUUUUAAAUGCCAUGUCAAUUGCAUCACAUUUUAGUAUAUGCAUUAGUAUAGAUAUGCAUAAUGUUGCAUGACACUGCGGACGCCCAGGUAAGCUUCAGGUGAGUACAUAUUGAUGAUAGAGAUGGCAACGUGUAUGGUUAUGUUUAGAUAUAUUUAGUGCUCAUUAUCUUGCACCUCGGUAUUAGUGCUCCACUCGAGGCCAGGGCCUAGCGUUCACGUGAUUGUUCGCCUCCCUUACCACACGCUCACCUUGGAUCUAAUGCAGGUGCCAGCCUGUUGUACAGACCACAUUAGGUGGUUCCGACUCGUAGGUGCCUUGCGAUAUUUCGCACAGCCUUCACGUGAUCGUAGCACUUGAACGUACUUAUUCACACCCAGCCUGUCGUACAUACCACAUUAGGUGGUUCUGAAUCGUGUGCAGGAAUUGGUAGAUGAGCUAUAGGUUUAGCCAUACAGGUCACGUUAGGUGACUCCCGCUGCCAUAUCACUUUACAUUGUUUCACAUCACCUGGCUUAUAUAUUUUAUUACUAAGAUACUUGACAUGGCAUAUACUCGGUUUUCACCGAUCUCGAGUAUGAUUUCUAUAUAUGUAUGUAUUAUUAUUUUCUAGGAAAUUAUACGGGUUUUACGGUGAGGGGUUAUUAUGUUUAAAAAGAGAAAUGUGUUUUCAAAACUUUGCUUUUGCCCACUCACAAUUUCUGUUUUGUGCCCUCUAGGUUCUAGCUAGAAGUUUUUGUUGGUGGCUCAUGAGGACUCUACGACGGUUCUGACAGCCUUGCAAUAAUGUAGGAACUUUCUUUCACGUUCUGUAUAAUUAAUACUUAACUUACUAGACUGCACUUAGGUUACCUAUGCUCUGAGUAUUGUAUUUCCCACUUUAAACACUUUCACACACUUACAUACUACUCUAGUGUAACUUAGUUAGUUUUAGUUUUUAAUUACCCACAUUUCAAAUCACUAUCACUUCCGCAUUGCGCACAUGGCUACAUCACCCUCACGUGACGACCAACAUGCCUCGAUUCAGGUCGAGGUGUGUCAUGUUUUUCCUAAAUUAAUUUUAUUAAAUUCGUUUUUAUUAUAUUUAAAUUCAAAAUCAAAAUUUUUGAAUCCUUGUUUUUAGAUAAUUAACUAAGAUUUUGGUUUUGCAUAAAUUGUUUUAAAUAAUCCUUGUGGAAACGAUCUUGCUUGAACCGUUUAUACUACAAUUACCUUAUUCUCUUGCAAGUAUUUUGUGUGAUUAUAACCUCUUUACAUAGGUACUAAAAAUCCUAUCAUGCAUCAAGUGUACGGGUGGCCAUGAGAGUACUCAAAGGCAACACUUUAUCAUUAAAGCAAUGUAACACCGUCUUGGUGUUGUUUGACUGAUGGACCAGAAUUUUGGAUUGUGAACUACCUUAGUACAUAUGUGCAGAAGUGUGGCGGGUGACGUAAACAUAAAUAAUCAUUUUAACAUGCAUGUUAAUGGAAUGUUGGAUUCCGUUUAAUCAUAUUAAAUUAAUUUAUGUAUUGAUUAUCUUCAGGUAUAAUAAACCACAAAUGUGUGUUGCACGCCCUAGGGAAAUUUUUGAGAAACUUUUGGGUUCACUAGUCUGUAUCACGCCACUUGCUCGUCUAAAAAAGAGAUUCUUUCACGUCACCAGUUUACCAUGCUACAAUUUUGAAUUUAUUAGAUGGAUAAUACAUUUUGUUUAAUAAAUGACCAACUUUACAAAUAUUUUUGUGAAGUGAUUUCACACAUAUUUUUUAGCUUUUUACACACCCAUGUUUAAUUUUGGAUGUUGAUUCUGUUUGAUUUAUUCAAUCUGAUGGCCAUAAAUAAAGAGAGGUAUGUGAGGAACUAAAAAUGGUGUGUGAAAAUCCAUGACACUGCUGAGCAUGAAUUUUAGUUAGAUGAAAAAAAACCUUACGCCUGAUACAAGUGGGAGGACAUGACAUGAUUGCCUUUAUUCAAGGAUGAGGAAUGCUAAGGUGACUAUCAAGAGUAGGACUCUCCAAGAACUCUUUGCCACCUCAUAGUUAGUUUAACGUCAAUUCAUUCAUGUGCCAGCAUUAUAAGACUAAUGCUAGGAAGACUAAAUUUGUAGACUAAAUUUGUAAACUAAAUGACAUGGAAGUUGAUUAUUAGAUUAUUACUUAAGCGUUAAUAAACGUGCUCAUUUUCUAUUGGUGACACGUCAUUUAGUUUGUAAAUUUUGUCUACAAAUUUAGUCUCCAUAGCGGUACUUGUAUUAUAAAACAUUGUGCCAAAUAUAUGAGGUGACAAAGAGUCUCAAUUUUGAGAGAGUAUCAUUAGCAUUUCUCUUCAAGAAUUUAUCCACAUUCUCCCUACUUAAUAAUUUCACCAAAAAUGGUUUCUGAAUGCUAAUGAUACUCCCUCAAUUUUGAGAGAGUAUCAUUAGCAUUUCUCUUCAAGAAUUUAUCCACAUUCUCCCUACUUAAUAAUUUCACCAAAAAUGGUUUUUGAAUGCUCACUUAUCAAAAUUAAGCCCCUGUUUAGUAUUUUUUUUUUCAUCAAAAGUUGCUUCACUUUAAAGUUAAGUAGUAAAAGUGUGUUUGGUAAAAAUAAAUUAUUUUGCUUAUAUUAAGCAUAAUGAAUGACCUCUAGAUAGCAGCUUUUAAAAGCAUCUUGUAGAUACAAAUGCUUUAAUACAAAGCAGAGUUGAGCCUUUAAUGAAUAUUUUUAAUUCCUAUAAUACGCUAAAUAAUUUUAAAAAAUAACAUUAUUUAUUCUUGUAGGCACAUUUUAUCAUUGAAGAAUAAAGUUGUGAAAUCUCGUUCCCAAAAGUUCAUUAUUUAAUUUAUGUAUUUCAUAUCUAUUUGAUUUUAUUUAACUAUAUUUUUGUUAAUAUUAGAAUUUUAAUUAUUUAGUUACAAAUUUUAGUUUUUCAUAAUUAGUCAAAAAGAAAAAAAAACUAGAAUCUGCCAGAUGGCAGCGGGAGAGAGAUAGACCAAUUAGAAGAGAGAGAAAUGAGAGAAAGGAUGGGGACCUAGCCAAUCAGAAAAGAGAGCAAGGAGGGGAAAUGAGGGAGAGAAAAACCACCCAAUACCGGAUUUUUGCAUCGACUUGUGAUUUCGUCGAUUUCAUCGGUUUUUCCGACGAAUUCCACUUAGCCGUCACUUGCACACUCCACCCCGACCUCCAUUCUCUCAUUUCCACAAAAAAUACGUGAGUUUUUGGCCUGGAUUUCACAAAAAAUUGCGUCGAGGGCUUUGUGGGUGCACGGUGUCAAUUUCGUCAUUUCUAAAAGGUUUUUCGUCAACCACUGCCACCCUUAGGCGUCUUUUGAGUCCAAGAACAUAGCCUAAAUGAGUUUGGGGGUUGCAGAGCUGCGAAUUCGACAAAUCGAGGAACACCCAUUUCUAGGGUUCCGAUGGAUCGAGGGUGUUUUCAGGCGUUUCUCGGUCAAAUUGGACUUUGGCCUAGGUAUGAAAGUUGUUUCCCUUGUUGUGAUCUACAAUUCUGUAAAAUUUGGUAAUUUUUAGAGUUAGGUGAAUUUUUUGGUGAGUCGAGGCGACACAUGGCCCGAAGAACCACUUGACCUUUCUUGGCUAAAUUCAAUACCCUGAUUCCAUAUGUGACUUGUAAUUGAUGAAAUCCCGUCGUUCGAACAUAGUUUUGAUAGAGGCUGCCACUUGAUCAUUAUAUGAAUUGACGAUCCAACCGUUGGAUCGACACCAAACUUUAGUGCGUUAUAGUACGUAAUAUUUGAGACAUUAGUAACUUAGCGAUCAGGAAUCUGAUGUACGGAUCUUUCCGAAUUGAAUUUCUAAGUUUGUAAAAUCAAACAUUGGCCACCAUUUAAUUUUAGCGAUUGGCGGAGAUCUGACAGUCGGAUUGUUCUGAAAUUUUAGGAUAUUGUUCUAGGAGAUUAUUGAGAGUCUUGGGAAGUUAUGCAUCGGAGAUCCAUGGGCAGAUGUUCUAGAUCGAAUUAUAUAGGGUUGUGGACCCCACCGUUGACAGAGAGUUGACUUUUGGUCAAUAUGUUACGAAUUGAUCUUAAAUAAUAAAAUUAGUAUUACUAGAUACUAAGUAGGGCUUAGUGGGCCUAUAUGGGUUGGUGAGCUAUCACAGGUAAUAUAUACCUCGGUAUACGUGUAUGGGAUGCUUUAUGGUGAUAUAUAUAUGUGUGUGUAAUUAACUUCUUGAUAAUACGAAUGAUACGAAUGAUACGAAUGAUAAUUUUUAUGACAAUGUGAGCCUAGAAACCUAUUAGAAGUAUCCUGGUAGAACUUGUAUGCUUAUGUGACAUGUUAGUUAGUGGCCAUGAGGAAUUGAUAGUGCAGGUGAUUACGUUGUAAAUCAUAGAGGUUGAGAUAUACGAGUAAGUAGGUUGUGUGGUGAUAAGAAUGGAUCAUGUAAUAAUGUGGUACGUGGGUGGUCCUGCUUGGUUAAUCUACAUUAGGGGACCACGCCAUGUGAUGCAGGGGUAUGGUCCGGUUUGGUUAAUACACAUUAAGGGACCAUACGCAUCAUAGGGGUGACCCUGCUUGGUUAAUCCGCAUUAGGGAGUCACUGCCUAGGCCAUUUCUUUAUUUCCAUAGUUGGUCUUACUUGGUUAAUCCGCAUUAGGGGACCAUACUAUGGACGAUCCUACUUGGUUAAUCUGCAUUAGGGGACCAUAUGCAUCAUGGGGGUGACCCUGCUUGGUUAAUCCAUAUUAGGGGGUCACUGCCUAUUCCAUUUCUCUAUUUCCAUAGUUGGUCAUGCUUGGUUAAUCUGCAUUAAGGGACCAUACUAUGGGCGGUCCCAAUUGGUUAAUCCGCAAUAAAGGAUCAUACUAUCGGAUACAUGCCUAUGGUUCUACUUGGUAUAUCUGCAAUAGGGGACCAUACGCAAUCUAUGAGUGAUUAUACUUGAUAUAUCCGCGAUGGGUGAUCAUUGCCUGCACAGUUGGAUUAUGCUUAUGAUUCUGCUUGGUAUAUUCGCAAUGGGAGACCAUACACAUUUUAGGGGUGAUGAGGAUUAGUUGUACUUGGUACAUUUCGAUAGGAGCCAUAUUUUAGUCGAAUUUCGUUGAGUGGUUCGAAAUCCUUACUCUUGCUUAUUUCCACAUAAUUAGUCUCGAACCCUAGAUUCGAGUGAAUGAGGAUUACUCACAGUAGACCUUAUGAAUAUAAAUUAGAUUUACCAUGUUAUUACUUAUAAAUCAAGUAAGGAAUUAUGUAGGGUUCUUUAAAUUAAUUCAUGAAAUGAUAUGUUACCUCAUUAAUUGAUUAACGUAGUUAAAUGUUAUUAUUAUGCAUCCUUGAUUCAUGAAAUUGAUUAAUUUACAUGAUUGUGGAAUGACAUUGGUUAUGGUUGGUGUUACUAUGAUUAGAUUAGUUGAUUAAUGUGGAUUGAGAAUAAUAUUGUGCUUCAUUGGUUCUUUGAUAUGAUACAUGUUGUGAAUUGAGGUAUCAUGUUGAAAACAUAGUGAUUUAUAUGAUCGAUGGAAUGGAAAUCUUGAAUGUCAUGUGGGUUUAUUUUGUAGCCCUGAACCUGGUAAUUUCAUGCUUUUCAAGUUCUAAUAAUUGAUUGAGGAAUGCUCUACUUUUAUGCUUAAACGUACUGUGAUAAACUCAGAGUGUAGUGAAUGGUGAACUACGAAUGACUUGAUCCCGUCUUUGGGUACAUAGGCAGUCUAACACAAAGGUUAGAUGCAGCCAUGAAAUAAAAGAAAAUGACUGCGUGGUUAAAUCAUAUUAUUUUUUUUCUUGUCUCGGAGACGAGACAUGAUGAAUAAACUAAGAUGUGCUGAUAUCACGUGUCGAUCUUGGACGUAUGUCGGGAUCGGGGCAUGACAAAAGUGACCACCGCCAUAAUCACCACCAUUGUUGCCACCACCACCACACUACAAUUGUGCCACCACCACCACCACCAUUGCCAUUGUUACCACCAUGCCAUCACCCCCACCAUAAACACAACCGCCACCACUGCUACCACAACUGCCAUCAUCACUGUUAUUGCCACCCCUACCACCGAUGUUGCCUCUGCAGCCCAACCACCACACCCCUUUAUUGGCACCACCACCACCAGCACCACACCAUCACAACCCUUGCCCUUAUCACCAUUGUCGUCGUCAUCACCAAUAUUGUUACGUCUAUUUUUGUCAUUAUAUACAAUUAUAAAUUAUCAAACGCUUUUACACUGUUUUUUAUACUCACAACACUUCUAAAAAUAUAGUUCAUCAAACACUAAACAACUUUAUUUUGUACCAGAUUAUUCUUAAAGCACAUCAGAAGCAGGUUUUUAAAAAAACACAUCAAUCUCAAAAUGGCCUUAAGAUUAUGGGUUUUUCAAUUGAGGUAAAUAUAUUAUGUAUUUGACCAAAACGAUUUUAAAUAAUUUGUCAUAAGAUGACGCGAAAGAAGAACGGAAAUGUGACACAUGAAAUUGAACCAAAGCAAAUGAUUUUCUUGGGUUUUAACACCCAUAUAUUUUUUUGUUGGUUUAUCAUUUUCACCAAGCUCCACCUCAUCUAUAAUCUUUAUGUAUUAUGUUCCGAUCCCGAAACCAAGCUCCACCUCAUCAAUAAUUAAAUAAUUUGAUGGCAUUACUUUUGUUUCCUUUCUCAAUUUAAAGGCCCAAACAAGAAACAAAGCAACACUAGACAAAGACCACUGCUGUAUAAUGGGUGUUUUAGAAACUCAAAAGGAAAGAAACUCAAAAGCUUCAAUUUGUUUGUCGUGCUCUUUUAACUUCCACUUUUACUGUUAUACAAGCGAAAACAAGAGAGAUUUAAUAUGAGUAAAGGGAUACUUUACUUCUUGAGAUACAAGUUUACUGUUGUAAUCUAGCAAGGUUUCUUCUAAGGAUCUUGGCUUUCUUUAUCUGUAAAGAAGAUGGGUUUUUGGUUGUUUAAUUAAUUUCUACCCAGAAUUGCAAGAUAAAAAGGGAUACAAAGGAGAAGACACACACACACGUGUUUUUUUAAAGAUGAUUACAUUUCCUGGAUAGAACUGAGAAGAUAUAUAAACCGGCAAACAAGUUUAUUUAUCUUAGGAAAGUAACAGUAUUUCCAUAUUCACUUUCAUGUUAUUACAACUUUCAUCUUAUUACAACUUUGAUGUCGAAAAUUAGAAAAUUUAAGGAAGGUGGUUUUCUUAUCAGUUAGGGUUUCUAUAAUGCGCGUUGAAUUCUUUAUCUAAGUAAGUUUUUAUCUGUUAGAUCACGACGGCUCACUGUCAAAUUAAAUGAAAAGUAAUGAAAGCACAAAACAGAAAACAAAAUAUCGUAGUUGACUGCUGGUAGGAUAAAUUUGCAGUUAAAUUUCAUCGAAAACAUUAAACUUGACAAGGAUUACCAGAACCAUAAAAUUACCACAUAACAAGUACACAAAGGAAACGAAAAACUUGAAACAAAAGUUCACAAACAAAUAACCAACGACAUAAGAAAACAGACUGCAUACUUUUAUUUAGACCAUUUUUUAGUACCCUCAAAACUAAUUGGCAAGUUAGUUAAUCCCCAUAAGUGACAAUGCUGUCCAUAAUCUUGGCCACUACCUCCUUAGAAUCCCUCAGUUUUUUUAUGCUUUUGUUAAGCUUCUCACGCUUUACUGCCACUGCCGGGGACUCCUCCAACAUCCUCUCAAUUCCCCCACCGUAAGGUCCCAACAACUCAUUCACAAUCUCAGCUUCCAUCUCUUUGUUCACAAGGUUGAAAACAGACAGCUGCAAGUGCAAUGCCAUGCAGUCCACAAGCCUCCUCAAAACAACCUUCCAAUAAGCAAUCAUUCUCAUUUUAAGGUCAUAAGCUUGAGCUAACACAUGCGGGUACUUCCUCAGAACACCGACUUCCACUUCCCCGAUGCCUUCUAUAUCUAUGAUAGAAGGCUUCUUCUCAUCAGUUAAGACUCCAUGAAUGAAUUCGUUUUGACUAGCCAUCAGCUUGUUCCAUUCGGAAACAUAAUCACCAUCACAUGUAUAAUCUGUCAGCUUUUCCAUCUCUACAAGCUCCAGCAUCCACUUGAUUGACCUCUCCUUCAUCUUGGCCAUUAGACUAUGGCCGGCACGCCUUGCUGACAGCUGCAGCUGAUGAUAGUUAUCCGUAUAAUGCAUCAACACAGAAAUAACCACCUCUUCAAUGUAGUUCCACACUUUUUCCUCAAAUGCAAUCGGAAUACUCGAAAUUUCAUUCACUUUUGCCUGCAAGAUAAUGAGGAAAGCAUUGCGUGGAAGGAAGUUCGGAAGUGAAAUACCUUUGGCCUCCUCCAAGAUCCUGAUCUCCUCCAUCAAGAAGUUGCUCUUUGCAUCAGUUUCAGCACAUCUGUGAAGUUCAUCCGAGUACUGGUUGAGCAUCUCAACCAAUCUAGCAGUGCAGUGCAUGCGAUUGUCUUCCGCGUACUCCUGAAAUUCUCCUCUCAAAAGAAUCUUCCUAAGCGAUUCCUUAGCCAAGCCAGUGAUUUGCAUAAAAGCCGUCAUGGCCUCAGCAACCGAUGAAAGACUCUUUGGCAUUUUGUUCAGCUCCAUAAUGCAGAAGUUCAGCCUGUCAUUGAUCUUCUUCACUAUCUCAGGUAUAUUUCUUGCUAUGCUGUUUGCUUGAAUUUGGACCAGCUUCUGUGCUAAAACUGGAAUGCCGACAAUGGACUUGUCAAUCUUCGAAAGCAGAGGAUGGGUUUGAAAUAGUUCAUGAGCCAUCACCGCUGCCUCCUCAUCAGUUUCGUCACCAAUCCUGUUCCUUACACAGACAUAACCAAGACCAAUGUUUACAUCAUCUCCAGUGACCUUCUCAAGUAGUCCUUCCGGUGCCUUGUCCACUUUCGUAACCACAGCGAGCGUCCUCUCACCAGUUUUAUCUACACUUUGUGACAUCCGGAUUGACUCACACGUAGUAAAAUCCACCGUAGCAGACAAUACAUUCAGAAUAAUACUUUCCUCCGGCUUAAUAUACUCCAUGAUCAUAUCUUUGAUCUGAUCAUAGAUAUUUUCAGGUUGGCCAUGGACUGGAACCCUUGUGAUUCCCGGAAGAUCAACCAUAGUCAGAUCCGGAACCCCAUACUUCUUCACCAACAAAGUAAGUGGCGUGUUUGAAAUUCCCUUACCUCCCCCCGCAAUAGAAUUAGUAGCUUUCACAAUAUCUUUGGUGAUAUUUUCUUCAUCAGUACGAUCAACUCUGCCAUUGUACUCCAAGGAAAGUUCAGGCUGAGGACUCGAGUGGUGUUCGAGCCUCAUAAUAAGAGGCACUCUCGUGCAGAUGCCUUGGCCCCGAGGUAGGCUGAUGCCGGCCAAGGAUUCGAGCACGCUAGACUUCCCGGAUGACUGGUCUCCGACCACCACAAUCGUUGGCAGCUGAAUGCCUUCAUCCAUCACCUUCAAGCUGCGUAACUUGUCUACCGCAUCCAGAAGAGGGCGGAUCUUGUCGUUAUAGGACGACACAAUGGGUGCGCAUUUGAGGGGUACUGCGUCUAGUCCUGCCUGAACCAUUGCGAGGGAGCCUUCACCGUUUAUAACUGUGCGACUCGAUUCCAUUUUCCUUGGUCCUUGCGUUUCUGAAUUAUAGCAAGUCAAAACAAUGGUGAAAAAUCUAGAGGGAAACCGAGAUUGUAGAGAGAUGAGAGAGAAUUCGAAGAUGGAAAAUGUUCUGUAUUGGGUUUAUGACUUAAUGGAGUAAAAUGUUCUAUUUAUAGCUACUGCUAUAUAUCAUUCUUAGCCCUUAAGCAACUUAACUGACUCUCAAUCAACAAUAGCAACACAUCUAACAAAAAUGCUACUUUUCCGAUAUAUUUGUACCAUCAUUUGCUUACAUUGAUAAAUCGGACUCAUACUCAUAAGCUGACAUGGCAGCCACAUGACUUAAAAGUAAGAAGAUUACUUGUCAGCGAAGAUAUCAGUCAGGAAGAAGUGAGAAAGCUGGGUUUAGUAAGUGCCUUAGGCUUAAAGGCUCCUAGUUGUAUGUAUAAUUGUUCAGCAAAACCUAUCGAAGUAAAUGACAACCAGCCUUUUCAAAACCGCAUGCUGAGAGAGUUGUGAUUUGGACUUCCAAACGUUCAGCAAACCAAACCGCUUGCGAGCCUUUGAACUUCUAAACCCUAAUCAGUGUAAAUGUAAUAUGGACAGUUAACUGAUAACCAUUUUUUGUGCUUGAUGCUCUUGAACUUCAGUCAACCUUUAUAUAUUAUUCAUUCAAAUAAUCGAUGACUAGCUAGCCAAUGUAAGUUGUAACCCAACAGAGACGAGAUGUUGAAGAAAAUUAAAUAUUUUUUGUAAUUUGGUAAGACAAACAAAGGCACCCAUUGGAGAAAGGGAAGUGCUAGCAGCCUUUGCCCUAACAUUUGUGUUUGGACCUCUUCACUUUAACAACUAACAGGUAUCAUUUUCUAUACAAAAAAGCAAGAAUUUUAAAGCUUUUGUCUAGGAAUUAACGAUGAGAAAUAUAAAAUAUACAUUAUUAUGUCAUUCAUUAAAAUGAAAAUUUUCAAAUGCAAAAGUUAGUGCAAAAGUGUAUUUCUCUUAGAAAAAUUCAAUCUAACAACCAAAAUUAAAGUUAACAAAAAAAAGUAGAGAACUUAAUUCAUAUUGAAUCUACCCUUAUGAUCGUGCUCCAGAAAAAUUGAGAAGGAUGCAGGGUUUUUGAAUUUGGUAAAGCUUAAGGAUUAAGGUUGCUGUUUUUUUUUUUUUUUUUUUUUUUUUUUUUUUUUUUUGGAGAAAAGUGGAAGAGAAAGAGCCUUUGAAGAUUCCUUUCUGAGUUUUCACAUUGUGGGGAUUUUGUUUCACUUUUACCAUUGUAAGACCAUAGAUAAUGGAUGCUGACAUGGUUGGACAGAUGUCGAAUAGUGGUGUGGUAUGCCCAAUCGGUUUAGGUUGCUGAAAAUAGCAACUUUAACUAAAAAUAGUGCAGGACUUUAAAAGAGGAAGGGGAAAUAAGAGUUUGAGGAAAAAGAGGCAACUUUAAUUCAUCAUUUCAUAGGUUCUUUACGCUCUCCAUUAUUACAUAUUUAUGCUCCUCAUAAAAGAGAAAAUAGAGUUUUAACGAAAAGCCCGCGGUACUGUUCACUUUAAUGAAAAACCACAUUUUUACACUAAAAAGUCAAAUCUGGUACUAUUCAUAUUACUCUUUAUUUUGUUCUUAUCGUUAAAAUUCAAAGUUUUAAAGCAUUUUUCAUUAGUUUUCCUAAGAGAACAACCCUAGCUACUUGGACAUAAAAAAAAAGGCUAGUACGGGCAAGUUGCAAGAGGAGAAGUAGUGGGCUCAAGUAAAUGGGCUUAAUAACUCCCCCCUCUCCUUGAGAAUAGGCCUGACCUUAGGUCAAGAAAUCGAGGUAACGGGCCAAGAUGUCGUCAGCUUCCUCCCAGGUGACAUCUUCAGUGGGUAGGCCAACCCACUUGAUCAACCAUUUUGUCGCAGCUUUAUUUUUUUUUCUUGAAUAUGCCCUUGUCUAAAACUCUUUCUGGUUGCCAGUGUAGAACCCCAGUGGAGUCGAUAGGAGGCAAAACUGACAGUGGAGGAGAAAUACUACCAAUCUUUUGUUUAAGGAGAGACACAUGAAAGACGGGGUGGAUUUUGGAGUCUAAAGGCAAACGAAGCUGAUAUGCUACGAAACUGAUGCGCUUAGUUAUCUGAAAAGGUCCAUAGAACUUGGGUGCCAGCUUGUUUGUUGUUCUAGUAGCCACUGAUUGUUAGCGGUAUGGUUAAAGCUUCAGGUAAACCCAGUCACCAACAUUAAAUUCCCGCUCAGUUCUCUUGUUAUCAUAGACUUGUCUCAUUUUGUUCUCUGCAAGCUGCAAAUUUGUUCUCAUAAGACAGAUUAAUUUGUCCUUAUCCUGUAUUGCAGCAUCAAUUGAGUGUACCGUCGUGGAGCCGAGCAUAUACAUGCAAAGGUGGUUCAAUGUCAUAAACAGCCUGAUAUAGAGACAUUUUGAUGGAAGAUUGGAAGCUUGUAUUAUACCACCAUCUAGCCCAGGGAAUGAGAGAAGACCAAUUGGUGGGUUUGUCUAUUGAGAAACAUCGAAGAAAAUGUUCCAAUGUGCAGUUAAGGACUUUCAUUUGCCUAUUCGUUUGAGGGUGGUAACCUAAACUUAGGCAAAGUUUGUUGCCUUGGAGUUUAAAGAACUCUUGCCAAAAGUUACUAAGAAAAUUGGGUCGCGAUCUGAAACGAUCUAUUUUGGCAUACCAUGGAGUCAGAAAACCUCAUUGCUGAAAGUAUCAGCUACAAAGGCAACUGUGUAUGGGUGCUUUAAUGGGAUAAAGUGGCCAUACUUUGAUAGGCGAUUGAUGACAACUAGGAUCACGGUGUACGCGUUGGAAAAUGGGAGCCCUUUGACAAAAUCAAGAGUGAUGUCCUGUCAUAUGCCAGUGGGGAUGAGCAAGGGAUGCAGUAACCUAGGAGGGUGUUUUGUAUGCAUUAAGCCACAAUUUUUUUUUGUUUCCUUUCGAAUUCCCGGCCAUAAAACUUUUUUGGAGAGUCUUUUGUAUGUUCAAAGGAAGCCCAAGUGACCAUCUUAGAGAGAUGCAUGGAAUUCAUCCAAGAGUUUAGGUUGCCAUUGGGAUGUGAGUAGUGGGACAAAGAUCUGUUGCUUGUAGUGCAACACAUCAUUUAUAAUUGAGAACCCUUUGAUUGAAGUGUUGGGUAUUGGAACUAAAAGAUUCCAAACCUUUUGCACUUCUAGAUCCUAUGCAUAAGACUGUUGCAACUGAGGAAUGCAAUCAAAUAUAGGGGUAGAGAGGCCUAUUAAGAGCAAAAGUUCUUGUUGGCAGGAGAUAGCAUAUGGAGCACUGUUUUGAGAACCCGACCUAUACUCGACCGAGUAGUUGUACCCCAACAAUUUCACCAGCCAUUUUUAAUUUUUUUCACAAAAACUGUAAGUUAUAACUCACGUUUUCCAAUCGAUUUUAAGAACUUUUACAAGAUUCAUUAUAAGCCAAAAUUUGAGUCGUUUUAGUCGCACCACAUGUUUUCUAAAAUUAAUUUAGGACAUCCCAAAUAUUUUUCAACACCUACAAAUUUCUUUGGUGGCUUCACUAUUAGUUUAUACUAUUUUUCUAACUCAUAGUAACAACGAAAAAAUUUCUCAGCAUGACCAAAAUGAUUGAUGGUGCAUCAGAGACUACUUUUAUCGAUUUCAAAUUUGAAGGACUAAAGUAAGGAGUUAUGCCAGAAAGUGGCCCUCUACCACAGUGGUGGAGAGGAGUAUUGGCCUUACACUACGACAGAGCUUCGAACCAUGACGGCUCCCUAAUCUAACAUCUAAUUAAAAAAUCUAUUGUUUGACGAAGAAAAAAAAGUAAGGAGUUAUGUCAAUUUCAAAAUCCGUUUUGGCCCCUUUUUAACAUGGAUGGAGGGUUUCAAAUUCCUUGUUACUACCUUUUAGGGGUUUUAUUAAAUUUUAUGAAUUUUUUUGUUGGUAUAUUUGAGCGUGUCUUUAAAAUGAUUAAAAUUGUUUUAAUAUAAUAAAAUAAAAAGUGUUUAUGACAACAUUUUGACCAAAAAAAGGACUUUAUGGAGAGGUCUAUGAGCAAAAUGCAACUCUUACUACCUAUUUGUACUAUAAUUUGUACCACUAAUAAAGAUGAGACUCACAUGCGUUGGCGAGCCUUACCUCUAUUAGAGAUAUAGUAGAAAUAUAUGGUAAAUGUAGCAUUACUCGUCUAUGAGUGUUUUCAACGGAGUACAAUUCUCUGUCAUCCUAUUCCUAGUGUGGUUUAGUCCAUACUAAGUGUAUGGAUUCUAACAAACGAUCAAUUAAAACAUGAAAUCUAAUAUGGACAUUUAAUUAAAUGUUUAUUAAUAUUUACGGUGCGGUUCGGUUUCGGUGUAGUUUUCAAAAGCCAAAACCGAAACCAAACCGUUUUCUAUGUUGCGGUUCGGUUUCAAAACCGAAACCGUUUCAAAACCGCAAAACCAAACCAUUCGGUGCGGUUUGAUUUGGUUCGUGUUUUGGUUUCGGUUUUCGGUUCUAAGUGCCAAUCCCUAGGAGAGCGUGUCCCUUUUUUUUGAAAAAUAUGGAUCAUUUCCCUUAAGCUCCUCCUACACACACACACACACACACACACACACACACACACACAUAUAUAUAUUAAAAUGAUAACCUUUCUUGGAUAGAACUGAGCAUAUAAACAUGCAAAGGUAAUGUUAGAGAGACCAAAGUUUUAAACAAAAUAAUGUGUUACCAAUAAAAAAUAAGCACGUUAAUCAACGCUAAAGUAAUAAUUCAAUUAUCAAUAAGCACAUCAUUUGGUUUGUAAAUUUGAUUUAAAAAAUUUGGUCUCCCUAACAUUAUCCAACCUGCAAACAAGUUUAAUUAUCUUAGACAAGCAACAUUAUUUACAUAUUUACUUUCAGGCAAUUACAAAUUUGACGUCGAAAAGAAGAUUUAAGGAAAAUGGUUUUCUUAUUAAUUAGGAUUUUUACAAUGCGUGUCGCAUUCUUUACCUAAAGUUUUUAUGUCUGUCAGAUUGGUUAUGAAAGCUCACUGUCAUAUUAAUAAACGGUAUUAUAAGCAGAAAACAUGAGACAAAAAAUAGGAGUUAAACUGUAUGUAAGAGGAAAUCGCACUUAAAUUUCAUUAAUAACAGUAAACUUGACAAGGAUUACCACAAUCAUACGACUACGGACUAUUACACAACAAGAACACAAGGGAAACAAAAGAACUUAAAAACAAAAGUUGACUAACAAACAACCACCCACAUCAGACAACAGAAAGCUAAUUGCCAAGUUAGUUAAUCACCAUAAGUGAUAAUGCUGUCCAUAAUCUUGGCCACCACCUCCUUCGAAUCCCUCAGUUUUUUUAUGCUUUUGUUAAGCUUCUCACGCUUUACUGCCACUGCCGGGGACUCCUCCAACAUCCUCUCAAUUCCCCCACCGUAAGGUCCCAUCAACUCAUUCACAAUCUCAGGCUCCAUCUCUUUGUUCACAAGGUUGAAAACAGACAGCUGCAAGUGCAAUGCCAUGGAGUCCACAAGCCUCCUCAAAACAACCUUCCAAUAAGCAAUCAUUCUCAUUUUAAGGUCAUAAGCUUGAGCUAACACAUGCGGGUACAUCCUCAGAACACCGACUUCCACUUCCCCGAUGCCUUCUAUAGUUAUGAUAGAAGGUUUAUACUCGUCAGUUAAGACUUCAUGAAUGAAUUGAUUUUGACUAGCCAUCAACUUCUUCCAUUCGGAAACAUAAUCAUCAUCACAUGUAUAAUCCGUUAGCUUUUCCAUCUCUACAAGCUCCAGCAUCCACUUGAUUGACCUUUCCUUCAUCUUGGCCAUUAGAUUAUGGCCGGCACGCCUGGCUGACAGCUGCAACUGAUGAUAGUUCUCCGUAUAAUGCAUCAACACAGAAAUAACCACCUCUUCAAUGUAGCUCCACACUUUUUCCUCAAAUGCUAUCGGAAUACUCGAAAUUUCAUUCACUUUUCCUUGCAAGAUAAUGAGGAAAGCAUUGCGUGGAAGGAAGUUCGGAAGUGAAAUACCUUUGGCCUCCUCCAAGAUCUUGAUCCCCUCCAUCAAGAAGUUGCUCUUUGCACCAGUUUCAGCACAUAUGUGAAGUUCAUCCGAGUACUGUUUGAGCAUCUCAACCAAUCUAGCAGUGCAGUGCAUGCGAUUGUCGUCCGCAUAGUCCUCAAAUUCUCCUCUCAAAAAAAUCUUCCUAAGCGAUUCCUUAGCCAAGCCAAUGAUUUGCAUAAAGGCUGUCAUUGCCUCGGCAACAGAUGAAAGACUCUUUGGCAUUUUGUUCAGCUCCAUAAUGCAGAAGUUCAGCCUGUCAUUGAUCUUCUUCACUAUAUCGGGUAUAUUUCUUGCUAUGCUGUUUGCUUGAAUUUGGACCAGCUUCUGUGCUAAAACUGGAAUACCGACAAUGGACUUGUCAAUCUUCGAAAGCAGGGGAUGGGUUUGAAAUAGUUCAUGAGCCAUCGCCGCUGCCUCCUCAUAAGUUUCGUCACCAAUCCUGUUCCUUACACAGACAUAACCAAGACCAAUGUUUACAUCAUCUCCAGUGACCUUCUCAAGUAGUCCUUCCGGUGCCUUGUCCACUUUCGUAACCACAGCGAGCGUCCUCUCACCAGUUUUAUCUACACUUUGUGACAUCCGAAUUGACUCACACGUAGUAAAAUCCACCGUAGCAGACAACACAUUCAGAAUAAUACUUUCUUCCGGCUUAAUAUACUCCAUGAUCAUAUCUUUGAUCUGAUCAUAAAUAUUUUCAGGUUGGCCAUGGACCGGAACCCUUGUGAUUCCCGGAAGAUCAACCAUAGUCAGAUCCGGAACCCCAUUCUUCUUCACCAACAAAGUAAGUGGCGUGUUCGAAAUUCCCUUACCUCCUCCCGCAAUAGAAAUAGUAGCUUUCACAAUGUCUUUGGCGAUAUUGUCUUCAUCAGUACGAUCAACUCUGCCAUUGUACUCCAGGGAAAGUUCAGGCUGAGGACUCGAGUGGUGUUCCAGCCUCAUAAUAAGAGGCACUCUCGUGCAGAUGCCUUGGCCCCGAGGGAGGCUGAUGCCGGCCAAGGAUUCGAGCACGCUGGACUUCCCCGAUGACUGGUCUCCGACCACCACAAUCGUUGGCAGCUGAAUGCCUUCAUCCAUCACCAUCAAGCUGCGUAACUUGUCUACCGCAUCCAGAAGAGGGCGGAUCUUGUCGUUGUAGGAUGACACAAUGGGUGCGCAUUUGAGAGGUACUGCGUCUAGUUCUGCCUGAACCAUGGCGAGGGAGCCUUCACCGUUUAAAUCUGUGCAACUCGAUUCCAUUUGCCUUGGUCCUUCCGUUUCUGAAUUAUAGCAAGUGAAAAUAAUGGUGAAAAUUCUAGAGAGAAACCGAGAUAAUUUCAAGCUUAAUUAGCUAAAGAAUUGAGGUUCUCUGGCAGUUUACCCUCCAGUUUAUAACAUUUUUUUACUAAGAAUGUUUUCAGGUAAGGGAAAACACCACUUUCGUGAUCCAGUAGGAAACGGAGCCUUUCUUUCAACCGCUGCAUUUCCACAAACUCAAGAGACUCUAAUACCCGAAAAGGCAAGUUACGCUCUCCUUAAAACUCAGCACCAAUUCGAAGAUGGAGUAAAAUGUUCUGUAUUGAGUUUGUGACUUAGUGGAGUAAAAUGUCCUAUUUAUAGUGAUGCAGUACAAGACUCUCAUGCAUGUAUUGGAAUCUACCAAGAGUUGGAACCAUCAAAUAUAUUUAAUGGAGUUUUAGAGCAACACAACUAAUUAAGUAGUCAUUUAAGACCAUUUUAAAUAUUUUGGGUAGAGCAAAAGUCCAAUUCGGACUAGAGUUUCAUUGUGUUGUAUUCCUUAUAAAUAUAUGUACUAAUUGUAUUCCUUAAAUGACUACUUAAUUAGUUGUGUUGCUCUAAAACUCCAUUAAAUAUAUUUGAUGGUUCCAACUCUUGGUAGAUUCCAAUACAUGCAUGAGAGUCUUGAUUACUACAUCAUUUAGCUACUGCUAUGUGUCAUUCUUAGCCUUCAAGCAGCUUAACUGACUCUCAGUCAACAAUAACAACACAUCCAACAGCUUAAGGAUUGCUGUUUUUAGUGGAGAAAUGUGGAAGAGAAAGAGCCUUUGAAGAUUCCUUUAUGAGUUUGCACAUUGUGGGAGAUUUUGUUUCACUUUUACCAUUGUCAGGCCAUAAUCAUGGAUGUUGACAUGGUUGGACAGAUGUCGAAUGAUGGUGUCAUUGGGCCCCCACCAUCAAAGAAAAAGCAGUCCCCAUGGGGCAUCUAAGCGGAAAGAGAAUCCAUUAUAGUAUAAAGAUUUAGCAUUCACACUCAUAGCUUCGACAUCAAUCAUUUUCUUCCUUGCCGAUGUUCUUUAUAUUUUGCUUUCUUUAUUUCUUGAUAAGUUGUUUCUGGAUGAUAUUUUUUUAGAAUCUCUUGGAUGUCGUAUGCGUGCUACGUCACUCGUUUGUAUCAAAACACGCAUAAACAUUAUUUCUUUCAAUCGAGAUUUAAAAUUAAAAGUCUACAUACACUUUUUUGUUGUAAUUUGACUGAUGGACCAUAAUGUUGGAUUGUGAACUACCUUAGUACAUAUGUGUAGAAGUGUGGCAGGUGACGUAAGCAUAAAUAAUCAUUUUAACAUGCAUGUUAGCAAAAUGUUAAAUUGUGUUUAAUCAUAUUAAAUUAAUUUAUGUAUUGGUUUUGUUCAGGUAUAAUAAAAUUAAAAACACAUGUAUAAACUUAGUGUAAGUUUUAGGAUUCUCACCUUUAGAUUUCAUAGGUGGACAAAUUCAAUGUUGUUAAAGAUCCCAAGUGUUAGCCCUCAACUAGUGUCUACACGAAUAAAUAUCUGGCUAGUGAAGCAAAAAAACGACAAUUUGCUAGAACUUUAUCCAUCAGGUAGGUGUUGCCAUAAAGGGAUUUGGUAUGGUGUUUUGUUUUUCAAUUCUCUAAAUUGGAAAACCUAUUUCUUUUCUCUCUAAUAUCUAUUUGCGAUUAUUGAAUUCUCACACUAUGUUACAUAGACCCCUUAGGCUUAUAAAAAGAACAAUCUGUAAUUAAGCCAAUUGUGUGUUGCACGCCCUAGGGAAAUUUUUUAGAAACUUUUGGGUUCACUAGUCUGUAUCACGUCACUCGCUUGUCUCAAGAAGAGAUCCUUUCACAUCACCAGUUUACCACACUAAAAUUUUGAAUUUAUUAGAUGGAUAAUACAAUUUGUUUAAUAAAUGACCAACUUUACAAAUAUUUUUGUGAAGUGAUUUCACACAUAUUUUUUAGCUUUUACACACCCAUGUUUAAUUUUAGAUGUUGAUUCCGUUUGAUUUAUUUAAUCUGGUGGCCAUAAAUAAAGAGAGGUACGUGGAAAACUAAAAAUGGUGUGUGAAAAUCCUUGACACUACUAAGCAUGAAUUUUAGUAAGAUGAAAAAAGACCUUCGCUUGAUACCCGUGGGAGGACGUGACAUGACUUCCUUUAUUGAAGGAUGAGGAAUGCUAAUGUGACUUUCAAAAGUAGGACUUUCUAAUGACUCUCUGCCACCUCAUAGCUAGUUUAAUGUCAAUUCAUUCACGUGCCAACAUUAUAACACAAAUGCUAGGAAGGCUACAUUUAUAGACAAAAUUUGUAUACUAAAUGACAUGAAAGUUGAUGAUUAUAUUAUUAUUUAAGCGUUGAUAAACGUGCUCAUUUUCUAUUGGUAACAAGUCAUUUAGUUUUCAAAUUUUGUCUACAAAUUUAGUCUCCAUAGCAUUACCUGCAUUAUAAAGUAUUGUGCCAAAUAUAUGAGCUGACAAAGAGUCCAUAGAGAGUCUCAAUUUUGAGUCUCAUUAGCAUUUAUCUUCAAGAAUUUAUCCACAUUCUCCUCACGUAAUAAUUUCACCAAAAAUGUUUUCUAAAUGCUCACUUAUCAAGAUUAAACCCCCGUUUGGUAUUUUAUUUUUUGGGUAAAAGACUGUUUACUACCCUCAUGUUUCGUGGUUUUCAACAUUUAGUACAUCAUGUUUUUUUCGUCUCAGAGUCAUACCUAAAGUGUAAAUUUUGGGACAGUCUCAUACAUCCGUUAGUCAAACUGUUAAGUUUUUCGUUAACUGUGACGUGGCGCACUGACUGGGCGCCACGUGUCAUCCACGUUUUUUUUUUUUCUUUUUCUUUUUUCUUUCUUUUCUUUUCUUCUUCUUCCUUCUUCUUCUUCUUCCUCCGACUGCAACUUUUUUUUUUUUUUUUGCUUCUUCCUUUUCCUUCUUCCUUCCUUCCUCCUUCCUUUCCCUUUCUUCCCCUUCUUCCUUCUUCUUCCUUCUUCUUCCUCCGAAAUCUGGGGAAUGUUUUUUUUUUUCUUUCUUCUUCUUCCUCCUUCCUUCCCCUUCUUCCUUCUUCUUCUUUCUCCUUCUUCUUCUUCUUCUUCUUCCUCCGAAAUCUGGGGAAGUUUGUUUUUUUUUUUCUUUCUUUCUUCUUCUUCCUCCUUCUUCUUCUUCUUCUUCUUCCUCAAAAAAAAAAAAAAAAAAACACUUUUAUCUUUUCUUCCUCUUCUUCUUCUUCUUCUUCUUCUUUCUCUUUCCUCCUUCCUUCUUCUCCUUCUUCUUCUUCUUCUUCUUCUUCCUCCGAAUCUGCCCAGAUUCAAUUUUUUUUUUCUUCCUCCUUCUUCUCCUUCUUCUUCUUCUUCCUCCGAAUUUGGGGGAAGAUGAAAGUGUUUUUUUUUUUUUGAGGAAGAAGAAGAAGAAGAAGAAGAAAGAAAGAAAAAAAAAAAAAACAUUCCCCAGAUUUCGGAGGAAGAAGAAGGAAGAAGAAGGAAGAAGGGGAAGAAAGGGAAAGGAAGGAGGAAGGAAGGAAGAAGCAAAAGGAAGAAGCAAAAAAAAAAAAAAAAAAACAAAAACAGAAAGUUGCAGUCGGAGGAAGAAGAAGAAGAAGGAAGAAGAAGAAAAGAAAAGAAAAAAAAAAGAAAAAAAAAAACGUGGAUGACACGUGGCGCCCAAUCAGUGCGCCACGUCACAGUUAACGAAAAACUUAACAGUUUGACUAACGGAUGUAUGAGACUGUCCCAAAAUUUACACUUUAGGUAUGACUCUGAGACGAAAAAAACUUGAUGUACUAAAUGUUGAAAACCACGAAACAUUAGAGUAGUAAACAGUCUUUUACCCUUAUUUUUUUCAACAAAAGUUGCUUCACUUUAAAGUUAAGCAGUAAGAAUGUGUUUGGUAAAAAUAAAUUAUUUUGCUUAUAUUAAAAGUAAUGCAUGUCCUCCAGACAGCAACUUUUAAAAGCAGCAUGUAGGUAAAGCUGUUUUUAAUAAAAAGCAGAAUUGAGCUUUCAAUGAAUAUUUUUAAUUCCUGUAAUAUGCUCAAUAAUUUUAGAAAAUAACAUUAUUUAUUCUUGUAGGCACAUUUUAUCAUUGGAGAACAAAGUGACCACCACUAUAAACCCUAACCUCUUACACUACCAUUGCCAUGAUCACCACCAUUGUUGCCACCACCACCACACUACAAUUGCGCCACCACCACUACAACCAUACACACCACCGCUACCUUUGCCAUCAUUACCACCACACCGCCGCCGCCGCCGCCACCACCACCAUAAACACAACUGCCACCAUCAAUGUUGUUGCCACCCCUACGACCAAUGUUGCCUCUGCAGCCCAACCACCACCACCAUCCCAACCCUUACCCUUAUCACUGUUGUCGUCGUCACCACCAACAUUGUUACGUCUAUUUUUGUCAUUAUAUACAAUUAUAAAUUAUCAAACGCUUUUACGCCGUUUUUCAUACUCAACACUUUUAAAAAUACAAUUCAUCUAACACUCAACUGCUUUAUUUUGUAGCAGAUUAUUCUUAAAGCACAUCAGAAGCACUUUUUUUUAAAGCACAUCAAUCUCAAAAUGGCCGUAAGAUUAUGAGUUUUUCAAUUGAGAUAAAUAUAUAAUUUAUUUGACCAAAACGAUUUUAAAUUAUUUGUAAUAAGAUCACGCGAAAGAAGAACAUAAACGUUACACAUGAAAUUAAACCAAAGCAAAUGAUUUUCUUGGGUUUUAACACCCAUAUAUUUUUUGUUGGUUUAUCAUUUUCACCGAGCUCCACCUCAUUUAUACUUAAAGAAAUGUAUUAUGUUCCGAUCCAGAAACCAAGCUCCACCUCAUCAAUACUUGGAUAAUUUGAUGCAUUACUUUUGUUUCCUUUCUCAAUUUGGAGGCCCAAACAAGAAACAAAGCUACACUAGACAAAGACAACUGCUGUAUAGUGGGUGUUUUAGAAACUUAAAGGAAAGAAACUCAAAAGCUUCAAUUUGUUUGUCGUGCUCCUUUAACUUCCUCUUUUACUGUUAUACAAGCGAAAACAAGAGAGAUUUAAUGAGUAAAGGGAUACUUUACGCCUUGAUAUACAAGUUUAUUGUCAUGAUCUAGCAAGGUUUCUUCUAAGGAUCUUGGCUUUCUUUGUCUAUAAAGAAGUUGGGUUUUUGGUUGUUUAAUUAAUUUCUACUAGAAUUGCAAGAUAAAAAGGGAUACAAACACUACAAGAAAGCCGGGCUUAUGUGACGACAGAUAUUCGUCAUAGAAAAUAAAAAUGCGUCACAUUUGAUAAUAUGUGACGCCUUUACAGCGUCACUGCGAACGUCACCUAUGAUGCGUCACGGAAAGUAUAAGUGACUAAUUUUAAAAGCGCCACAUAUUUGUAGUAUAUGUGACACUGUUUUCGUCAAUUAAUAGGAGAUUGUGACGGAUUAGGCGUCACAAAAGAAUAAAUUAUGUGACCUAUAUAAUUCGUAAUGUAUGAAAUAGAUAAGUGACACUGAAGGCGUCACAUUUUUCUUCCAUUUGUGGCAUAGCUUGGGUCACUUAUGUCAAAAUAAAAUAUCUAUUUUGAAAAUAUAUGUGACAAACCAAUACAAUUCCCUAUUUAUAAUAUGAUGUUACAAUUCCUUGUUUAUAAAAAAGAAUCAAUUAUGUGACCUAUAUAAUUCGUCACUUAUGAAAUAGAUAACUAACACUGAAAGCGUCACAUUUUUCUUCCAUUUAUGGCACAGCCUGGAUCACUUAUGUCAAAAUAAAAUAUCUAUUUUGGAAAUAUAUGUGACAAACCAAUACAUAUUCCCUGUUUAUAAUCUGAUAUUACAAUUCAUUGUUUAUAAAAAAGAAUAAAUUACAUGACCUAUAUAAUUUGUCACUUAUGAAAUAGAUAAGUGACGCUGAAAGUGUCACAUUUUUCUUCCAUUUGUGGCGUAGCCUGGGUCAUUUAUGUCAAAAUAAAAUACCUAUUUUGGAAAUAUAUGUGAUAGACCAAUACAUAUUCCCUGUUUAUAAAGGAUCAAGGGACAAACAUUUUGACAAACAUAUAUAUAUAUAUAUAUAUAAUAUAUAUAUGUUUUUUUUUUUAAGAUGAUAACAUUUCCUGAAUAAAACUGAGAAGAUAUAUAAACCGGCAAGCAAGUUUAUUUAUCUUAAGAAAGUAACAGUAUUUCCAUAUUCACUUUCAGGUUAUUACAACUUUGACGUCGAAAAAAUAAGAACAUUUAGGGAAGAUGUUUUUCUCAUAAGUUAGGGUUUCUUCAAUGUUUGUCGGUUUCUUUACCUAAGUAAGUUUUUAUCUGUCAAAUUAGUUACGAAGGCUUACUGUCAAAUUGAAUGAAAGGUAAUGAAAGCAGAAAAUAGAAAACAAAAUAUCGGAGUUGACUAUUGGUAGGAUGAAUUUGAGUUAAAUUUCUUUGAAAACUUUAAAAUUGACAAGGAUUACCAAAACUAUACAAUUACCACAUAACAAGAACACAAAGGAAACUACGAGCUUGUUUGGUAUCCUAUUUGAAAAUUAUUGUCAUUUCUCAAAACAUUUCUUGAAAACAAUUUUCUUUAAGACUAAAAAACUUGACUGGUUUGCGAUUUACAAUUUUUAAAUCUUACAACUAAAAUUAGGCAAAGAGAUCUAAAAAGAGGGGAUCGUAGGAGAGGGAGAAAGAGGAGAGAAGAGGAAAGAAAGCAAGAGAUGAUUGAAGAAAAGAGAAAGAAGAGAGAGAAUCGAACAAAAGAGAGAGGAAGAGGAGUGAGAGAAAGAACAUAGAGAAUGAAAAGAGCAGAUUGAAAGAGAGACGAAACAUGUAAAAAAAUAAAAAUAAAGAGGAGAGAGAGAGAGAAGAAAAGAGAGAGAUUUGGAGUGAGAGGGGAGAAGGGAGAGAAGAAAAAAAAGUGUGAGUUUAAGUUUAAAAACUCUAAAAACUCACUUUUUAUGUUUUUAGAUAAUAGACUAUAUUUUUGAGUUAGUCUUGAGUUUAGUUUUUUAAGUAGUCUUACCAAAGACUAAAACUUGAAAAUUGUUUUUGAGUUUAAAAAAUUGGAUUCAAGGAAAGUAUCAAACAGACGCUAAAAAACUUGAAACAAAAGUUUACAAACAAACAACCAACGACAUAAGGAAAACAGACUGCAUACUUUUAUUUACACCAUUUUGUAGUACCCUCAAAACUAAUUGGCAAGUUAUUUAAUUACCAUAAGUGAUAAUGCUGUCCAUAAUCUUGGCCACUACCUCCUUAGAAUCCCUAAGCUUUUUUAUGCUUUUGUUAAGCUUCUCACGCUUUACUGCCAUUGCCGGCGACUCCUCCAACAUCCUCUCGAUUCCCCCAUCGUAAUGUCCCAUCAACUCAUUCAUAAUCUCAGCUUCCAUCUCUUUGUUCACAAGGUUAAAAACAGACAGCUGCAAGUGCAAUGCCAUGAAGUCCACAAACCUCCUCAAAACAACCUUCCAAUAGGCAGUCAUUCUCAUUUUAAGGUCAUAAGCUUGAGCUAAAACAUGCGGUUACUUCCUCAGAACACCGACUUCAACUUCCCCGAUGCCUUCUAUAGCUAUGAUAGAAGGUUUAUUCUCGUCAGUUAAGACUCCAUGAAUGAAAACAUUUUGACUAGCCAUCAACUUGUUCCAUUCGGAAACAUAAUCAGCAUUGCAUGUAUAAUCUGUCAGCUUUUCCAUCUCUACAAGCUCCAGCAUCCACUUUGACACGCCCUGAUCCGGAUGUCCUGGAGACAUCGGGAUAGUCACGUGCUGGCCGACACCCGAGGGGUGACGAAAGCCAUUUAAAAGGCAUAAGAACGAGAAAUAUGAAUUUAAUAUAACAUUUAAUAGGCAUUUAAGGAACGUGUUCAGAGCAUAUAACUAAUUAGAAUACUAGGAAAAAAAUGAUAUAAAAAUUGAAUAAACAAAAGGAGUGGGUCCUACACCGAGAGGACUCGAAGAUGCCAAUGUAGAAGUGUCUUGACGCCGGGAUUGUAUGCCUCGAUUCUAAGCCCUGAAGGGGGCGCAAAACAAAGGUGAGUGGACCAGUUUGAUAUACAUAUAAUAAAACAGUUAUCAACAUACUAACCCCCUGAUUUUUAUGAAAACACAUAUAUGUAUCAUGAUAAACAUAAGUUUUCCGAAACCUAGAAUGUCGUGCAAUAUCUCAAAUCAUAACUCGCAAAACAUAAUAAACACUAGUGUCAAAUGUCCACAUAUAUCCAUCCAGGCCCUAUGUCAUCUCCCCAUCCCUGAGCAUACAGUCAAAGAAAAUAUGACUUCAGGCCCUAUGCUAGCUCCACUGUCCCUGUUCUAAAUAGUCAGAGGGAAAUACACUCCAGGCCCUAUGCCAACUCCACCGUCGCCCGGGAUGGACCGAAAUCUAUCCCUACAUCCCGUAGCGGAAAUUGGGACAGCUAGGUAAUACAGAAUCAUCGCACAUAUAUUUAUUCAAAAGUAACAUCAUAUAUCAUUCUUAUAAACUCAUGCUUUUUAUGCGUGCAAUUCUACUAAUAAAGCAUGUAUUUUAGAAGGGGUCCACUCACAGUACUUCACCGUCGAAAGCCGCGCUGCUAACAAAGAUAGAAACGCCACAAUAAUUGCCCCUAAGCACAUAAACGUUCCAAUUAAUAAAUCUUUAUUAAAACAAUUGAAUUUGAGAAAACGGACGUCGAAAACGGAUUCAAGACGUUGAAUUACCUUAAGAAGGGUCCUGGAUAAAUUUCGUAAACGUCAAUAGAAUAUUCCACAUCAAGAGUUUGGGCCGGCUAGGGUUUAAGGGUUUAGUGCUUAAGGCCCUAGGUUAAAAAGGUUUGGGUUAGACUUUUAAAAAGGUUAGGCUUAGGUUAAAUAGGUUUAGGGCUUAGGAAGUUGGGUUGGGUCCUUAAGGGUUUUGGGUUUCUAGGUUAAAGGGUUAGGAAAUUGGGUUGAUAAAAAGGGCCUAGGGUAAAUAAUUGGGUUUGGGCUUAAAAGGGUCACGGAUUGGGCUGGAGACCCGUGGGUUUUGGGCUGGUUUCAAAGGACUUGGGUCGAGUUGAUUCGUUUUCAGGCCAAUGAAAUGGUCGAUUUCUGGGUAUCACUUCGAACGCCCAUAACUUCUUCGUUACUCAUCCAAAAUAAGUAAUCCAAACAUGAAAGUUGUAGUACUCGACGAGAUGAAGAGAUUGAUACCCUGCACUCCGCCAAACUCUCCGUGGUUUGGCCGGAAAACACCUCGAAAGGGGCGGUGCUCGUCGGAAAACUGGGUUUUUUGGCCGAAUGUUUGGGUAAUUUUCAAAGCUUUGUAACUUCUUCGUUUCUUAACCACAUUGAGUGAUUCAAAAUCUAAAAUGUAGUUAGGAAUGUGGAGAAGAGGUUCAUACCAAGUGAGGACCGAGUGGUUACCGGAGUUCACCGAAAAACGACCUGAAAAAUCAUAGCAAAAGACAGCAUAGUGAAAGAGGCUUGAGUUGUAGUGCUAGUUGCUGGAGUCGAAGAAGGGGUUGUGGUAGUGAGAGUAGAAAGAAACGGAGCGGAGGGAGUUGGGAAAGAUUGUGAGGUCGGUUUUGAGGUGGCAUUGGAGAAACUAGUGGAGAAACCAAAAGAGGAUUGCAAAGCGGAGGAAGCCAGAGUUCCGAAGGAAGAGAAUCUGGAAACGGUUAUUGAUGGGGGAGCAGCGGUGGUGGGAGCAGAGGUUGUGGGUUUCAAAAGAGAGGAGGAUGUUGGUAAUGUGAAAGCUGAAAAGGAAGUGGAGAAGCUUUGGAACCAUUGGGUGGUUAGAGCUAUAGAGGAUGACGGUUGGGACGAGGAAGUUGUGCCAGACAGCGGCGAGGGUACGCUGGGUGCAUAGGACGUUGUGCCAAACAAGUGCGAAGCGGAAGUUGAGGGGUUCCAAACAGGGGUGUGGGUGCGCUGGGUGCAAAUGAGGUUGCUCUGAAUGGGGAUGAAGUGGCGAAAGAAGGAGCGCCGAAUAGAAGGGACCAUUGGGUGGUUUGACCUAUAGAGGAUGAAGGUUGGGACGAGGAACUUGUACCAAACAGCGGCGAGGGAGCGCUGGGUGCAUAGGACGUUGUGCUAGACAACUGCGAAGCCAAAGUGGAGGAGGUUCCAAACAGGGGUGUGGGUGCGCUGAGUGCAAAUGAGGUUGCUUCGAAUGGGGAUGAAGUGGCGGAAGAAUGAGCUCUGAAUAGAGGGGACCAUUGGGUGGUUGGAGCUACAAAGGAUGAAGGUUGGGACGAGGAAGUUGUGCCAGACAGCGGCGAGGGUGCGCUGGGUGCAUAGGACGUUGUGCCAAACAACUGCGAAGCAGAAGUGGAGGGGGUUCCAAACAGGGGUGUGGGUGCGCUGGGUGCAAAUGAGGUUGCUCUGAAUGGGGAUGAAGUGGCGGAAGAAUGAGCUCCGAAUAGAAGGGACCAUUGGGUGGUUGGAGCUACAGAGGAUGAAGGUUGGGAUGAGGAACAUGUGCCAAACAACGGUGAGGGAGCGCUGGGUGCAAAUGAGGUUGCUCCGAAUGAGGAUGAAGUGGCAGAAGAAGAAGCUUCGAAUAGAGGGGAGACGGAUGCGGUGAAGGUGGUGGCAGGUGCGGAGGAUAUGAAUGGGGAGGUGCAAGAGCCGGAACAGAAUAAGGAAGGAGGGUUGGAGAAAAAGAAAUGGAAGUGGAUUGGGCGGAAGAGGAAGAAAAGGAAAAGCCAGUGGUGGACGUGGUGGCAGGUGUGGAGGAUAUGAAUGAGGAUGUGGAAGAGCCGGAAAAGAAGAAGAAAUGAGGGUUGGAGAAAGAGAAAGGGGAAGUGGAUUGAGCGGAAGAGGAAGAGAAGGAGAAGCCGGUAGUAGACGUGGUGGCAGGUAUGGAGGAUAUGAAUGGGGAGGUGGAAGAGCCGGAACAAAAGAAGGAAGUAGGGUUGGAGAAAGAGAAAGGGGGGUGGAAAAGGAAGAGAAGGAGAAGCCGGUGGUGGACGUGGUGGCAGGUGCGGAAGAUAUGAAUGGGGAAGUGGAAGAGCCGACUGAGAAGGAAGGAGGGUUGGAGAAAGAGAAAUGGGAAGUGGAUUGGGCGGAAGAGGAAAAUGCCGAGGAUUCAAAUAAAAAGCUCGACAUUGUUUUCUCUCUUCUGCUGCUGCUGCUGCUCUAUGUUAUUGAGAGGUUUUUCAAAUUUUGGGGUUUUUGGUUAACACAUUUCAAAGCCUUCUCUUUUCAUUUUCUGGUUGUCAAUGGCUUCAUCCGCCUAAGUUUUCACAUUCUGGAGAUUUUGUUUCACUUUUACCAUUGUAAGACUAUAGAUCAUAGAUGCUGACAUGGUUGGACAGAUGUCGAAUAAUGGUGUCGUUGCGGCCCCCACCGUCAAAGAAAAAGCAGUCCCCAUGGGCAUUCAAGCUGAAAGAGAACUCAUAAUUGUAUAAAGGUUUUGCAUCACAUUCAUAACUCGAUCCGAAAACUUCACAUCUCAGAUUUUCGAUCUGUAACUUCCAAAGAUUUACAUUAUGCUUCUAAAAUAAUAUACUAAAAUAUUACCAUGAUUCGACAGUCGGAUCUUCGCCAAUCAAAAUUCAAGUGGCAGUCAACAUUUUAUUUUGCGAACUUACUAAUCCAAUUCAGGAAGAUUCAUACGUCAAAUUCCCAAUCCGUAAGUUUCUAUGGUCCUCAAAUAUUACGUACUAUAAUGUAUUAAAGUUUUGUGCCAAUCCAACCAUCAGAUCAUCGAUUGCUAUAAUGUUAAAGAGGCAUACCUUAGAGAAAUUAUACCCAAACGAUGGAAUUUCAUUAAUCGGAUGUCAAAUAUGGAAUCAAGGCAUCCAAAUUAGCCUAGUAAGGUCAGGUGGGGUAUUAGCCUAGCGCUGCCGCACACGGCAACUGACCACCCCAACUCGUCGGAAAAUUCAACUAAUUUCAAAAAUUCUCAAAUUUUACCAGAAUGAAGAUCUCAAUUAGUAGAGCAAGUUUUAUACCUAUGGCCACACCUUAAAUCGCCACAAACCUACCGGAACCCUAGAAAUGGGUGGGUUUCAAUUCACCCUCUCCGAUGCUUUGACGUGCCAACCAAAGCUUGGGACUUGUUCCUGGGUUCAAGAGGUGCUGAAAUAUGGUAGUGGUUGACGAAAGAGCUCGCAGAAAUAGCGGAUUCCACUGUCGUGGCUUCGGAACACCCACCAUAGGGUUUGAAUGGAAAAGGAAGAGAUGAGGCCGAAGUGAUGAAUGGUGGGGGUGGAUGGUCACGAUUCACCAGAAAAAUGGCUGAAAUCACGACGGAAAAGGUGCAAGAAGUCUGGUCAUGAACCCGGUAAAAAAGGAUAUGGUGCUCCUCCACUCAAUAGCAAUUAAAUUGCUACCUCGAAAUAUUGAUCAUUUAAAUACUUGAUUGCAAUACUUAUCUGUCAAUCAUGUAUUAUGCUUAAAAUCUCUAUAUAACAUCUCAAAUGGUGCCAAACCAAAAAUUGAAAUAGUAAUCGUAGUUACAUGCAACCUUAACAAAGAUGAGUGUCUAUUACAAUCAUGCUAAAACUAUAGAACGGAUAAAUGCAACAUGUUCACAAAUGUCUGGAUAGUUCAUUCGAACUAGUAGUUAAUCUGAGGGUGAAAUGUGGUAAUACAUAAUAACUUUGUAACCAUGGUUUUCAAGAAGACUCCCAAAACUUGGAAGUGAUACACGCAUCAUGAUGAGGUACAACAAUGACAUGCACAUUAGGCAUCCAAACAUUAUAAUUCAUAUAUGUCACAACAAGUAGAUUCAUUAUGAAAAUUUCUCUCGAAUUUAGUGAAACACUGUGUCGAGAAGGCUAAAAGAACAAUCAAGAAUUUGAGAAUUAAAAUAAGUCCAUCAAUCUAGAAUACAAAGUAACUAGAUUAAUGCAUAACAUCUCACUACAAUGGUAGCUUCUAGAAUAUUCAAUCACCAACGGUAACGAUUCGCUUAGCAGAGUUUGUUGAGUGAUUGAGAAAUUAAUGGUCACAACUGCAAUUCCAAUGUCAAUGGUUCUUCUAGACAGUUUAUCAACUUCAAAAUAAUGCGAAGUGCAAUAGGGUAGGUAGUACCCAAGGUUGACUGGAAUGCCUUCUAACACAAAAGGUGAAUAUGAAAUCACAAUCAAAGUAGAUGUUGAUCAAAAUGUCAGAAAAUCUGAAAAAUUCAAGAAUGAGUAAUUUUCUCAAGUGAUCAAAAUGUAUUCCCUAUGGACCAAUGGAAAGUAAGCUAACUUGUCAAGUCGGCGAUAAUCACCGAAACAUCAUUGUAAUAUCCACAUAUACAAGAUACCUCAUACCAGGAGCUUAUGGUGAUAUUUCUCAUCUCCAUUUGGAUAUAGAAAGUGAAUAUAACCACUCGAACGAUUUCUUGAUAAUUUGUAAGUAACGUCAACCCAAUGCUCAUGAAUUCCAACUAAAAUGAAAUAGGACAGACUAAAAGCAUUUCGGGAGUAGAUAAUGUCUUUUGAUGUGGCAAACAGUAAUUACGUUUCCACAACGAGGAUGAUACACGAUUGUGUAAUUGUAGAUGUUAAUUUGGUUCCUCUAUCACCAUUGUCAGAAAUCUAUUUCUUUCCAAAUGGAUAUGUACUUGCGAGGUCUAAGAUUGAUAGAGAUUUUGGACACGUUUCUCUAUAGAGAAGUGUCAUUCAGUUUUUAAGUAAGAUGGUAACUAUUGACUCUAAGUUAUGAAUAAGAUGGUUCAUUCCAAACGGUUCUACACGUUGGGAAAUAUAAGCGAUUCUCCGUCAUGCUGCCUCUGUACAGCCAAAACAUCCAAAGAACACAUCAUCAUGGAUUUUCAAAAUAAUUAUUAUCAUCGAAAGGUGUAAAACGAAGGUAAGAUGAGACAACAAUUUAGUUGUCAGAAACUUUAUUCAUAAUCAACAUCAUAACUAAAUUAACUUUCCUCGAUCGUAAAUGAGGAAAAAACACUACAGCCGAAGGAUCGCUAACAAAUUGUCGAUAAAAUCGACAUGACCAAAGAUAUCUCGAACGUCACUACACUUCGUGUGAAUUUCAACUUUCUUCCACUAAACCCUUUUUGGAAAAGAAAAGAUUAUCGUUUACGAAGAUCACGUCUCCCAAGAAAAGUACCAAUUUAAUCAAAGUUAAUAGUUGAGCACUUUGGUAUAAAGCUGACUAUUGAUAUUUAGAGAAUUUGGUCUCACUGUCAAGGUAGAUGAAAAAGUCAUCGAUAAGACCACUAUGAAUACGUUAGGCUAUGGGAGAAAACUCAGGUUACAAAGGUUGGUCAGCUCGACCAUCAACUCGAAAUAGGGGCUAACGGUUUUUGGUCGUCACGUGAUUGAGUCGCUAAAGUCUAGGUACAACCCUAAGGUUCAACCUUUCGCCUUUACGAAUAGGUUUGAGAUUCUCUAGAUAAAGUGUUUGGUUAGAUACAGGGUCGGGCGUGUCAGUUUGGUAUUAGAGCGUGGUUUGUUCAUAGCAUACUUAGGAUCUUCUAUUAUUGUAGUAGUGUGUCGAUCAUGACGUCAUUUGGAUGUCACGACUUCCUGAUUUGUUGUCUUUCGGCACAGUUAUGCAACCCUCAUUCUGCAUGAAUAGUCACAUCUUAUGGAAGAAAAAGAAAAUUCGUGUUGGGAUUUUGCCUCAGUGUUGACGAAAUGGAUUGUUGAACAACUUUCAACAUCGAACUGAUACUCUAUAGCAUGCGUUCCCUAAGAAUUGCGAGUAGAGUUGGUGUUUACAUUGAAGUGACUAUCUAAGCCGAAGAAACUAUCAUAGACACUUAAGAGCAAGUCUUGUAGAAUGACUGUAACCUCCUAGUUGUUUUAACCAUGUUUUCCACUUAGGUAACCAAAACCUCUUCGUCUAGCCACAUUUUCGAUCACUUCCACAAGUGGACAAUAGAAUCGAAGUACAAGUUAACUUCUCAUUAUUAGAGUGAAGUAGCGUAUCGAGAAAGCUACAAAGACUUAUUAGCACGUGUCUACCCUGGUGUUCGGUAGAUAUCAGGGUCGGGCGUGUCAGCGAGUAUCUUUGACAUAAUUCAAAGACGUAGUAACUAAAGUAUGCUUAAUAGACCUCCAAGAAAUUGUGGUUCCACCAACAAUACCCAUUUAGGAUCUUGCCAUGUACGGAUCGAAUAAGUACAUAGCGUCAACAUAACCAACAAAAGCAACUCGAAAACUAGGGGGAGGGGGGACGGUUGCACUCAAAGUUGAGUAAGGAUAGGACAAACACAAGUCCACAACACUAUUAAGAUAACAUAGAGUUUUUUUAACACAUUUCAAUGUCUGCAUGUUGGCACAUGAUUGUGUUAUGCUAAGAGAUUUAUAAUGCAGGAGAUGUUAGGUCUUGUACACUGAGAUAAGUACAACAAAGCACCAAUUGCACUUAAGUAUGGAACCUCAGGUUCUAAAACUUCUUCAUCAUCUAUCUUUGGACGGUAUAGGUCUUAUUGUGCAUCAAGCGUACAGAUGACAAUGAGAGUACUCAAAGUCCACGCUUUAUCAUUAAAGCAUUGUAACAUCGUCUUGGUGUAGUUUGACUAGUUGACCAUGACUAAUGGACCAUAAUGUUGGAUUGUGAACUACCUUAGUAUAUAUGUGCAGAAGUGUGGAGGUUGGCAUAAACAUAAAUAAUCAUUUUAACAUGCAUGUUUGCGAAAUGCUGGAUUCCAUUUAAUCAUAUUAAAUUAAUUUAUGUAUUGGUUAUGUUCAUGUAUAAUAAAAUUAAGAACACAUGUAUAAACUUAGAGUACGUUUUAGAAUUCUAACCUUUAGAUUUCAUAGGUGGACGAAUUCAAUGUUGUUGAGGCUACUAAGUGUUAGCCGUCUACUAGUAUCUACACAAAUAAAUCUUCGGCUAGUGAAGCAAGAAGACAACGAUCUGCUAGAACUUUAUCUAUUAGGUAGGUGCUGCGGCAGAGGUACAAUGCAUUGUUAUGAAGUUGGUCUAUAUUGUCACGCCUCGCCCCGAAAUAUAAAUAUAUUAAAUCUUCGGCUAGCGAAGCAAGAAGACGACGAUCUGCUAGAACUUUAUCUAUCAGGUAGGUGCUGCGGCAGAGUGACAAUGCAUUGUUAUGAAGUUGGUCUAUAUUGUCACGCCCCGCCCCAAAAUAUAAAUAUAUUUCGGGAAUUAAUUAUGGUAGGCCCAACUUAAAAACGUAGUUAAUUUAUUUCCUUUAACCACAUCCCUCUAAGUCAAUAUUACUUACUAUUACAAGCUAUCCAUAUUUUCUUAAAAUGUCAAACAUAUCUUUCAUUUAACAAUUGAAUUCACUAAUAUUAGUUGUCAUUCUCCAAAUAAUUCCCUUCGUCCCACGUAGAAUCUAUAACCAUUAUUCGUUUACCAAGAUAUACAAUUUACUUUCCAAUUUAGAACCAUUUCCUUCUCUUAGAUCAAAUUCCAUCUAAACACUAAUUCUCGAUUAUUUAGUCUCACUUAUUUAUGGCUGCAUCUAACGUCUUGUUAGACUGCCUACGUACCCUAAACAAAGAUCAAGCCAUUCGUAGUUCACAAAUUCAAAUUCAAUUAAACUUUGAUAUUUCUACACAUAAUUAACAAUCACCAACUAGCUUCAAAUAAGUGUAUCACAUUAAAUACUUAUUUAACUUGAAUCCAAAACAUCAAAUUUAGCUUAAAAUACGGCAUCGGUUCCCUAGCCAUGCGUCGUCGCCGUCCUGACUUGCCGAAAAAUUCAACUAUUUCUAAAAAUUCUCAAAAAUUACAAAAAUGAAGAUCUCAAAGAGUAGAGCAAACUUUAUACCUAUGGCCAAGCCCAAUUUGGCCGGGAAACACCUCAAAUUGGCCACGAACUGCCGAAAACUCUUGUUUUGGGUGUUCUUGAUUUGUCUCCAAAACAACUUCGACGCCUCAACCAAUGCAUGGGCUUUGUUCUAGGCCUCAAGAAGAGUAUGAGAGUAGUGGUAAUUGAAUGAAAUCACUUCAAAAUUUGGUGAAUUUUGACACCUACACCGUCGCACCCACCGGUGCGUUUUACCCCAUUUCAAGGUCAAAUUUCAUGAUUUUUGGGGGGUAACAGGGUUAGGGAAGGUCAUUGAGGGUUUUCCAAGUGGUAGUUUAAAUUGAUUUGCUGGAAAAUGGGCUAAAACUCACCAAAAAUAGCAAGGAAAACCGACCGAAUCGAGUCGGGUCCUUUCAGGUCAGGGAUCCCCCGUACCCCUUUUCUCUCAUUUUCCCCCCUUUCUCCUUUCUCCCAUUGGUCAACCUCCCCCUAUUCCUUCCUUCCUUUUCUCCUUUCUAUUCUUUUCUUUCAAUCUCAACCGUCCAUUUCUUUAUUUAUUUUCAUCUCAGCCACACACGUGGCACAACCAUUGGAUCAAAUUUUCUGGAGCCUUCUACCAUAAAAUGAAAUUAUUAAAAUAUCCUUAACUUUAAACGUUAAUAUCUUCUUUGUUAUAACUUCGUUUCAUGAACGGUUUGUGCCUACACAUUCAUGAGAUCGAGCUCUAUUCAAAAAUAUAAAUUGUCACUCUGAAUAGUUUUCGGAUUUUUAAAUAAUAAAUUCCCAAACUUAGAACUUCUUAACCAGUUUAAUUUAAAACUAAACUCGAAUAAAUUAAUAUAAUUUCUUGAAAAAUAAUCUAAAAUCUCAAUCAUACAAAUACAUAAAUUAUAAUAAUUUCCGAAAAUAAAACUUUAAAAUUUUCCAAUUCUACUUUCAUAACCAUAAAUCGAUUUAUUUUCAAUUUUCUCCACAUAUUCAUAUAUUUAAAAUUUCAGGGUAUUACAUAUAUUGUAUUGGAAAAUAAACAACAAGAAAGUUCAGAUGCCAUACCCUUUAAUAGCCAUAACAAGUGUUGAAGUUGUCGAAGUUGUAGUUUUACUAGAACUGUUUGUUGUCGUUUCAGGUACAAUGUAAGGAAUAUUUCGUCAAAACUAGGUUUAUGGAUAAAAAAUAAAAAAAAACAUACCAACUCAAGCAGUAAGGAUAAACAACUAAAUUAUUCUAAACAAGUGAACUCCAAAUGUAAUGACCUGUCUCAAAAUUUUAUAAAUUUCAGAACGACAAGGGUAAAUUGGUAUUUUCACAUGUGAGAGAUAUUUGCAUGUUUGUCUCUUAUGACUUGUUUGGUGCGCCAAUGAGGCCCACCGCUUUUAUUUGGGGACUAGGAUUAUCUCUUCUGACACACCCUGACCCAAAAUAUCGAGAUGUGCUGGCAGUCACGUGAGGAUGACGUAGCCAUGCGCGUUGUGCGGAAGAAUUAAAGUGAAAGACAGUGAGGAAACGAAAAGUAAACCGAAUAAUUUACAUCAAAAGAUAAGUGAGUAAAAGUGAUGAAAAGGAAAGCAUAAAGCACCACAUCAAAGUUCAAGUAACCUAGGUGCAGUCCGGAAUAAACAAGUACUGAAUAAACGUUAACCAAAUAAAUCCUACAUGGAUGAUGCCUUGUUAAAACUGUCUCGAUGCCUCGCUCGCCACCAACGUCGCAACUACCUAAAACUUGGAGCGGCGCAAAACUGAAAACAUGAGUGGGUAAAAACAAAGUUUUUCCAAAACCGUUUCAAUAUCAAAAUAGUAACCCCUCUCCCUAUACUUUCUCAGAAAAUAUCAUCCAUACUCAAAUAUCAAUCAUGCUGGAAAACGAUAAAUCUCAAAUAUGCCAUGUUAGAAUACGACAUGUCGAAUUACCCAAUCAAAACAAAAUAAGUAUCAAGUAGGUGAGAUAAAUCAAAUCAUAAUAUGCCGCCAAUCUCAAUACGUCAGUUGGAGUCACCUAACGUGAACUGUACGACUGAAUAUAUAGCUCCUCAAUCACUAUCUUGCACACGAGUCGGAACCACCUAUAGUGGUCUGUACGACAGGCUGGGUGUAUAAUUACGCUCAGUGCUACGAUCACGUGAAGGCUGUGCAACGUAUCACAAGUCACCUAUGAGUCGGAACCACCUAUAGUGGUCUGUACGACAGGCUGGCACCUGCCUUGGGUCCAAGGUGAGCGUACGGUGCGGGAGGUGAACGAUCACGUGAAGGCUAUGCCGUACUCUGGCAGAGCACAAACACCGGGGUGCAGGAAUAUGAGCUAUAUCUCAAUCUCAUCAUCAUCACAACUAUCACUAACAAGUAUACUCACCUGACUUACCUGAGCGACGCCAAUUCAUAACCAACAUAAAUCAUAAUAAACAAUAAUGAUAUUCGACAUGGCAUUUCAAUUAUAAAACCAUUUUAAAACAUAAUAUCUGGGAAAAUAUCAAAUAUAUAUAUAUAUAUUCUGAAAACAAAAGCCCACUCACUGAUAAGUAGAAGGGUCUUAGCCCCCGAGCCUGGCAUGGCUGUGCUCGUCUUCUGGAUAAGCCUUACCUAUAUGUGAAACAACUAUAAAACCGUCAAUUAAACGCACAUAACCAACCUUAGGUAAUAACUUCUCAUACAUUGCUCAAUUGGAGGUGUUUGAAUCUAACAACAUGCUUUACUUAAUCUCAGAACACCCUCAUAUUUUUAGAAAAAAUUUCUUGUCACCCACGCGUAGGCACGUGCCUGGCACACGGACGGAACAGUUAAUGCCGUAAGGAAUAUUUUGUUAAAAAGUAACAGAUUCCAUUAAAUCUAACCUGACACUGUUAGAAUAUUCCAUCAAACUUGACGGAAUAUUCAUCGUCUCCUUCCUUGAGUCACGGGAGUCCGGCGCCGGUCGCCGUCUGUUUGCGGGUUUCUGGAAAAUUUUCAAAUGUUGAUAUCUCAGUCAAAUCUUAACUAAAUUUCACGAAAUUAACGUCAAAAUGAAGCUUAGGACAAGGGGAAGAAAUCUAUACCAAUUUGAGGUCCCAACGAUGCUGGAAUCUCGCCAGAGAAAUCUCGAAAAAUCUGAUCAACUAUAGAACUCAAGAUUUCGACAUCCAAAACACGUCAACGUUGCUCCCCAAGCUUCGUGAAGACGUCUAGAAACUCCCUGUGAUCUUAGAAUCUCUAAAAACCUCCUCAAUCACGAGUGCAUGAACAAUACCUUUAUUGGAGCUUUCAGGUUUCAAGGGUUUUCAAGGUUUUCAGGACAAACCAAGGGUAUAGUUGAACUUGCAAGGGUGCAAGGAGAAGCAUGUAUAUCCGUACUUAGGGUAUGGAAAAUAGAAGAAAAAUCGAGAAGGAGGGAGAGACAGAACCAGAAACAGAAAAGGAAGAAAAAGGGGUGCACGUGUGCAUGUGUGUGUAUAAGUUUAACCAAUCACACCAAAACUAAGCUCAAGUUCUAAUUGGGUCCAAUAAUUUGGGAUAUCACCCUAUUGGCCCAAUGUAGCUCACACACAUAACCACAAACACGUAAGGGUAAAAACGUCAAUUCAUGCCGUCGAUAAAAUUAUUUCGGGACGGUCUGUCACAUCCUCUCUUUUUUCACCCCCUUCUUUAAUAUUCUUUAUUUUGUAUUUUUUUAUAUAAAUAAAAUAUUAAUAUAAAAUGUAAUCAUGAUCUAUUUGAACGGAAAUUGGAUGGAAAAAAAAAAGAUGAGAGACUUCUCAUUUAUUUGGUCUCCUGGUCCUCCCUCUCUCUUCCUUUUCCCCGUCACUCUCCUCUCAUCUUGGACUAUCACACUCUCUAACUCUCCCGGCCCUCAUCUCUCUCGCACGACCCUCAUCCUCCUUCAAAACCCAAAAAACUGGCGAUUCCACGGAACUGAAACCAAGCUGAAGUCCCCAUCCUUCUCUGUUCCCCCAUCAUCACUGUUCUCUCCUCCCUCGGAACCCUGCAACAUCACCAUCGCGGCAGAGCCGCCUUCUCCGGCGAGUUCGUCGAUUUCCCGACUUGGGGUAAGCCUCGGGAUGCUUAAGAUCUUCAACUGUUACUUAUCUUUUUGUCCUAUUUGCUGCUAAUGAUUUGUAGCAAGAGUUGAUUUUUAACUGUUUCUAAUUGGUAAUGGAUUAAAGGAAGUUCAUUUACUAUUAGAGGUGCAUGUGAAAGUAAGCUUGAUUCGUAACCUCGUCGAGCAUUUGGAGCUCGCUUUGACUGAGGUUUUUCGAUUUGAUGUGAUGGCGUAUAAGCUUUUCUCAGUUUCUCGGUCAUUUUAAGGGUGACCAAGAUUAUCUCUGUGAGCAAUGUUGAGGUUAGGGAUUGGAAGUAAAUGAAAAGGGGUGUCUUUUCAUCAAAGGCUGAGGCCAAGAUUAUCUUUUGAGAAAACUUUGAGGCCUUACCUAGAUUGCAAGUCUCUGUUAAGUUCCAAUUGACGAAGAUGUUUAAAACUGUUGAAAUUAUACUGCCUUAAUUGAAAGGAGGCCUUACCUAGGAUAAUAUCUAGCUCAUUCGGGGUCUUUUUUUGGUUCUUUAACUACAUGAAAUUUGCAUUGAGAUGAAUUCUUAUCCUGAAUGAGUACAUGUGAGAAUCACGCGUGAUUGACGGAAAAUUAUGAAAUAAGAUAAUGAAUUCCGAAGGCUGGGUGCUCAGCUGGAGAUGCGGAUAAACAAAGAAUUAUAUGUUGAUUUGAAAAGGAAGACGUUUAUAUUGUUGAUUGGAGUAUAUAUGGCCGAUGAGAAUAUGCUAAACCGAUAGUUGCUCCUUGUAGGUUGCGGGGGAAGUGGUAACAUUAUGUGUUCAGAAUGUGGUGGCCGCGGGUAUCUAAGAUGACCAUACCGGUUCGCUUAUCUUCCUUGAAUUUGUUGUAUGUGCAAGUAACUUGUGUUAUAGCCAUGACGCUUUCCCUAAUUUUUUGUGGCUGAUUCCACGAUGAGUUAAGUGUAACAGUAAUGCAUCUGAUUCAUUUACUCUUCGAAAUGGUGUUCUUCCUCAGAUUUAUGUGCCAUUUAUCGUGUUGAAUGUUCAGAACCAUACAAUUACCACAUAACAAACACAAAGGAAACGAAAAAACUUGAAACAAAAGUUGACAAACAAACAACCAACGACAUAAGAAAACAGACUGCAUACUUUUAUUUAGACCAUUUUUAGUACCCUCAAAACUAAUUGGCAAGUUAGUUAAUCCCCAUGAGUGACAAUGCUGUCCAUAUUCUUGGCAACUACCUCCUUAGAAUCCCUCAGUUUUCUUAUGCUUUUGUUAAGCUUCUCACGCUUUACUGCCACUGCCGGGGACUCCUCCAACAUCCUCUCAAUUCCCCCACCGUAUGGUCCCAUCAACUCAUUCACAAUCUCAGCUUCCAUCUCUUUGUUCACAAGGUUGAAAACAGACAGCUGCAAGUGCAAUGCCAUGGAGUCCACAAGCCUCCUCAAAACAACCUUCCAAUAGGCAAUCAUUCUCAUUUUAAGGUCAUAAGCUUGAGCUAAAACAUGCGGGUACUUCCUCAGAACACCGACUUCGACUUCCCCGAUGCCUUCUAUAGCUAUGACAGACGGUUUCUUCCCAUCAGUUAAGACUCCUUGAAUGAAUUCGUUUUGACUAGCCAUCAACUUGUUCCAUUCGGAAACAUAAUCAGCAUCGCAUGUAUAAUCUGUCACCUUUUCCAUCUCUACAAGCUCCAGCAUCCACUUGAUUGACCUUUCCUUCAUCUUGGCCAUUAGAUUAUGGCCGGCACGCCUUGCUGACAGCUGCAGCUGAUAAUAGUUCUCCGAAUUACGCAUCAAGACAGAAAUAACCGCCUCUUCAAUGUAGAUCCACACUCGUUCCACAAAUGCAAUCGGAAUACUUGAAAUUCCAUUCACUUUUCUCUGCAAGAUAAUGUGGAAAGCAUUGCGCGGAAGAAAGUUCGGAAGUGAAAUACCUUUGUUCUCCUCCAAGAUCUUGAUUUCCUCCAUCAAGAAGUUGCUCUUUGCAUCACUUUCAGGACAUCUGUGAAGUUCAUCCGAGUACUGGUUGAGCAUCUCAACCAAUCUAGCAGUGCAGUGCAUGCGGUUGUCUUCCGCGUACUCCUCAAAUUCUCCUCUCAAAAGGAUCUUCCUAAGCGAUUCCUUAGCCAAGCCAAUGAUUUGCAUAAAGGCCGUCAUGGCCUCAGCAACAGACGAAAGACUCUUGGGCAUUUUAUUCAGUUCCAUAAUGCAAAAAUUCAGCCUGUCAUUGAUCUUCUUCACUAUAUCGGGUAAAUUUUUUGCCAUGCUGUUUGGGCAUUUUAUUCAGUAGUCAAGGUAACGUUCUGCUAUGGUUAACCACCCGUAAGGGUCCUCGCCAUUAAAUCAUGGCAGUUCCAUUUUAAUAGCUUUAAAAUGUGAAUGAGGGUUCUAGGGAGGUGGGUUGGGUAAUAUGGGAAGGGAGGGUGGUGAGGAGUUGGGUGCCGUGGAGGGACUUAAGUGGAAGGAUUGUGAGUGUGAUAAAUGGUAGGGUUGGGGCUGUAGCGGUGGGAAUGGGGGUGGGUGAAGUGGUGGUGGUGUAAGUGGAAAAUGGGGCUAAGCUCGGGGAGAGUGGGUAGGAAAUGCCCAGACUUGAGGAUUGAGCACUGAAAGGCACAAAAAUUAAACGAAAUCAAGGGGAUGGGUUAAGGUUAGAGGGACGAGGACCGAGAAAUGAAGUGGUCUGGUGUUGAGGUUGAAUGGGGGUUGAAGAGGGGUUGGGUGUGUGGUGGGUGGCGGUGUGGGUGGAGGUUUGGGAGGGUGGAGGCCCCGAUUUGAGGAUUCGAAGUUCGCCAAGCAUUAGGGAUUGAAAAGCUGCAAACUGUGAGGUUAUAUUGUUUUGAAAAGCUGUGUUGGAGGUGUUCAAGGUUUCGAGAGAUUUCUGGAGGUGGGUUUGUUGUGUUUCCAGGGCGAAGAUUGAGUCACACAAGUCAUCAACUUGAGUUCGCAGGUAUUUUUGACGAACAUCAACCGCAACAGUGACGGCGUCUGGAUCAGAGGUGGCGGACUGCAUGUUUUUGCCCAUUAAAUCGACGGGCUCUGAUACCAAUUGGUAUGCCCAAUCGGUUCAGGUUGGCUGAAAAUGGCAACUUUAAUACAAAAUAGUGCAGGAAUUUAAAAGAAGAAAGGGAAAGAAGAGUUUGAGAAAAAAGAGGCAACUUUAAUUCAUCAUUUCAUAGGUUCUUUCUACUCUCCUUUGUUACAAAUUUAUACUCCUCAUAAAAGGAAAAAACCCUAGCUACUUGGACGUAAGGAAAGAAGGCUGGUACGGCCCGGUUACAAGAGGAGAAGUAGUGGACUCAAGUAAAUGGGCUUAACAUGGUGUCGUUGGGGCCCCACCAUCAAAGAAAAAGCAGUUCCAUGGGCAUCCAAGAGGAAAGAGAACCCACAAUAGUAUAAAGAUUUUGCGUCACACUCAUCGCUUCGGCAUCAAUCCUUUUCCCUCCUUGCCGAUGUUCUUUAUAUUUUACUUUCUUUCUUCAUAAGUUGUUUGUAGAUGACAUGUUCUGAGAAUCUCUUGGGUGUCGUAUGCGUGCUACAAUACUCGUUUGUGUCAAAACACACAUAAACAUUAUUCUUUCCGUUGAGAUUUAAAAUUAAAAGUCUAUAGACACUUUUUGGUGAACUCGAAUUAAGGAAUUCUCAUUUUAUGUGUUAAGUUUUAUGCGGAUGAGUUAAGUGAUACAAAUUCAAAAAUUACUCUACAUUUUAAGCUGUUGUUUUUUUUUAACAUUUAUAAGCACAUAUAACUGAACUAGGACGCCACACAACAAUAAACCAAUUUUGUAUAAAUCAUUGUUACUUGGAGAUUAAGAUUAUGGCACCAUGAAAUAUUAAAUAGUUUUGCAAGAAAAAAAAGAACGUGGGAAAGAUGACAGGGCUAAAACAAUUGAGACUACAAUUUAGGACGCAUUGUACCACAUCUUUAAAAAAAGGUGGAAUUUUCUUAUAUUAGUGAACCCUACUUUUAUUAAAUAGUUUUCAAUGUAAUUUAGUAAAGUAUAGCCUCUCUAGCAUGAUAAGCCUAUGAGUAAUUAGCAUUUGUAGACAUCAAAUGCUAAUGAGAAAAAAAAAAAUCUAAUUUCAUCCUAUCCACCUCUAUUAUAACAUUUAUGUUUCAAUGCAUAUACUAAUGAUCAAAAUUCAAAUUUCAAUUGUAGAACUGAACAAAAUUAAAUAUUGGUAACAAAGCAAUAACAUCUGAGCUGUGAAAGCAAAGAGAAAAGUACCACGAUAUAAGAACUUGCGUCACAAUCAAAGCUUCAACAUCAAUCUGUCCCUCCUUGCCAAUGUGCUUUACAUUUUUUUUUUUACUUUCUUCAAAUUUGUUUGUAGAUCACAUUCUUUGAGAAAAUUUUUAGUUCACUAGUUUUGUCACGUCACUUGUUCUUUUAAAAAAAAAAAGAUUCUUUCGCAUCAUCAGUUCAUCACACUACAAUCAUGACUUUAUUGGAUGGAUAACAAUAACAAAAACAAAGUCUUAUUCUAAUAAGUGAGGUCGGCUAUAUAAAAUGUCACUGCAUUCAGUUUUGCUUCAUGUUCAUUAGAUGAAUAAUACAAUUUUUUCAAUACAUGACCAACUUUACAAAUAUUUUUGGGAAGUAACAUUUACACAAAUUAUUUAGCUUCUUUUUUUUUUUUUUGACAAUUGUGUGAGAAACUAAAAAAAGUGAAAAUAAAAUCUACGACGCUAUUGGAACUAAUUUUUUAUUACAUAAAAAAGUCCCUCUGCCUAGUAAAAGGAGGAGAAUGUGACAUGAUUGCUUUUAUUCAAUCCACAUUCUCCCCCACUUGACCAUUUCAUGAGAAAGGAUCAUCCUCAAAUUCCUUCCAUCAAAUUCUUCCAAUUAACAAAUCUGGACCCUAAAAAUUUAAUUUAACGAUUAAAGUUAGUAUAACUUUUUAAAGAGAUCUCAUGUUUUUAACCGUUUGAUCAAAUUUUAAAUGCUUAAAUUUGUUGAUUGGUUAGAUUUGGUAAAAGGGAUUCGGAGAGGAUCCCUUCCCAUUUCAUAAGUUGUCUAAAUGCUUUUGAUUCCUUUUUCAAAUUGAUGCUAGGCCCAAGAAACAAAGCAACACUAGACUAGACUAAAAACAACUGCCGUACGUUUGCCAAAAAAAACUAAUAACAACUGCCGUACAAAAGCAAGAUAAAAAGAGAUACAAGGGAGAACAUUCUCCCCCACUUGACCAUUUCAUCAACAAUGUUGUCUAAAUGCUUUUUAUUCCUUUUUCAAUUUGAUGCUAGGCCCAAGAAACAAGGCAACACUAGACUAAAAACAAUUGCCGUACAAAAGCAAGAUAAAAAGGCAUACAAAGGAGAACAUAUAUAUAUAUAUGUGUGUGUGUGUGGGUAUGUAUAGAUCAGUUAAAAUGAUAACCUUUCUUAGAUAGAACUGAGCAUAUAAACCAGCAAAGGUAAUAUUAGGGAAAUCAAAAUUUUCAACCAAAUGAUGUGUCAUUAAUAGGAAAUAAGCACGUUAAUCAACACAAAAAUAAUAAUUCAAUCAUCAACAACCACAUCAUUUGGUUUGCAAAUUUGGUUUAAAAAAUUUAGUCUCUCUAGAAUUAUCCAACCGGCAAACAAGUUUAAUUAUCUUAGACAAGUAACACUAUUUACGUAUUUAUUUUCAGGCAAUUACAACUUUGACAUCAAAAAGAAGAUUUAAGGAAGAUGAUUUUCUUAUCAGUUAGAAUUUCUACAAUGCGUGUCUCAUUAUUUACCUAAAUAAAUUUUUAUGUCUGUCAAAUUGGUCAUGAAAGCUCACUAUCAUAUUAAUAAGCGGUAAUGAAAGCAGAUAACAUGAGACAAAAAAUAGGAGUUAACUGUAUGUAGGAGGAAAUCGCAUUUAAAUUUCAUUAAAAACAUUAAACUUGACAUGGAUUACCACAACCAUACGACUACGGACCAUCACACAACAAGAACACAAAGGGAACAAAAGAACUUAAAAACAAAAGUUGACAAACAAACAACCACCCACAUCAGACAACAGAAAGCUAAUUGCCAAGUUAGUUAAUCACCAUAAGUGAUAAUGCUGUCCAUAAUCUUGGCCACCACCUCCUUCGAAUCCCUCAGUUUUUUUAUGCUUUUGUUAAGCUUCUCACGCUUUACUGCCACUGCCGGCGACUCCUCCAACAUCCUCUCAAUUCCCCCACCGUAUGGUCCCAUCAACUCAUUCACAAUCUCAGCUUCCAUCUCUUUGUUCACAAGGUUGAAAACAGACCGCUGCAAGUGCAAUGCCAUGUAGUCCACAAGCCUCCUCAAAACAACCUUCCAAUAGGCAAUCAUUCUCAUUUUAAGGUCAUAAGCUUGAGCUAACACAUGCGGGAACUUCCCCAGAACACCGACUUCAACUUCCCCGAUGCCUUCUAUAGUUAUGAUAGAAGGUUUUUUCUCGUCAGUUAAGACUCCAUGAAUGAAUUGAUUUUGACUAGCCAUCAACUUGUUCCAUUCUGAAACAUAAUCACCAUCACAUGUAUAAUCCGUCAGCUUUUCCAUCUCUACAAGCUCCAGCACCCACUUGAUUGACCUUUCCUUCAUCUUGGCCAUUAGAUUAUGGCCGGCACGCCCGGCUGACAGCCGCAGCUGACGAUAGUUCUCCGUAUAACGCAUCAACACAGAAAUAACCACCUCUUCAAUGUAGCUCCACACUUUUUCCACAAAUGCAAUCGGAAUACUCGAAAUUUCCUUCACUUUUCCCUGCAAGAUAAUGAGGAAAGCAUUGUGUGGAAGGAAGUUCGGAAGUGAAAUACCUUUGGUCUCCUCCAAGAUCUUGAUCUCCUUCAUCAAGAAGUUUCUCUUUGCAUCAGUUUCAGCACAUAUGUGAAGUUCAUCCGAGUACUGGUUGAGCAUCUCAACCAAUCUAGCAGUGCAGUGCAUGCGAUUGUCGUCCGCGUAGUCCUCAAUUUCUCCUCUCAAAAGAAUCUUCCUAAGCGAUUCCUUAGCCAAGCCAAUGAUUUGCAUAAAGGCUGUCAUGGCCUCGGCAACAGAUGAAAGACUCUUUGGCAUUUUGUUCAGCUCCAUAAUGCAGAAGUUCAGCCUGUCAUUGAUCUUCUUCACUAUCUCGGGUAUAUUUUUUGCCAUGCUGUUUGCUUGAAUUUGGACCAGCUUCUGUGCUAAAACUGGAAUACCGACAAUAGACUUGUCAAUCUUCGAAAGCAGGGGAUGGGUUUGAAAUAGUUCAUGAGCCAUCGCCGCUGCCUCCUCAUAAGUUUCGUCACCAAUCCUGUUCCUUACACAGACAUAACCAAGACCAAUGUUUACAUCAUCUCCAGUGACCUUCUCAAGUAGUCCUUCCGGUGCCUUGUCCACUUUUGUAACCACAGCGAGCGUCCUCUCACCAGUUUUAUCUACACUUUGUGACAUCCGGAUUGACUCACACGUAGUAAAAUCCACCGUAGCAGACAAUACAUUCAGAAUAAUACUUUCCUCCGGCUUAAUAUACUCCAUGAUCAUAUCUUUGAUCUGAUCAUAGAUAUUUUCAGGUUGACCAUGGACCGGAACCCUUGUGAUUCCCGGAAGAUCAACCAUAGUCAGAUCCGGAACCCCAUUCUUCUUCACCAACAAAGUAAGUGGCGUGUUCGAAAUUCCCUUACCUCCCCCCGCAAUAGAAUUAGUAGCUUUCACAAUAUCUUUGGCAACAUUGUCUUCAUCAGUACGAUCAACUCUGCCACUGUACUCCAAGGAAAGUUCAGGCUGAGGACUCGAGUGGUGUUCCAGCCUCAUAAUAAGAGGCACUCUCGUGCAGAUGCCUUGGCCCCGAGGUAGGCUGAUGCCGGCCAAGGAUUCGAGCACGCUAGACUUCCCUGAUGACUGGUCUCCGACCACCACAAUCGUUGGCAGCUGAAUGCCUUCAUCCAUCACCUUCAAGCUGCGUAACUUGUCUACCGCAUCCAGAAGAGGGCGGAUCUUGUCGUUGUAGGACGACACAAUGGGUGCGCAUUUGAGAGGUACUGCUUCUAGUUCUACCUGAACCAUUGCGAGGGAGCCUUCACUGUUUAAAACUGUGUAACUCGAUUUCAUUUGCCUUCGUCCUUCCGUUUCUGAAUUAUAGCAAAUCAAACAAUGGUGAAAAAUCUAGAGGGAAACCGAGAUUGUAGAGAGAUGAGAGAGAAUUCGAAGAUGGAGUAAAAUGUUCUAUUUAUAGCUACUGCUAUAUAUCAUUCUUAGCCUUCAAGCGACUUAACUGACUCUCAGUAAACAAUAACAACACAUCUAACAGCUUAAGGAUUAACGUUGCAGUUUUUUUGUGGAGAAAUGUGGAAGAGAAAGAGUCUUUGAUGAUUCCUUUCUUAGUUUUCACGUUGUGGAGAUUUUGUUUCACUUUUACCAUUGUAAGGCCAUAGAUCAUGGAUGCUGACAUGGUUGGACAGAUGUCAAAUGAUGGUGCCGUUGGGCCUCACCGUCAAAGAAAAAGCAGUUCCCAUGGGCAUCCAAGUGGAAAGAGCUUCGACAUCAAUCAUUUUCCCCCUUGUCGAUGUUCUUUAUAUUUUACUUCCUUUCUUGAUAAGUAGCUUGUAGAUGACAUUUUAUGAGAAUCUCUUGGGUGUCGUAUGCCUGCUACGUCACUUGUUUGUGUCAAAACACGCAUAAACAUUAUUUCUUUCAGUUGAGAUAUAAAAUUAAAAGUCUAGAGACACUUUUUUGGUGAACUCGAAUUAAGGAAUUCUCAUUUUAUGUGUUAAGUUUUAUGCAGAUGAGUUACGUGAUACAAAUUCAAAAAUUACUCUACAUUUUAAGCUGUUUUUUUAACAUUUAUAAGCACAUAUAACUAAACUAAGACGCCACACGACAAUAAACGAAUUUCAUAUAAAUCAUUGUUACUUGAGAUUAAGAUUAUGGCACCAUUAAAUAUUAGGAAAACUAAUGAAAAUGGCUUGAAAACUUUGAGUUUUAAUGAUAAGGACAAAAUAAAGGGUAAAGUGAAUAGUACCAGGAUUGACUUUUUAGUGUAAAAAUGUGGUUUUUCGUUAAAGUGAACAGUACCGGGAGCUUUUCGUUAAAGUUCCCAAUAUAUUACAUAGUUUUGCAAGAAAAAAGAGAACGUGGGAAAGAUGACAGGACCAAAACAAUUAAGACUACAAUUUAGGACACAUUGUACCACAUCUUUAAAAAAAAGGUGGAAUUUACUUAUAUUAGUGAACCCUACUUUUAUUAAAUAGUUUACAAUGUAAUUUACUAAAGUAUAACCUCUCUAGCAUGAUAAUCCUAUGAGUAAUUAGCGUUUGUCGACAUCAAUUGCUAAUGAGAAAAAAAAAAUGUAAUUUCAUCCUAUCCACCUCCAUUAUAAAAGUUAUGUUUCAAUGCAUAUACUAAUGAUCAAAUUUCAAGUGUAGAAUUGAACAAAAUUAAUAUCAGUAACAAAGUGAUAACAUAGCGAUCAAAACUCAAAAUUCUUAGGCCAUGAGUCUAUCAAUAUUUAUUACAUCCAAAUGUUGUCAACUAUUGGUCUAGUGGUAACUUGUCUUAAUUUUCUACAAGCGAAAAUUCUAGAGUACAUCAACUUAUAACAUAAAUUACAAAAUUUAACGGUUAACAUGUGUUCAAGAAAUCAAAGAAAUCUAAGAUGUACCAUUUAUGAAUCUAGUCUACAUGGGUACAAAUGAAUUUUUAAAAUAUAGGCGCUAAAAAAAAUGAAUACAUGGGUACAAAAUAAAACUAAAAAGAAAAUACUACAAAUUUUAAAAAAAAAUGUUGCAAAUUAAAAGUGGGUACAAACUAAAAAUAUAAAUAUAUGAUACAAAGUUUAGGCAUAAAACAUAAAUAUACCAUAUGUAAUUUUUCUAUGAUUGAUUAAAUAUACAAUAUCACGUAACAGUAUACACAUGGGGUACAAACACAAAUAAAACUUUAAAACAUAUGGGCACAAAAAGAAACUAAUAUAUGGGUACAAAUUAAAAAUGAAAAGAAAAUUGGUACAAAUUAAAAAAUAUUUGCAAAUUAAAAAUAGGUACAAAGUAAAAAUAAAAAUAUAUGAUAAAAAUUUUAGCCAUAAAUAUAAAUAUACUAAUUGUAACAUUUUUAAGACUAAACGAAUAUAUUUAAAAAUAAAAAUAUUUUGUUAUUCAAAUAAUUAAUGAUGUUAUUAAUACCCAAGAACCUUGAUCAAAAAUUGAAAAUGAAUAGGAUCUUAAUCAAUGGAGUAACAAAAAGAAAGAUGCGAACCUAAUUUUCCCUUUACUAAAGUAUAACCUCUCUAGCAUGAUAAGCCAAUGAGUAAUUAGCAUUUGUGGACAUCAAAUGCUAAUGAGAAAAAAAAAAUCUAAUUUCAUCCUAUUCACCUCUAUUAUAAAAUUUGUGUUUCAAUGCAUGUAGAUCAAAAUUCAAAUUUCAAUUGUAGAAUUGAGUAAAAUUAAAUAUCGGUAACAAAGCGAUAACAUAGCGAUCAAAACUCAAAGAACUUAGGCCCUUAGUCUAUCAAUAUUUAUUAAAUUCAAAUGUUGUCAACUAUUGGUCUAGUGGUAACUCGUCUUAAUUUUUUACAAGCGAAAAUUCUAGAGUACAUCAACUUAUAAGUUUAUAACAUAAAUUAAAUUUAACAGUUAAUAUGUGUUCAAGAAAUCUAAGAUGUAUCAUUUACGAAUCUGGUCUACAUGCGAAAUUAUCCUCAAAGAUCAUUGUUGGACAUCAAUGAUGGACGAAAAUCCACAAGUGAUUUGAAUAUGCUCGACAACAACUCUCAACUGGGUACACUCACGAACAGCCUUAUAAAGGGCGAGUAUCCUUGACAUAAUUCAAAGACGUGGUAACUAAAGUUUGCUUAAUAGACCUCCAAGAAAUUGUGGUUCCACGAACAAUACCCAUUAGGGAUCUUGCCAUGUGCAGAUUGAAGAAGUACCUAGCGUCAACAUAACCAACAAAGGAAACUUGUGAAUUGGGGGGAGGGGGGAGGGGGGACAGUUGCACUCGAAGUUGAGUAGGGAUAGGACAAGCCCAAUUCCCAAGGCCCAUCUUUUGAUAAUUAAAUAUAUAUUAAAUAUAAUUAAUUAUAUAUUAAUUACUAAUUAAAUAGUGCACCCCAAAACCUAACCCUAAGGGUAAGCCCAAUUUUAUUCUACAGGCCUAUUACUCUAAGUACUUUCUAUAAAGGACAAAGCCUUAUAAAGUGAUGAAAACUUUUGGGAAUGGCCAAUGUGGGACAAAGAAAUUUCUACUCAAACUCAAAUUUCCAAUACUUGUAUAGUGACACUUGACGUACCACCUAGUGUGCCAGUCACACUGAAAAAUCUCUCCCAAUUGAUGAAACCAACUACAUUACCUCCACUUCAAGAGUUUUAAGAGAGAAUAUAGAAGAAACGCCUCUCAUCCAACUUCCUUACAACUCUUCUGCAAAAGUUCAAGGAAUAGUGCACCUCUCCUUAAUUAAGAAAGGUACAAAGAUUACCAGCUUUCUUUAUUUUUUAUUUUCCUUCAAACCCUAGUUAUUAAUUGAGGUCUAACUAGCAUCUGCCCUUGCAUGCAUGCACACAACUCCAGAAGAAGCUAGCUGGGAUUCAAUCAGCCCAAAUCAGAAAGGAUUCUUUUGGUAUGAACUCAAACCCUAGCUAGUCUUAAUUAACUACUUUUGAAAGAUUCUUUCUGGAUCCAAGGUAAGCUAUUGAUUAACCAUGAUUUUUUCAUUUUCUUGAAACCAUUUCGACAUUUUUCAUCAUUUAUAUUCAUGCAUGCAUGCAAGGUAGUCUAGGCACUGGUACUUUCCAGGAAGUAAAACUAAUAUAUAUUCCGAAGAAGUGUGACAGAUUAGGAUUCUGUUUCCUUUUUAAGACCCUGUUAUUUAUAUUCUACAAAUAUUAUUUAGGAUUGGUGUUUUUUUUCUUGUUAACGAACGGCUAUAGCCGAGAGGAAUUUGUAUUAUUCUUGGAUGAUACCAGAAAUAAUAGCCAACUACAUGGAUUAAAAAAUUAGCAUGAUUUUAAGACUUAAAUUGUAAAGCAUCAACCUCUUGUAGGUCAGAAAUCCACACUGUUUUUAACUUGUGCUACUUCAGAAAUGGGAGGAUCAGGAAAGCUAGCAGCCGACAAAAGCAAAUCAAGCACGAGUACCGUUUUGAAUGAUGAAAGCUCGACAGCACUAGUUCAUUCCGAAGAACAACCACCUCAACCUGUUAACACAUAUGCACCACCAAUUGUGUCCUCAUACAAAGAGAAAAUCCGUCCUUUUGCUCGACGCAAUUGACAAACUUUGUAACUUAAGGAUAAUGGAAGAAGGUAUUCCGCUCUCCACAAUUGUAGUGGUUGGUGAUCAAUCUUCCGGUAAAUCAAGUGUGCUGGAAUCGUUGGCCGGCAUUAGCCUCCUUAGGGGUCAAGGUAUCUGUACAAGGGUACCUCUUAUAAUGAGGUUUCAACACAGUCCUCAGCCUGAGCUUUCUUUGGAGUGUAACAGCAAAGUUGAUCGUACCGACGAAAACAAUAUUUCUGAUGAUAUUGUCAAAGCCACUAAUUCUAUUGCAGGAGGAGGUAAGGGGAUUGUUGUGAUUGGCUCAUAUAAUUAUGAGUUGCAACAAUUUCAUCUCAACCAUGUGGAGUGCUAGCUACUUUCGGCUAAAGAAAGGGAUAAAGGAAAAGGGAGACAUCUACUUUUGGCUAAAGAAAGGGACAAAGAAAAAGGGAGACAUCAUCAUGUCUAGCCCUUGAUUUGUGGCCUUUUCAAAGGUGGUUUUCUUUUGUUGUUAUAAGUGGAAGGAUUUGCCGAAUGAUGAAAUGGCUUGCCGAGUGAGAGGGUAAGCAUCAGAGAGCAUCCAAGGGGGAGAGCAUUCGGCUCUCCCAUGGGAAAGCAUGGGCAUGGGUGAGAGAAAAUCAAGAGAGCUAGAGUGAAAAGUAUUAUAGUGAAAUAACUCUUGGGGUAGAGUAAGGCUCUUGGAAAAAUUCUAUGAGUGGGUGUACAAGGGAUUUGGGAUUGGGUUAUGUCGAUUUAACUCAUGUUUACUUGUACUGUUAUUCUCAUAGUGAAGAGCAAUAUCUCUCCGGGGACGUAGGCAGGAUUUUUGCCAAACCUCGUAAAUUUCUCGGUGUCUUUAUUUCUUGUAUUUUAUUCUGUUCAACUGAGUGUGAUUUGGUGAGGUUGUAAUUUGAAUCUCGUUUCCACACUGAUAAACGGGCCAAGGCACAACAGGGAUAUCUAAUACCCCAUUGACAUUGCUGGUUAAAAAGAACGGCGUUCCUGAUUUGACGAUGGUCGAUCUUCCUGGGAUCACUAGAGUCCCAGUUCAGGGUCAGCCUGAAAAUAUUUAUGAUCAAAUCAAGGAUAUGAUCAUGCAAUAUAUCAAGCCUGAGGAGAGUAUAAUUCUUAGACCUAGUUUGGGAGUGAGGUGCUUAAAAAAAACACUCAUGAAAAAAAAGCUGUGAGGGUUUUAGGUGUUUGGUAAACUGAAAAAAAAAAGGCUUAUUUUGGAAGCUGCUGUGAGAAUAAGCUUAAAUCAAAGAAAAAAGCUAAAGCUGCUAUUUGUAGCUUUGGAAAACUGGCUUUUUUUCAAAGCACACGGAGCUACAAUGCUUCUUUAAUGAAAAGACCCAAUACUAGACUGCUUUUUUUUCCAAAAGCACUUUUACAAAAAAGUUUACCAAACACUCUGCUGAUUUAUUUCACAGCCGCUUAUUCUCACAGCAUAGCCGCUUAUUCUCACAGCAGCUUUUUCAAAGCACAGCAAUACCAAACCAGCCCUUAAUGUCCUGUCUGCUAGUGUUGAUUUUGCCACUUGCGAAUCGAUUAGGAUGUCACAGAGCGUGGACAAGACCGGUGAAAGGACUCUGGCGCUAGUGAUGAAGGUCGAUAAGGCACCCGAAGGAUUGCUUGAGAAGGUGACAGGAGACGAUGUCAAUAUUGGGCUAGGUUAUGUCUGCGUGAGGAACCGCAUUGGUGAUGAAACAUACGAGGAGGCAGGGGCUAUUACUCAGGAUUUAUUUCAAUCUCAUCCUCUUCUAUCUAAUAUCGAAAAAUCUAUGGUUAUUCCAGUUUUAGCACAAAGGUUGGUGCAGAUUCAGGCUAUUGGCAUAGCGAGAAAUUUACCAGAGAUAGUAAAGAAAAUCAACGAGAAGUUGAAUUCCAGCCUCGCAGAGCUCAACAAGAUGCCUAAGAGUCUGACAUCCGUUGCUGAGGCUAUGACAGCUUUCAUGCAGAUCAUUGGAUCGGCGAAAAAAUCACUCAGGAAAUUUCUUCUGAGAGGCGAAUUUGAAGAGUAUUCUGAUGAUCGCCACAUGCAUUGCACUGUGCGAAUGGUCGACAUGCUCAAUCAAUAAUUAGAUGAGCAACUUUCUAAUGGAAGAGAUUAAUGUGAUUAAUGUUUUGGAGGAAACGAAGCGGAUUAUUCUUCCGAACUUUCUUCCUCAUAAUGCUUUUAUCACUGUGUUGGAGUUGGAGAGCAAAGUGAACGGAAUUUCAAGCAUUCCUCUUGGGUUUGUGGAGAAGAUCUGGAGUUAUAUAGAGGAUGUUGUUGUUUCAGUGUUAAUGCGACAUUUAGAAAAUUAUUAUAAGCUUCAGCUGUCCGCCAAACGAGUAGGCCAGAAUCUUAUGUCGAAGAUGAAAGAAAGGUCGAUUACUUGGAUGACGGAGAUAGUUGAAAUUGAGAAAGUUACUGAUUAUACAUGUAAUCCGGAGUACCUCUCUGAAUGGAAUAGAUUGAUAGGUCAGCAUGACGCUUUCGUUAACGGAGUCUUAAAAGACAAAAACCGCCCAGCUAAGAUAACUAUAGAGGGCAUAGGGGAGGUUGAAGUUGAAGCUCUUAGGAAGAAUCUGAACACUCUUUCGGCGGCGUAUAACCUGAAAAUGCGGAUGAUUGUGUAGGGGAGGUUGAAAAGAUGCUGGAGGAGUCUCCGGCGGUGGCAGUUAAGCGGGAAAAUGUUAGAAUUCCUUUGUCCGACAUCGGCCAGAAGGCUUGAGAACAAGACCUUUAUAUAGAAUUAUCCCACCCUAACUAUCAUCGAGGCAUUUUGUAUUAAAACCCCACACCUGACAGAUUGAGCAGAUGGCCAAGUGGGAAUAGUAUCGGUGCUGUUGAAGUGAGCCCAUGGCCCGUCUACCUAAAAUUUAAGAUGGUAUUAGAGCCAGAAGACGGGCCCAGACUGCCACGUGAACUAGUGGGUCCCUUUUGUAUUAAAACUCUACACCUGACGGAUUGAGCAGGUGGUCAAGUAGGGACAAUAUCGGUGUUGUUGGAGUGGGCCCAUGGCCGUCUACUUGAAAUUUAAGAGAAAAGUUGCACAAGACGAUCAAAAAGCUGAAGGAUUCCAAAGAGGUCGUGGGGAAGAUAAUGGACAGCAUUAUUACUUAUGGUGGUCACUGAUCUGCAGUGUUAGCACGAAACCAUUUUGUUUUUUUUUUUUUUUUUUUUUUUGUUCUAUUUCUUUUGGUAGCGGAUCGAUCUUUAUGGUUCAUGUAUAUGUCCGUUUAAAAGCCGAUCGAUCUUUAUGGUUCCUGUAAAUAUCCGUUUCAAAAAAUGAAUAUGAAUGAAGUUUCAAUGUUUCUCACCAGACAUAUGAAAUGUGUUUUUUUGUUGAGUUAGGUAUUUUCUGCUUUCUUGACCUAAAACUUUGAUUUAGUGUGGGCAAUGUAGCUAACUAAACCAGUGAAGAAAAACAAAACAAAAACAUGAGAAAAGUAGCCAAAAAUACAAACAAAAACAGAAAACUGCAUUCUGCAUAGGCAGUUUAUUAUAUUUAAUCUUGUGUUAGUUCCAUUUUCUAUGCUAACAUAUUUAUUUGUAAGCAUCAUCAUUUAAUUUAUUUUUUAUAAAAUAUACUCCAAUUUUGAUCUUCAGCUCAAAAUGACAGUAUUUAAUUUAUUUGGACAGUAAAGUAAAAGUACAAAAAUUAGAAGGAAAAUAGAUCUAUCGCAUACCCUAUGUAUAUUCUUGCCUUCUUUACACCACUUUUCACAUUUGAUUUGUCCAAAUAAGAACAUCCAUAAACUAUUCAUACCAAAAGGGUAUAAUUUCGUUGGGAAAUCCCAAAAACACAAGUAGAGAUCUUAUUUCCUAAAUUUGAAACACUAGCCAUUUCUUAACAUAUGGCUGGUUUAAUAUAUUGAAUUAGAUAACUUUUGUAUUCAAAGACUAUUGAAUUGGAUAACUUUCAUCUCUUUUAUUUUUUUUCAUGUCUAUAUACACACAUAAACAUAUUUAUGGUGUGUCGUUCCUAUUAAUUUUUUUUCGAAUUUUAAACUCAUUUAUCAUUUUCGUGUCUAGUUAACAGGUUAUGUAAGAAAUUAACAUGCAUAAUGCCUAAACAUGGUUAAGAGGUCAUCUUAUCUUAAUAGAUUUUUAAUGUCUAGACAUGACCCGACGACCCAAUAACCACCCACUCGUUGAGAUAUCCCCAAAUCUUUCAUUUUCUCAUGUUGUAUUGUAUCGAUUGCAUACAAGAAAUUGUCAGACCUACCUUAAUAUAUUUUAAAUUGGAAAGAAAUAUCCAUUCCAAAAUAAUCAAACACGACCCGUUUCAAACGACUGUGGUUCGGAUCCUCUACUUAUUGGGUCGAGCUUCACCCAAAGAGCAACUCUUCUUGAACCAAAGCAUGUAAACCUGACCCAUCUACCACCUCAAGCCCAAAGAAAACUAUUCGACGACACCGAGAAACCAACAACUAAUCUGAAGAGACUUUCACGACCCAGCUCGUCGUCAUCGAUUACACCGAAGUUUCUUCUUCUCACUCAUUUAAUUGUUACAAAUUAUGUUUUUUCUCUUCAGUCUUUCUCUCCCUGUAAUUUCUAUAUGUGAAAGUUGAUAUCAAAGAUUUCGAAUUUGAUCAAAUGGGUUCUGCUUCUGCUGCUGCAAAUACGGCGUCUUUGAUUACUGUCGUCCCUGUUUCUUCGACAAAGUUGGAUAUCCAUGACAAAUUUUCAUAUGGGUUUCAUCUCAGGCGUGGUGGGUCGAUCGCCAAAUUUACUGCCGCCAUCUCUCCCAACGGCUCUGUUUCUCCUUCUUCUUCACAUGGGGUAGAGUAGACCUCUGUUUCUUCACCUCUCUCUCUUUUCCUGCGUAUUAUUUUAUUUUUUCCUGGAAUUUAUAUCUUGACCUGUUUAUUUAUGUUUAAUUUUCUUUUAGUUUGAUGCGCUGAUUCUGUAUCAAUUUUUGUAUUUGUAUUUGUGAGUGUUGUGCUAGGAUAACAUCAAAUCUGUUGGAACCAACUCAAGCUAACCCACAGUAAAUUUAUCAAAUGAAAUGUAAGAACAAAAUAUUAAAGACACCAAGAUUUUAACGAGGUUCCUCAAGUGUAACUGGAGUACGUCCUCGGAGCAGUAGGAGCUCACCCAAUAAUCCACUAUCAACCAAAUGGAAGUUUACAAAAUGUUGGCAAUCUUACAACCCAAAUAACCCAAUACACCCAAUAACUUUCACACUCUAAAGAAACAAAUAGAGAAAGAAAUAUAGUGAUUAAUUUCUUCUCUAUACAAAGCUCAAAGCUAUUACAACAAUAACACUUUGAUGAAGUGAGAACUAUCCAAUGAAAGGAACAACAACUCCUUCUCUGAAAAUGGUACUGCAGCAGUACCUUCUUUCUCUCCCUCUCUUCUCUUCGGCUCUCUAAUUUUUCUGCUCUCUACAAACAAAAGAGCUAUCCAUCUCUUAUCUUCUACCGAAACAAACCUCAUAAUUAUGGCUUUAAAAAAAGCCACAAAACAUGCCACAAAACAAGGAAACAUAAUCAUGUUGUCCUUUUCCCUUUUUUUUCUUUAUAAUUUUUUAUAGCCAAAAGUUGGCCACUUGGCUACAUACUCCAACAAUCUCCACCUUGGCCAAGUUCCAAAAAACGCCAUGAUAAGCCAAUCAACACAAUUAACACACAACAUCACUCCCAAACACUAGCAAGAGAACAACUCAUGCCGAGCCAAAUGCUCCAAAACUCCUACUGCUCAACGUCUUCUUUAUAUAGACAUAAUGUGAGCCAAGUUCAAACAGUGAACAAACUUGGCUACACCAACAACCUUAGUCAACACAUCAGCGGGUUUGUCUUUAGUUGGAAUCUUCUGGAGAAUGAUUUCCCCUUCACCAACAAUUUCACGAACAAAGUGAUAAUGCACAUCUAUGUGUUUGGUCCUCGCAUGAUGAACCUGAUACUUAGCCAAAUAAAUGACACUCUGACUAUCACAAUGUACCUCCACCUGCUUCUGAUCAACCCCCAAAUCUCUAAUCAGCCCAUGUAUCAAAAUGGCCUCCUUUAUAGCUUCAGCAACUGCCAUAUAUUCAGCCUCUGUAGUAGACAAGGCAACAGACGACUGCAAAAUGGACCUCCAACAAACUGGUCCUUUAGCCAUAGUAAACACAUAGCCUGUAGUAGACUUCCUUCCAUCCAGAUCAUCUGCAUAAUCUGAAUCAACAUAACCAACUGCAAAAUGACCAAUACCAGAGUCAUCUUUCUCAAAGCAUAAACCAACAUCUCGAGUACCAUGGAGAUACCUCAAUAUCCACUUAGCUGCUUGACAAUGCUCUUUACCUGGAUUAUGCAUAUAUCGACUCACCAUGCCAACUGCAUGAGCAAUAUCCGGUCUAGAGCAUACCAUUGCAUACAUCAAACUACCAACCAAAUUUGCAUAUGGUAUAUUUUUCAUUUGCAGCUUCUCUUUAUCAGUUUUAGGACAUUGUAGAGAACUCAAUUUAAAAUGAGGAGCCAAAGGGGUACUAACCGGUUUAGUUGAAUCAUGAACUCCAAACUUCCGAAUCAACUUCUCAAGGUAUUGUUUUUUAUUCAAAUUGACCAAACUCUUAUCUCUAUCUCUAGUGAUCUCCAUGCCAAGGAUCUUCUUCGCUUCACCAAGAUCUUUCAUCUCAAACUCAUUCUUCAUUUGCUUCUUCAAUUUUUCAAUCUCUUCACCAUUCUUUGAGGCAAUCAACAUAUCAUCAACAUAUAUCAACAAAUAAAUGAAAGACCCAUCUUGCAACUUCUUGAAGUACACACAAUGAUCAUAUUGACUUCUAGAAUAAUUUUGGCCUCUCAUAAAUUUAUCAAACCUCAAAUACCAUUGCCUUGGAGAUUACUUCAAGCCAUAAAGUGAUUUCUUCAAUUUGCAAAACAAAUUCUCCUUCCCUUUCACUAUAUACCCAUCUGGUUGACACAUAUAAAUCUCUUCAUUCAAAUCACCAUGUAGGAAAACCGUCUUCACAUCAAGUUGCAUAAGCUCAAGAUCACACUGUGCAACAAGAGCUAACAUAAUGCGAAUUGAGGAAUGCUUCACAACCGGAGAAAAGAUUUCAUUGUAGUCAAUGCCCUCCUUUUGUGCAUACCCUUUAGCAACUAAUCUUGCUUUGAAUCUCACAUUGCUUUUCUCAUCAGCAUCUUCCUUCUUGGCAUACACCCAUUUGUAACCAAUAGCUUUCUUGCCCUUAGGCAAUUUAGCUAACUCCCAAGUCUUGUUCUUCAAGAGAGAAUUCAUCUCAUCACCCAUGGCAUUGCACCACCUCUCCUUUUCUUCACUCUCAAUAGCUUCCUCAAAAUUGGAUGGAAUCUCAUCAGUGAUAAUAGGAAAAGCAAAAGCAACAUAGUCACUAUACCGAGCUGGCUUGGUAAUUUGUCUCUUUCCUCUAUUCUUGGCAAUAGACUCUUGAAGUGAAACUUGCUCUUCAACUUGAACAGAAUCUUCAAGUUCAACUUCUUCAACAUCCUCAUGGUCUCCAACUUCUUCACUUGUAGUGGCUUCGACAUCAGCGGAAAUAGGAUUUGAAGUACCAGAGGCAACUUUCUCAAGCUCCACCUGUUGGACAUCUUUCACAUUCUUCUCAGAGACUUUGUACAUACUUUCUUCAUCAAAUGUCACAUCUCUGCUGAUUACAAGUUUUUUCAUCUCUGGGCACCACAACCUGUAACCUUUGACACCACUACUAAAACCAAGAAAGAUAGCAUUUUUGGCUCUAGGAUCAAAUUUAUUUUCAGUCACAUGAAAAUAAGCAGGUGAACCAAAAAUACGGAUAUAGUCAUAAUCAGAAGAAGGUUUUCCAGUCCAAACCUCCAUUGGUGUCUUACCCUGAACAGUAACUGAGGGUAACCGGUUGAUGAUGUGACAUGCAUAAUGAACUGCCUCUGCCCAAAAUGACUUGCUUAAACCCGACUGAGACAACAUACAUCUAACCUUCUCAAGCAAGGUUCGAUUCAAUCUUUCUGCAACUCCAUUUUGUUGUGGAGUUCCCCGGACACUAAAAUGUCUCACAAUCCCUUCCUCUUUGCAAAAUUUAAAGAAAGGGUCAGAUGUGCAUUCACCACCAUUAUCCGAUCUCAAAAUCUUAAUCUUUAUCCUAGUCUGGUUCUCAAUCAUUUUCUUCCAACCCAAGAAAAUGCUUAAUACCUCACUCUUGUGCUUCAUAGUGUAAACCCAAGACCUUCUUGAAUAAUCAUCAACAAAGGUCACGAACCAAUGUCUACCACUCAAAGAGGGAGUCUUUGUAGGACCCCAAACAUCAGAAUGCACAUAAUCAAGAAUGCCCUUCGUCUGAUGUACAGCAGUACCAAACUUCACUCUAGUUUGCUUCCCCAAGACACAAUGCUCGCAGAAAUCAAGCUUACAAGUCGUGGCACCUUUUAGAAGACCUUGUUUCACAAGCCCUUGUAGAGCUUUCUCACCGACAUGGCCUAAUCUCAUAUGCCACAGUCUAGUAGUAUCUGAAUCAGAUGUGCCCAUAUUUUCAGAGACUACAGAUGCUUCACCUGUCACAGUGCUUCCCUGCAAUAAAUACAAAUGGCCACAUCGAGGAGCUUUCAUCACAACAAGUGCACCAUAAGUAACUUUCAAUGUCUGUCCAUCUGAAUGAAACCUGAAGCCCUUGGAUUCCAAAGUACCCAAAGAAACAAGAUUUUUCUUCAAAUUCGGUACAUACCGAACACCUGUCAACUCUUUAACCAUGCCAUCAUGCAACUUCAAACGAACUGUACCAAUCCCUUUUGUUGUGCAAGGAUUGUCAUCUCCCAUGAACACAACGCCACCAUCAAACUCUUUCAAGCUUGAAAACCAAUCCUUGUGAGGAGUCAUAUGAUGAGUACAACCCGUAUCCAACACCCACUUAGUAGCACAAUCAAAUGAUGAGGAAGUGGUUAAAGCAAAAUCAGAAAAAUCUGUUUCAACCUCAGCAACAUUAGCUUCAGAACUUUCUUUUCCUUUGGUCUUCAACUUAGGACAAUCUUUCUUCCAAUGGCCCUUAUUACGACAAAAGGCACAUUCAUCCCUUUCCAAGGUUUUCUACCUUUAGAGUUUCCUCUGGGUCGAGAGUGUGAUUUUUUCCUACUAGAAGAUGACCUCCUCUCCGAUGAUCUACCUCUAACAAAUAAAGCUUCAGAGUUACUAUCAUGAUUUUUAUCUCUGUGCCUCAUUUCAUAAUUCAUCAAGGCAUUUGACACAUCUUCAAAUUUCACAGUUUCUUUACCAUGCAUAAUAGUGGUAACAAAAUGCUCAUAAGAGUCCGGCAAGGAAUUCAACAAUAUUAAAGCCUUAUCUUCAUCCUUAAUAUCCUCAUCUAAAUUUAACAAGUCGGCAAUCAACUUAUUAAAAACAUCAAGGUGUCUAAUCAUUUUUGUACCUUCUUUGUAUUGGAAGCGGUAGAGCUUUUUCUUCAAGUGUAGCCGGUUCUCUGCACUCUUCGUCAUAUACUUGUCUUCCAAUUUUUGCCACAACACACUUGCUACUGUCUCCCGCAUCACAAAAUAUUUCUGAGUUUUUGCAAGGCACAACCGAAUUGAAGAGCAAGCCCACAAAUUUAAUUUCUUCCAUUCCGACUUCGACAUAGCUUCCGGCUUUUCUCCCAAAGCGGCAAGUAGAUCUUGUUGAGCCAACACAUCUUUGACCUCACAUUGCCACAUCCCGAAGUUGUUUGUGCCAUCAAACUUUUCAACUUCGAACUUUGCAUUUUGCACCGUAGUUCUUGCAAACCCGGAGGUGCUUCCAAAAGGAUUCUCAUCUUGCCCGUCUGACAUCUUUGGCAACUAGACAGUACCCAAGAGCAACUAGUGCUCUGAUACCAAUUGUUGUGCUAGGAUAGCACCAAACCUGUUGGAACCAACUCAAGCUAACCCACAGGAAAUUUAUCAAAUGAAAUGUAAGAACAAAAUAUUAAAGACACCAAGAUUUUAAUGAGGUUCCUCAACAGUCAGUGUAACUGGAGUACGUCCUCGGAGCAGUAGGAGCUCACCCAAUAAUCCACUAUCAACCAAAUGAGAGUUUACAAAAUAUUGGCAAUCUCACAACCCAAAUAACCCAAUACACCCAAUAACUCUCACACUCUAAAGAAACAAAUAGAGAAAGAAAUAUAGUGAUUAAUUUCUUCUCUAUACAAAGCUCAAAGCUAUUACAACAAUAACACUUUGAUGGAGUGAGAACUAUCCAAUGAAAGGAACAACAACUCCUUCUCUGAAAAUGGUACUGCAGCAGUACCUUCUUUCUCUCCCUCUCUUCUCUUCGGCUCUCUAAUUUUUCUGCUCUCUACAAACAAAAGAGCUCUCCAUCUCUUAUCUUCUACCGAAACAAACCUCAUAAUUAUGGCUUUAAAAAAAGCCACAAAACAUGCCACAAAACAAGGAAACAUAAUCAUGUUGUCAUUUCCCCUUUUUUUUUCUUUAUAAUUUUUUAUAGCCAAAAGUUGGCUGCCACAUACUCCAACAGUGAGUUGGGAAUUUUUUUAGUAAAUAACCUCUGAUGUUGGUUGAAUUUUACUAUUGAUAAAUGUGGUUCCACCAAAUGACACGUACAAAUUGUUUUUGCCUAUUUGCUGCUAAUGAUUUGUAGCAAGAGUGGCAAGAUUUGAUUUUAGCUGUUUCUAAUUGGUAAUGGUUUAAGGGAAGUUCAUUUACUAAUAGAGGUGCAUGUUUUCAUAAGUUUGAUUCAUAACCUCGUCGAGCAUUUGGAGCUCGCUUUGACUGAGGUUUUUCGAUUCGAUUUGAUUUGAUGGCGUAUAAUCUUUUCUCAGUUUCUCGGUCAUUUUCAGAGUGUGACCAAGAUUAUCUCUGUGAGGAAUGUUGAGGUUAGGGAUUGGAAGUAAAUGAAAAGGGGUGUCAUUUUAUCAAAAGCUGAGGCCAAGAUUAUCUUUUGAGAAAACUUCGAGGCCUUACCUAGAUUGCAAGUCCCCGUUAAGUUCCAAUUGACGAAGAUGUUGUUUAAAACUGUUGAAAUUAUACUGCCUUGAUUGAAAGGAGGCCUUACCUAGGAUAAUAUCUAGCUCAUUCGGGGGUCUUUUUCAGUUCUUUAACUACAUGAAAUGUGCAUUGAGAUGAAUUCUUAUCCUGAAUGAGUAAAUGUGAGAAUGUCGCGUGAUUGACGGAAAAUGAUGAAAUAAGAUAAUGAAUUACGAAGGGAAAUAAAACUUUUCAAUGAGUUAGAUAGGUCUGUAUCUUAUUCAGCGUUUAUUUGAUGUUGUAGGCUGGGUGCUCAGCUGGAGAUGCGGAUAAACAAAGAAGUAGUCUUGAAUCUCUGUUUUGUUAUGAUAAGUCUGUACCGGAAGAGAGAAUCGAGAAGCCUAUCGGGAUAUCUUUGCCUGAGAAAAUCAUUGGAAACAAUCCCCGAUGCUUUGACUGUGAAGCUAAAGGCGCAGUCCUUUGCACCACUUGUUCUGGUUCAGGCCUGUAUGUUGAUUCAGUACUGGAGAGCCAGGGUAUUCUUGUCACAUUCGCUGCCUCGGUAAUUAGCUCCUCUUCUCAUAACUGAGUACAUUUGUUGAUUUGAAAAAGAAAACGAUAUUUGCACUUGAUUGUCAAAUAUUAAAGUUUUAUAGCGUUCAUUUGAGUAUAUAUGGCCAAUGAGAAUAUGCUAACGCGAUAGUUGCUCCAUGUAGGUUGUGGGGGAAGUGGCAAGAUUAUGUGUUCAGAAUGUGGUGGGCGCGGGCAUCUAGGAUGACCAAACCGGUUCGCUUAUCUUCCUUGAAUUUGCUGUAUGUGCAAGUAACUUGUAUUAUAGCCAUGAUGCUUUCUCGAAUUUUUUGUGGCUGAUUCCACGAUGAGUUUACGUUAAGUGUAACAGUAAUGCAUCUGAUUCAUUUACUCUUAGAAAUGGUGUUCUUCCUCAGAUUUAUGUGCCCUAUAUCGUGUUGAACGUUCAGAACUACAUAUCAUUUACAGAAAACUGUAUGUUGUUACUAGUCGACUAGAAAACUGGAUGCAGAGGAUCCUACUUGACCGCUCCUGCGAUAGGCUUGAUCACUUGUUGAUAGCUUGCGGUUCUUAUGCUUGGAAUCUCUGGAGCUCUUCAAUACGAGCAGGUAUGGUCGAAUCAAAUCUAAAGCUCUGUGGAUCCUCUGAAUACGCCACGUAGUAAGAUGAAACGCAUGCUUGUGGCCAUGCCAUAGCAACCCGACACUGAAUCACAUACAUCAAAGCCAAAGUUAGAACACAUUAGUCAUUAGUGUUUUGAUAUUGCUAAGUUUACUGAGGAAGGAUAAUUACAGACGAGUUUUUACCAUGAAAUAUCCGAUGAAGAAUGCGUAUAUGGAAACUUCUGUAGCAUAGCUUUUGUGAAUUAUAAAAGCCCAGGUCCCGCUCACUAGGCUGCAGAUUGCACCUACUGCCACCCCAGAAAGAAAACAGAACGAUCCGGUGAGAUCCGAGUCGAUUAAUUCUUUCAGUCCUUCGUUCUCGAACUUCUCCCAAAUAUCUGAUGAUGCCUGCGCAAACCCCUUAUUAUACGCUCCUACGUGCACAAAACCCCAGCGAUUCCCGUACAUCACCAGCGUCGAAGCCAUUCCUAAAUAGCAGUUGGCACACGAAAACAGAAACUCGUCGGUGUCCCCUGCAGUCAGUUUCAUGGCUCGGGCCGAGCCACGAACAACCCCAAGAACCGGAACCAAGAUGGAGCCGAUGCAAAUACUCCCAGUCAAGUGCUUAAUGGUGUCGCGGGAAGCCUCACGUGUGUCGAUCUCUGUUCCAAAUGCGAAGUUCAUAUACUUGAUUCGCGAGAUGGUAACUAGCAGCGUGUUCUUGAUUACCUGCAUCGUCCAUGCCAUGCUUAGCAAGAUUACUGCGAUGAACAGGGCCUUCCAACUACUUCUGAUGGCAGUGGCUCUUCCAAUGCCGGCAACCAAGAGACACAAGUAAAGAAUGCUGACGAAAAUUGAUUGAAUGACUAGUAUUGUAGUUUUCGGAGGAGGAAAAGCAGUGGAAACUGAUAAAACUCGAAUGGCGUAGUCAAAACGGGGACUGACCCAACAGGCAUACAGAGACUGAAUGAGGGCACAAACGAUGGCAACCACACCCGCUGCCAAGCUUACACGAGAACUUAUGUAUAUAAGUAGUACUCCAACUGCGCAUGUUAGCAAAGGGCUGAGCGAGAAGGCUGCCUUGAUGGCUUUUGAAGGGCUUGAGCUGGUGAUCCACUGCCAUAUGAAAGCAACAGUUGCAGAGCACCCAAUUGCAGUGAGCAAUGGAGGGUAAUACUUGAGGGGUUGGAAAUGGCGAGUGCGAGUUGUGAAGAUGAGGCCAUAGAGCGUAAGGAAGAUUACGAAGAUGGUGAUGAAAAUCAAGUGCAAGUAAAACAGAAGUUUAAAGAGCCACCUGAGGAAUUGUCCUGCCGUGGUUGUUUCAGUUGGAAUGUCGAUAGGUUCUUGCGUCUGCAUCCACAGAAAACGAACUGGAUCUAUCAAUGAACAAGAAGAUCAACGAAAACAGACAAAAUCUAUAUUACAGAGAAAGAUGCAGUAAGAAAGAAGAAAAAUUGGUGACGGAGAUGAAAGCCAGAGAAAGAAACAAGAAUUGGGUUAGAGAGAGAACCUUGAUUUGGUUUACGGAUGAAGGUCUGACUUGAACUUGCAUGUGGAUGUUCUUGGUGGUCUCUAAACUUGCCAUAACUCGAUGCACAUAUGCCUUAAUCGCGUCGAAAUUCCGAAUUCAACUGUCCUUUCUCUAACAGAAAUUCUGGGAUGGUUUCUACCACUUCCUUUGCCAAAAUUCCCGGACUUCGAAUUAAACUAAUCCCAGGUUGUGUUCAUAGAAAUUCUCCGGCCGUGGUUGUUUCAGUUGGAUUGUUGCUAAGUUCUUGCGUCUGCAUCCACAGAAACCGAACCGGAUAUAUCAAGAUCAACGAAGACGGACGAAAAUGAUAUCGGAAAGAGGUCAACUGCAAGGACUGUUCUUUCUUCUAAUUAUCUUUGUGUAGAAGUACUUAUGUAUUUCAAUGGCUCCCAAUUCGACCGUCGCUUUCUUUGCCUCCAAGAUUCAACAAAUCAUCAUAUGGAUGGAAAUUUCCGAAAUUCGAUUUAAAAAGACGACUGACCGAGUCUACCACUAAGACAAUUUAUCUUGAGUUCAGAUUAACUUGUUGGUCACGCACCCUCACUCUUGGCAUCAUGAGCUGGCUAGCUGCCACGUGGGCGUUUAUGUUUUGCUAAUUGAGUGAGGAUUCUCGCAGGAUUCCUUUUGUGAGCAUCCGGGAAUUCUCCAAUCAUAUUCAUUUAUCGUACAUUAUGCGGUCAAUUUUCGUCAAGUACUGUUUAUAUUCAAUAUUAAAUAAUAAAAAUUAUAAUAAUUUCUAACCGUAUGAUAUACGAUGAAUAUAUGUGAAUAUGAUUGGAGAAUCCGGCGAGGAUCCUCACUAUUGCUAAUUAGGGCUAUUAGGCAGGUCAGCAAUGGUGACGUGCCGCGCAAGAAUUAAAACAACUUCUGGCCGGCCCUGUGUUUUCCCUCGUGAAGCAGUUGGGCUACUUUUUUUUAUUUGUUCCGCACGGAUUUUCUGUCACUUUUCUUUUGGGGGAAAAAAGUUGUUUAUUCUGUUAAAAAGAGAGAGAUGAUUGUUUGGUUCAGCUGCUAACUGAUUUGUAACCACUUUGGGGGCAAGCAUAAUUACAGGGUUGCCCUUCAACGGAAUUUGGGGGCCGUUCAAUUUCAAGGUGCCAACUACAACUACUUGCCAAGAUAUGCUAUGGUGAAGUUGAGCUACUAUAUAUUUUGUUGGUACAUGGUUUGCGCCUCAUUUUUGGGCCUAAUAUAAAAAUAUGUAAUAAAAAAAACAAAUUUAAAAAAAAAAAAAAAAAACACAAAAGGAGGUUGAGUCCAAGUUUUGUAAAACCAAAGAAAAAACUCAAUGUGGAUUACCCCAAAUUCAUGUGAACCAUAAGUUGUUGUGUGUUUGUGUGGUUUCACUAGUCUCUAUCUCGUUGGUCCAUAAUUUGGCAUAAACAAUAGGAUAGAGAGAAUUAGAAAUGUCCGUCAUGAGCAUUUGCAAAGGUAUGUGCUUCAAGUAGUCAUUUGCAAAAUUUUCUCACUUGUUUUGUAUCAAUACUUAUGAAGUGCAUUUCUAAUUUCUCAUAUAUAAUAGUGUGUAGUUCAUCCCCAUUAACUUGGCCUCAAAUUCAAUUAUUAUUAUUAUUAUUAUUUUAGAAAACCUCGACGGAAAGAGAGAAGUUUUAUUGACAUCGAAAAAAAAUAGUACACCUAGUUAGGGGGAACAUAAACCUAACCCCUCAUAAUACAAGAAAAAAAGGAUAAAAAUACAUGAAAAGAAGGGGGGACAUAAACCUUACCAUUUUAGAAACAAAAGCAACAAAGAUACAAGAAAAAUAGGGGAGGAGGACAUGAAACCUAAUCCCUUUAAAGCUGAACCUAAAGGUCUAAAUCUGCAAAAUAGAACAAGGAACAUCACCAUCAAAUUCAAUCACUUGAAACUUGGAAAUCUCUCACCAAAACAUAACGUAAAUAUUAUGAGUUACACAGUCAAAGAAAAAACUUUUAGUGCUUUAUCGAAAACAAUUGACAUAGCACAAAUAUAUUGACUAUACUAUUAAUAUAGUGUUCUGUUCUAAUAAUACAAUAUUACGUGAAAACAAAACUUACAUAUAUCAUUGUAUAAUAUCCACAUAACACCAUGAUAAUGGUGUACUCCUGUCAUAAAUCUCUUCAUUUCAUUAAGUUCAUGUCAUUGCUAAAAAACUAAGCAAUUAACCAACGCAUCACCAGAAAACUAAUUAAAACCUUAAAGAUCUCCCCCACCCAACAACAAAUAUACAGUGACUGACACAUCUAAAUCGCCUUCACUUCAAAGCAACUUCACUUCCAAUACAUUUCCUAAUCUCUCCUUCAUUGGCUUUACAAUUAGAACUCUCUCUCUCCCUAACCAUUUUAACUACAAUCUUUCCCUCUCUCUCUGUAAACAUUCUUCCAUCCCCAAAAUCUUCAGCAAUGGCCAUAAAAGUUUGUGUAAUAUCUUUCCUCCUAACCUCAGUUCUCUUCUCUCUUCUAUACAUCCCAACUAGGUUAAAAAUCCCUAUCCACAACUUCAAGCCAGUCAUAAACUACCUCAACUUAACCACCAUAUCCAGCAACAGCACCACCAAGCCAUAUCCAGUGACAUUUUCCUACCUAAUCUCUGCAUCCAAAGGCGAUUCCAUGAAGCUAAAGCGCAUGCUGUAUGCCCUAUACCAUCCUGGAAAUUACUAUCUAAUCCAUAUGGAUUACGCUGCACCAGAAGAUGAGCACAGGGACAUUGCUGACUUUGUGGCUGGAGAUCCAGUUUUUGGGCAAGUUGGUAAUGUUUGGGUUUUGGGAAAACCUAAUUUGGUCACUUACAGAGGACCAACCAUGCUUGCCACUACUCUUCAUGCAUUGUCCUUGCUCCUGAGGACUUGGGAUUGGGAUUGGUUUAUCAAUCUUAGUGCUUCUGAUUAUCCUUUAAUCACUCAAGAUGGUAUGGUGAGUGCCUUUUUAUUUUUGUUUAAUUUUGUUUUUGCUGCAAUUAAAUCCAUUUUUUGUGUUGGGUUUUUCUUACUUAAAUUUCUUGCAUUCUUACAUAAUUAUUAAAAUUUGUUUUCAGAUCUGAUACAUGCUUUUUCUGAUUUACCAAGAGGUCUCAAUUUCAUACAUCACACUAGUCGCUUGGGUUGGAAGCUGUGAGUCUUUGUUUCUUCCUUCUUCUUUUUUUGUUAAUUAUCAAUUAGUUCUUGCGUUAAUUAAAUUGAUUAGAACAGUGCGUUUGAUUUCCCCUCUCCACUCUCCGCUUAUUGCUCCUUAUAUUAAAUUGGCAUUUUAGCCAAAUGGUCAAUGAGAUUUACAUAACUCCUUAUUUUGGUCCCUGAGUUUAUCUACAAUCAAUCAUUUUAAUUAUUUUAUAAUUUUUUUUCCAUAAAAUAAGAAUAAAAUGACAAAAAUACUCUUAAUUUGGGUCAAAUCAUUUUAGCCUAUUGUUUAUUAAAUUGAGAGUAAUUUUGGUUAUUUUGGUCCUUACUUAACAUAAUUUUUCAUCCAAUAACCAAAAUGAUUAAUGGUAGACAAUCUCGAGAACCACUUCUAUUGAUUUCAAAUCUUAUGGAUCAAAAUGAAGAGUUAUGCAAUUCUCAUAGACCAUUUUGAUUAAAGAGCCUAUUAAAUUAGAAUAUCGCUAUGAUGAAAAGAAUAAUUAGUACCUUAUAUACCUCUAUAUUGUGAAAACUGAUUAGUGAUUUUGCAGAAAUAAGAGAGGGAAGCCAAUGGUAAUAGACCCAGGACUGUACAGCCUGAAUAAAUCAGAGUUGUGGUGGGUUAUCAAACAAAGGGCUCUCCCAACUGCUUUCAAUCUUUACACAGGUUCAACCCCAACUCCCAAGUUUUUUCUUAUUAAAAAUGAUUAAUUUCAUUAAUUAAGUUAAUAAUUAUAAAUUAGAAAAGAAAAUUAGAUAAUAGAUAUAUUUUCUUCUUUUCUUUUGGAUAUUGCUAUUAUAGUAGCACACAAACUUCUAACCAGCGAGUAAUUUUUCAUUGUGCUGAGAAUACGGCAUCAAGUUCCAUAAUAAAAUUAGGGGUGUGUUUACUUCUCACACACCCUUGUUAAUUUCUGUUAUUUGAUCUUCUUUAAUUCAUUUGAUCUGACGGUUGAAAACAAAAAAUAUGUGAGAGAAGUAAAAAAAUGUGUGGAUAUCGCAUCACUAAAAUUAAUGGAAUUUUUUUUUCAAGUUUUCAAUUGUGUAACAGGCUGUGUCCUGACAUGCUAAAAAUAUCUUCCGUACAGCACAAGCAUCGAAAGAUAACACGUCUUGUUGUUGUGAUGGUUUACUUUUGUGCUUCUUUUUCAUUUUUCUUUCUUUGUACGAAAUUCGUUCACGCAUUUUGUCGAUAACACUUGUCUUCGUCCGCUGGUUCACAUUUUCACAUCUACUUGUAAAUUAUAAAUCAAAUUUUGAACUUGAUCAGCACUUUUAAGUACUUUUCAAGUUUAGGAAAAAGGAAGUCGACGUGUAAAGGUUAGUUUAGAUGUCAGAAUCUUAAAACUAAAUGAGCAAACUAGUCGUACUAAUUGAGAUUUAAUUUCCUUAGCAAAGAAAAAAAUUGAUAUUUUUCAAGGUAAUCAUUUAUCAAAUUUUAAUGAACUUGUUAAUUUGUCAUUGUAUACCUAUAUAUAUAAAGGAAGAAGGCAAAAAUGAUGAAACUUUCAUAUUGCUCAAUUUCUCUAUUUUUUUUCUUGCAAUUCAUUAUCUUUCAACAUAUAUUUAAUAAAAAUAAUAACAACAAAAAUAAGUAAAACUAAAACAACCAAAUAAUAAAUAAUAUAUUAUUAACCAGAAAAAUAAAUAAUAAGUUAAAAAAUAGCUAAUUGCCACACGCCGUGUGAAAAGAGGCUAAUUAUUUUGAAACCCAAUGGUGGUUGGGGUGGUGCUACCUCCUACACAUCUCUUAAACUUCUGUUAUCGAAUCGAAUGAAUUGAAGAAGAUCAAGAGAUAAAAAUUAACAAGAAUGUGUGUGAGGUAAAAAAAAUUGUGUAUAUAGCACCACCCUUCAACUACUUAUCUCAAAUCUUUAACGUCCAAAUAAAAUAUUGCUAAACAAAAAUAAAAAUAAACCAGUUAGUCCACUACUUAUAAAAAAAAGUCAACAAAAAAAACUAAGGUGGAGAACUAUCCAGUUGGAAACCUAUGAUAAGUCCAUGACAAGAUGAAGGUGAUGAUGAAAUUUACGGACUGUAUGUAAAUUGCGGUUGUUUUCAUUUGGGGAAACUUCAAAUGUCCCUUUCAAAUGUCCCUUUCACCGUUUCUUUAUUUCCACUUCUUCUGGUAGGUUUAGUGCGCAGUUCAUAUUUAUCAUGAUGUUUAUGCAUCACUUAAUAACAUGCUUUGGCAUUUUCUCUCCGCUCCACCUAACUAUUGUUGGCUGAACCAAACUACUGACCAACACUACACGCAUCUUAAACGCAACACGAAAAAUUCAAGAAAUUAUGAAGAAGAUUGGCCAACAUAAUCAGAAAUUAAAUUUUAAUUGAUAAACUGAUAAAUAACUAAUAACAAAUUAAUAAUAUAGCGGCCAUAUUUGAGUAGCGUACUGAAAAACUGAACAUUUCAACACUUGGGAAUUUGGAAGAUGAUCAUUUUGGCGAGUUUGCCAAACUGGUUUAUGGCACUUUCCUUAUUUGGAGGGGGUGGGGUGGGGGGUUUGUUAAAUCUGGUUGAAACUUUUUACUGCAUGUGGCAAUAUGGUGUAGGUCGAGUAAUAAUCAUUGGUUAACUAAAAAGAGUAUAAGAAUUGGAGAGGGAGCAGAGCUACGUCAAACAACAGACACCUGCAAUCUGCAUGCACCACAUAUCUAAAUGAUAAGGCCUCUCUUUUAUAAACUGCUUUCGCUUGGGAUGAACUUGUUCUCUUGCUUCUAUAGACUCUUUAAAGUAGUAUUUUCCAAUAUAUACACUUGUUAUUAUACACAUAAAUAAAUCCACUGCUUGCAAAUUUGCAAGUCUAUAUGAACGUAGUUUAAGUUCGCACGUUUUAUUAGGUUCGCACUCUCAGUUUGUUAUUGAACACUGCAUGUUAGCCAAUGUUUCAAAAUUGUAAAUUAUUUGUUUGGAGUGUCACUAGGGUUAUGGAUUUGAGAUUUCUUUUACAGAAGGAAUAACGUUUUUUGUAUUACAUUCCACAUUGUUGAAAGAUGGUCGGUAAUGUGGGUUGUUAAUGUGGUCCGAAUAGCAACACUUUUACUAAAAUGACCAUAGAAGUAACAAAGCAGUACACUUAUUAAUCUAUAUUGAUCUCUUGCUUUCACUCCAGGUUCAGCUUGGACAAUUUUAUCAAGAUCUUUUGCCGAGUAUUGUGUCGUAGGGUGGGACAAUCUGCCAAGGACUCUCCUCCUCUACUACACUAACUUUGUUUCAUCACCGGAAGGCUACUUCCAGACAGUAAUAUGUAACUCCGAAGACUACAAGAACACCACCGUCAAUCACGACCUUCAUUACAUUACAUGGGAUACACCUCCGAAGCAGCAUCCGAGGUCUCUUGGACUGAGAGAUCUCAGAAGAAUGAUUCUGAGCAACCGUCCAUUUGCUAGAAAGUUCAAGAAAAAUGCCCCGGUUCUAAACAAAAUUGAUCGCGACCUUCUUAAACGACAUCGCGGACAAUUUGCUUACGGGGGAUGGUGUUCUGGGAGUAAUGGGAAGACGCAAAAGGUAUGCUCGAGUUUGCAGAGUGAAAACUAUGGCGUUUUAAGGCCGGGACCGGGGUCUAGGAGGUUGAAAUCUUUGUUAACGAAACUCCUCUCCACAAGGAACUUCAAGAAACAACAAUGCAGAUGAUUCUUUUAAUAACCAAAAUUAAUAAAUGGCAUGCUUGUAGUUGUGUGUUCUCUACAUGAUUUUUUGAAAUUUGGGGGUUUUAUUUAUUUAUAUUUUUUAUAUAUCUUUAUGAUAAUAGCUAGUUAGCUAGCAAGCUUCAAAGUCUUAAGGAUUGAAUCACUUCUAUUGCCUAGUUUGAAGGGUACUCUUUGUUUUGCCAAGGUAAACCCUAAAGCAUGCCACAUAAAGGGGCACUAAACAAGCAAUUGAACACAUUAUAUUAUCCCUCUAUUAUCUGUUUACUGUGUUUUUUUCUUUUCCAACACAAUUCUUAACGUCUUAUUGUUUGAGUUAAAUCACUUAGAUGAUGUGCACUUGUGCUUGGAUGACUCAAGACAAUUGCACGAUAAUUUUUAAUUAAGGGUUUAAGGUUUGGUAAGAGGUUAGCAACUUAGUUGGUUAAAAUCAUUCCCUCUUGCAUCGGGUAUUUUAGUUUGAAUUCCUCCUCUCUCAUAAUUGUUCAGAGCAACUCCAGUGUAGGAGCCCUCCCCCCAGGCUAUUCACUAUUUAAUCCACCCAAUGAACAGUAAUCGCCCUUAAUAAAUAGUGCAUUCCCCUGGCAAUUGUCUUUUGCAUCUCCACCCCUGCACUGAAUAGCCGGGGCAAUUGGCAAUAAAAUAUUAGUAUUUUUUUUAUUUAUAAAAUAAUACAAAAUCAUUUUUAAUUGUUUUCCUUUUUCUUUUUUCCUAUUCCUUUUCCAUUUCAUUUUUCCAAACUCAACCGACAACCAUUCUCUCAUUUUUUUCCAGAACACUCUUCAUGUUUCCUAGCCCUCUGUCUCUCCUUUUUCUCUCUCUCUCUCUCUCUCUCUCUCUCUCUCUCUCUCUCUCUCUACGACGCAACCCCCCUCAUUUCUGAAACCUCUCUCUCUCUUUAAUCUCUCUCAUUCUCUUGCAUGCAUCAUCAGAUCACAAUUUUGGUGCCGAAAUCGCAUGCUCCGAAUCUUCCGUCAGCUCCUUCUCCUCCUCCACCGUGACCACCGCUGGAGCUGGAGAGGAUGGGAUAGUGGACGAGAUCGGCGAGAUGUUGGAGGAGUUCGAGGCUCGACAGAAAAAAAAAAAACAUUAAAACAGGCGUCUGACGUCAGCUAACGUCAGACCCACCUCAGGCUCUCGGGCCGGCGAGAAUCGACGGGCCUGGCGCUCGGGGGUGCUCGGGCUCCCUCGCCAGCCAACGCUGGACUUCCUCCCUCGGGCAAUCAAGCCCUGUUCCAGAGCCUGUCCCUCGAGCAGGAGCUCCCGCUGGAGCUGCUCUCAUAUCCGACAAAAGAAAAAGAUAUAGAGUUUUGUGGGUUAGGCAACAAUAAACAAGCAAGCAAUAAAAUAGUGAUUAUUACAAAAGUUUACUCGAUACUUUUUGGUUGAAUAAUUUAACUUUGCCUGUUCAAAAUUAGUUUAAAUUAGAGUUCAAAUCUUCUGCAUUUAUUUUGUGCGUUGCCUUUUUGUGGAUUUUAACAUUAAUUGACACGUGUCUAUAAACUUAACCCUCAUUAAUUCUGUUUUCAUAAACUUAAUAUAUAUCAAUCAAUAAUAGACGUCAUAAAAAGACCACACACAAAAUUAAUGCAAAAAUUUUAAACUCUUUACAUUAAUGUUUUUCAAUGCUUUAACCAGCUAGAGAGAAAAAGGACAAGGAUUCUCCUUUAAUUAAAGUCAAAUUUUUUUCUGUAUUGGAUGUGUAGUUGUACUGAAGACAGUUAAGAGGUUUUACAAUAAACCUAUUGACUCUAUGGAUAGUAGCCGAGCAGAUGUAAAGUCUCUCUUUCUCGACGUGAGAUUCAUAUUUGCAACAUGUACUUGUAGUAUUGUGAAGGCUGAUUUAUACUACGAUCACUUCCUCGGGCGUAUACUUUUGAAUUUAGAUGAAAUCGCAAAGAGUAAAUUAGGAGGUCCACCACCCCACAGACAACAACGGUCACUUCACUAUUCUUCCACCUUUUUGAGUGCAUUAUUUCAAGUUCCAAUUGAGUAAUUAAAAAACAUAAUGUUCAUAUUAAAUACCCCAAUGAAAAACAAAAAAGAAAACAAAGAAUCAUCAUCAGUUUGCAGCUAGCUACUUACCUAGCAGCUAAGUACUUCACCAAGAGAGUGGCCCAUACAGAUGGAUCACCCUACAUAAUCUGGUCAGAGAGCGACGGCAAUCGCCCGAAAAAGUUGGAGGGAACCGAAGGCAUGCCGUCGUGGAACCGUGGGUGGCGCAAGUAGUAGAACCCUGACCCCAACACAAAGGCCUUGAAUGGCACCAUGUAAAACACCAAAGAAGCUACCACGCAAAACACCACAAAUAUUUCCGCGGCCCUUGGAUCCCUCCAAUUAAACAGGGCCACCAAACGCUCCCCUUGGGCUGCCACGUCACCCAAAAGCAUUUGGGCCCUACCUCCGAGGGCCCGGAGUCGAUCGUAUCGGAUACGAAUUAUAUCCGACGGUCACGUGGAUGGAAACCCUUCGAGCUCCUCGUUCAACUCUUCUGGGCUCACAGCAGCGACGUAGGACAUUCUCGGGUCCAUAUUAUGUGGGCCCAGUUGACGAUACCGCGACCGUACCAAUAGGAUGAAGAAGGCAUACAUGACACCAAAUGCGGACAAAUUACAACCGCCCAGAGCAGUACGUGCACUAAAACGGUGGUGGGAGGAUGAAGCCACGUGCAGCUUCCAUCGAGCCAACGGGCCAAUGUAGCCGCACGUGAUAGGCACCCCACGACGCGAAACUAGUUGGCCUUGCUUCUCCUGCUCCAGAUAAAUUUUUUAUUGUGACAAGAACACGAAGACUACAUUAUGUGUUUUUAUAUGAUUGGUGGGAAAUUUUAUGUUCUAAGUUAUUAACUUUUUAACACACAUAUCCCACUAUUUGUAUAAUGACACAUGAUGUACUAUUCCAUGUACCGAUCACACUGAAAAAUCUCUCUGUACCCCACACAUCAGAAUCCAACAUGAACUGAACCACCUCUUGUCCCAACGGCGGCUCGGACCUUGCGAGCCGAGUGCCUCAGAAUAUCUUGUUGUGCUGGACCUAGUGGGCGCAUGUAGUGCAUCCAAGGAAGCAUUGGUGACGUGUAAGCUUGGAUAAAACUAAUCCACGAUGAGCAUGAGAAUCUAACGGCUAUCUUAAUCUCUUACAUUUUCUUGGCUCCACCAGGAAGCAACACCGUAAGGGAUUAUGAGCUCAUGUACACCCGAUUCAUAUCCAAAGUGGAUAGUCUCACGCGGAUCUUCCCGAUCCGACUAUCCUUCUCGGGUUUUCCCGCUUCAUCGCGCUUGUACCUUCCGAUUUCAAAAACUAGAGUUGUGAGAACUGUACAAGGGUCGUACACGUCCCAAGUGUACUGCUCGUUCCAGCGUGGAUUAAACCGGUCGAGAAUAGUUCGUGUCCGAACCCACUUUGGCCCUUAUUUGGCAACCACGUAUGUAUCGGUGGUCCCACGCACGCCAUUUUUUGUCUUCACCGGAAGCAAAUUUGUGGCCCGCAAAUCCUAACUCCCAGCAACCCAAUCAGCGUUUUCGCCGACUGCUUUGUCGCCGGUCUAACGUCGCUUGUCACGUGUACCGCCUUAUUCAGCACGUGAUACCCGCAUUCUAAACAAACUCGCAGAUGUAUUCUUCCCACGUAAGGACGCGUCUGGCCACCAACCAGAUUGAACCACCUGGACUUUGGUGCGGCCCGGUCAUCACUCCGCUUCUCAAUACUCGGCACGUGUACCUUGGCAUGGCCCACAGACUGCCCAUUGGUUACGUCCUCAACGGUUAAAAACAGAAACGGCUGGAACAGCUCGGCAACUACAAACACCAAGUCUUCGUUCCAGCUCGGGUUGCCAUAGCUUAAUGACGUGGACCCUAUGGCGGUCCUACUGGUCUUGAAAAGUUGUGGGACAAGCUGAGCUUUCACGUAAAGUUCGGGAUUUGGAGCCUUUGCGGGUUUAGCUUCGGAUCCCGAACCUAGCUGCUAGACCCUGGGUUUGGAUGACUGUUAAUCUCAAAUACCAAAGAUUCGGAGACAAAUACACCUUAGCUCGGGUCUAGGGUAUCAACCCCCCCCCCGGCGGCGCGUGAAUCCGACUGCCUCGCCUCCUGAAAUACCUCCUUCACCUGAGUUUAGGGAUGGACAAAAUACUCGCGGUUACCCACCUAUUGAAAUUUCACGGUUACGGUUAUGGGUAUAACCGUUUACCCGUGAAAUUUAAAUUGGUGGUUUGGUUAUUAACCGCUGUUAUAAACGGGUAACUGUUUAUCCAUUUAUUUUAUAUAUGUAAAAUUAACACAAAUCAUAUUUUCGGUCCAAUAAUAGCACCCAAUAAAUUAGCAAGAAAUUCGUUGGUCUUUCUCUCAAUAACAUUGCUGCAGGAAUGAUGACUCUCAUCCGCAAGGAAUUCACCAAAUUAAUUUAAAUUCCUUACGGAUAACCGUGAAAUUGAUUGAAAUGUCUUCGAAACAAUUUUUGUAACCCAAUAAUACUUAGCAAAUAUUAUAUUACCUUCAUUGGUAACAGUUAAAAAUAUCGUUCGUAAACUAUUAUUUCAAUUAUUGUAAUGAUAUAAGGACUUGAAAAAUUAAAAUACGGAAAUGUAUGAUGAAUGUACCUAUAACGGUGUUUAAUUGUGAAAAAAAAAUUAUGACAAUUUUUUUUUUUAAAUUUUCAAGUUAUUAGAAAAUACGACGGGUGAAAAAGGGGUAAAUGGUAAAAAAAAAAAAAAAAGAUAAAUGGGUUAAAAAGGGUAAAUGUUUAAACGGGUAUUAAACGGUUACGGUUAAAUGGGUAUGCGGACCGUUUAUAAAUGGUUAUGGGUAUGUGUAUAACCGUUUAGACAAUUACCCAACGGGUAAACGGUUAUGCGGGUAUAAGCAUAAACGGUUAUGGGUAAAUAACUACGAUUAUCCAUCCGCCAUAACCAUUGCCCAUCCAUACCUGAGUCCCGAUCCACACCGCCAGCAUGACGUCAUUCCCCGCUGACUUCUUAAAUUUGGAUGUGAAGGAAACAAUCAAGGGCCAAGCUAACUAGUGGCUGCCCUGGAUUCUAACACAUCCUAAGUUUUACAAGAUGAAAAUGCAGCAGUUUCUGAAGAAAUGUUGUUUUUACCUUUGCUGAAAAAGAAAUUGAUGAGCUUUUACAAGAACACAAACUCAUGCCCUUUGUGGUGAUCUUCGAUGUGAAAUGGAAGGUUCAUAUUGCCUAGGAGGUAUCAGGAGGGGGCAGUGGAUACACAUUUUGAAUGACGUGUCUUCUUUGUGUGAGAUAUAGAUCCACGGCGUGUAAAUGUUGGUCGCACAUAAAUGGUCGACCAUCUCUCUUGUGCCUGCAUGUUAGCUGAUCUUUUUAGGUUUCUUGGGCAUGUUGUGCUUAUUUGCUUCUUUUGAUUUAAACUCAUCACCCUUUAGCCUGAGUGACUAAUUGAUCUAGUCACCAAAAAAACACAUCGACUGACUAAAAAUGCUUUAGUCACAACAUACCUUGUUACUAAGGAAUUGUCGAGUUGGUUACUUGAUUACUUUGUAAUGUUGUACGAUUUUAUUUGCUUCCUUGGAUUUAAACUCGCCCUUUAACCUGAGUGACUAAGGUUUUAUGAUUUUAUAAACUAAUUUGCCAUUUAGAAACUUAUAAAGAAGAAGUUAGAAGCUUAGAAAACCUUCAGUGUUAGAGGGAUAAUCGUUAGUGCUUCCGGUUUAUAAUCUGAUAUACUUGCUCUAACAUCGGGUUGAAGAAGUAUAUGUGGGUAUAUAUAAUGCAUAUGCUUGUAAUUUUUUACAUAAAAAGUAUUGCAGUCAAUUUCAAUUGAACCCUUUAAUUAUCUCAUUUCAUGGUAUAAAAUCAACUGUUAUUAGGGAAAUAGGACAAAUAUGGUAGUUUUUCGUUGUCCAUUUUGCCUUACAAGGUCAGCAAAAUUUUGGGGCAAAAUUUUGACAAGAUUGAAAGAUUGGUGCUAUACUCAUUAAGAAGUAGGCACGUUUUAUGUUUAUGUUUUGUAUUUACUUUUAUUUGUUGUUCAGAAUCAUGGUAUGGGAAGCCUUUGCCAUCCUAUGCAAUCUUUUCUUGCGUUGUAGAGUUGCUGUUUCCACUCGUUUCCAGCGUUCUUUCAUGCAACUUCUUAAUGGAGCUCAGUUUGAAGAACUAUCCGAUAGGGAUUUUUAAUCCGGACAUCUGCAUUGAACGCAGAUUAUCACCUUAUUACUUUGCCCAUAUAUGUUGACUGGAAGAAGGCAUCUCACUCGGCUUACUAGAAAUGACCGAGUACGUGCUUUGUAAUGUUGCUUGUUCAGAGUUAGUCACUUUGUUAAUCAAUAUGGUCGAGUUAGUUACUCUGCUCUUUGGGCCUUUAGCCUCGAGAAGGUCUUUAUGUCAUCUCCAACCGAAAGAGGGUCAAAGGGCCAUGUUUAGCCCUAUAACUCUGCAAUAAAUUAUAUUUUAAUAAACAAUGUCAGACCAUAUUUUAUAAGGAAAAUUAACGAAAAGUCCAAAAAACUUCCCUUUUAAUGAAAAGUCAUUUUUAAAGGUUUAAUGAAUAGUACCAGGGAAAUGUAUAAAUAUGGUUUUUCAUUAAAAGUGAACAGUACUGGGAGUGUUUUGUUAAAACUCCCUAUUUUAUAUCAUCUUCAACCGAGGGGGCCAAAGGGUCAUAGGCCAAACAUAGCCUUUGACAAAACACCAUCUCCACCCGAGGUGGUCAAAAGGCUAUAGGCCAAACAUAAUUUAUUAUUUUAAUUAAAUUAAUAUGGUUAAUUGAAUUGGAUUACCAUAUUAAAAUAAGAUUUUCGGACAUAUUUUGAGUGCCACUUGUCGCUAAAUUAAUAAGUCUUCGGAUUUCUUAUCGUUAUAGAAUGAAAAUGAUGUGAAAAAUUGGUGAAGAAUUAAAAUAAAAUGAGGUAAGAUAGUAUGAGAUGGUGAAAAGGACGUGAGAAAUGGGGUAGAAAUUAGGAAUGGGCAAACGGGUAUAGGAACCGUGGGUUAGGGUGGGUACGGGCCGGUUCCAAAUUUUUAAUAAGAGAAACGGGGUGGGCCGGUUCCAGAAGUAUAGAAAAACGGAUACCCGGACCGUCCUGUUUGUAACAAAACAAGGCCUAUGUAUUGGGUUAUUUUAUUAGCAAACUGUAAUACCCCAUAUUUAAAAAAUGAUUAUAUAUGUAUGUUUGUAUGUGCGAAGUUGUUUUUAUGUAAUAAUUUUAUUGGGUUUCUUUUUAUACGCUAUACUUUUCAUAUGUAUACUAGUGUCAACGUAAGUUCAUUUUUGCUACAAGAUUAUUUCAAAAACUAACUAGUAUUAUUUCAUGUUCAUAUGUAAUUAGAGAUAUUUUUAAGGAAAACUAAUGAAAAGGGCUUGAAAACUUUGAGUUUUAAUGAUAAGGACAAAAUAAAGGGUAAAGUGAAUAGUACCAGGUUUGACUUUUUAGUGUAAAAAUGUGGUUUUUCGUUAAAGUGAACAGUACCGGGUGCUUUUCGUUAAAGUUCCCGUAUUUUUAGUUUGAAUUGAAGAAGGGGAUUAUGAUGAGUUUGGCUUUAUUUUUCUCACAAAGGCUAAGUAGCGUUUUGCCAACCAUUAGAGAAUAAAGAGGAGGGGUUAGUCACUACUCUAGAUAGGUUGAGGUGGGAUUCUAUAUCUUAUAGAGUAUGGAUGUGGCCUUUGGGUAUUUGUCCACUUUGCAUGAUAAUUUUUGUUUAUGACUAACUUAACACAUGUUGCUUUGUCAUAUAAACACAUCCUAUUGUCAAUGAUUAACUUCACAUUUGGUGUGUUUCUAUUGGAACACAUAUUAGGGCUUGAUUAACUUAACAUUUGUUGUUUUUCUAUUGGACCACAUAUCAUGGCUAAUGAUGAGAACAACACUUGGUGUCUUGCUAUUGGAACACAUAUGCCAUGAAUCAUGAGGAAAAGAAGCAAACAAGGUUAAUCUAUACGUAUAGAGCUUCAAGGGGAAGGAAUUCAAGGGAAGAAACACAAUCACUCACUAUAUAAAGGAAGGAGGAGGAGAGAGCAAAAGGGAGGGGGGAAGAAAAGAGAGAAAAACCGUCAUUCUCAUAUCACUUUUCUUACAUAUUUUUGUCAAGGCUUUUAAGUCAUUGUUAUGCAUUUGUAAAUCCUCAUUACCUAGUGAAAUACAAAUAAAAACACAACCCUAGUGACGUAGCCAAAUUGGUGAACCACUUAAAUCUCCGUGUUCCUUUGUCUAAUUGCAAUAAAUUUGAGUUGAGCAAACCAUUUAUUAAUAAAACACUGAGUUUUUAAUAGAAACUUGAUGGAAAAGGAGGAUCGACUCAAGGAGGAAUUGGUAACAUAUUGCUUAUCAUUUACAUUAAAGAUUAUUACUUUGUUGUUAAUAUUAUGAUUAUAUUACUCUUGUUACUAAUCAAAUUGAAUUAUGUUGAAGAUUCUAGGCUUGUUAGAUAAAAUGUGAGUAUUGAUAUCUAUAUGAACAUGGCAUAUACAUAAACAUGCUUGUAAAGUAAGAAAAAGAGUUAAGUUGUGUUUGAGUUGUAAGAAUAUUCAAGGGUUGAAGUUUGCCUUGAAUAUAAAAUAAUGAACCUUGUAUACAUCAGGCGUCGGGAGAAAGGCUUGAGUAUGCAACCGGUUGAUUAUAAAAUAAUGAAAUCUUGCAUAUGUCAGGCGUUGGGGGAACGGCUUGAAUAUACAAUUAGGCAUCACAGGAAGUGCCUGUAUAAUAAAGUGGAAAUUGAGAAUUUAAUUACAAAAAUUGGGUUUAAGGGAUGAACGAGAGUUAACUCAUAUUCUAAGGUAUUCAGAGCCAAGUGGUAUAAGCAUGGUAUGGGACGUGUAGGCUUAAGUGCCUUAGGUAUGUGUUAGCAGGAUUGGAAGGGAGUGAGUACAUUCAUCCAUCUCAUUUGCAUAUAUUUCAUGCAUUCGAAAGAAUUGUUACAAUUUAAUUUGAGUACUAAUAUUUUAUUUCCAUUGCAUAUUCAAUAAAUUUUAUGUGGUAAACUAAAGCAUUUAGUAUGUAAAAGUUGUUAACUAGUGUUAUAAGAUGUAUUGUGUAAUCAACUCCAAAUAAUUUUAUUUUAAUUUUUCCACCAUAUCUUGGUUGUAGAAUUUAUUUCUAUAGCUAAGGUAUGACUCACACCUUAGCUCAGGAAUAGUCUUUAUUCGUGGGUCGGGGCGUGACACAAACAAGGCCUAAGCAUUGGACUAUUUACAUCAAUAAACAAAGGUCCAAACUCCACUAUCAGACCCACGCCCAUAGCACACACCUCUCAAAACCUAAUACCUCAAAAACCCAAAGACCUAGAACCUUCCAUCAUCUUUUAGAACUUGAUCAACAAGCAGUCCUCCUCCUCCCCAAACCCUCACAUUCUAAACCAUCAGCAGUCGUCAUCUUCCCCCAAACCUUAAACCUAGUAGCUCCAGUGUUCUCAGAGACCUAAAUGGCCAACUCUCAACUGCGUCCUGAUCGAGAAAAUCAUCCCGCCCUCCAAAACCACUGCCAGCAUUCUUCUCCCCGAGUCCUCCACCAAGGUAAAUUCUAUGACAUCAUCUUCUUCUUCGCAUAAAUGUAUUUAGGGUUUAUGGUUUUAUCUUGACUUGAAUUUUAAUGGUUGCGAUUGGUCCAAUUGAUGUAGCUAAACUCAGGGAAAGUGGUUGCUAUGGGACCAGGAGCCAAGGACAAGGCCAGGAAUCUGAUGAGGUUACAGACGUAGCCGUCGAUGGUGUUGUAGUGGUUGUAGCAGUCGAGCUACUUAUUAUCAACCAGCAGUGUCGUCGAGUCAUCGGGGGUCAGUUGGUCUCCAUGAGCAAUCUUUUUGUUCUUCUCUGGUUACCCUCACUACUGUAGGACCCAUGGGUACUCAUAUGAACCGACCCAUUUCAAAAAGGCCAGGCUAGGUCUAGAUCUCAUUUUGAAAAAUCCAAAACCCGCCCCAUCGCGUGUUAUUUACAAACUGGUUCGGUCCAGUUCCUUCAAUUUUGGGCCUAACCUGGCAUGUGCCCACCCCUAGUAGAAAUGGCUUAGGUAUUUAUAAAAAAUAAAAAAUAGAAUUUUUUUAUAAAUUUCGUCAAAAAAAUAGUCAAACAGUAACAUGACGUCAUGUGGCUGACAUCAACAUGACGUCAAGUGGGACGUAAGGUAACAUGUGCUUGGGCUGGGCCAUAAGGCUGGCAAGCUGGCUACUCUUGGCCAGCCCUUUGGCUGGUUCUCCCAUUUUUGGCCAGGUGGGGCCCACGAGCUCUUUAGCCUACCCCUCGGUUGAAGACAGUUUUCAUGUCAAAAGGGGUAUUUUUUAGCCCUCUGGCCCUUUGGUCGAGUCAAUUGGAGAUGGCCUUAGGUUUAGGAGCAAUGAAUCCAAUCCACCUUGGUUUAUUUAUUUAGUUUUUUUGCCAAACGAUAUAUUGUGUUAGAUUAGAUGUUGAUUAACAUAGACAAGAUUCUAACAAUAAAUUUUGUUAGAUGUUAGGAGCAAUGAAUCCAAUCCACCUUGGUUUAUUUUGUUACAUGUAUUAUUACUAGGGGAGUUGUAACAUCUAACAAAAACAAAAGAGUGAGAAAACAUGAUAUGAAGGUGGGAGUAGCAACAAAUAAUAAAGGAGAAUUAAUAAAAUAAUUAGAAGAAGAUUACAACAACCAAAAACCAGAAAGAUUGUAUUCAACAAGCACGUUGUUCUUAUCACCCAAAAAAUAAUUCUUGUAUAUUAAAUUAUUACGUGUAUGGACAUGGAGGACAUACAACUGAAGAAAACCCCAACCAGAUCAAAAGUUCAAAAACAAAACCCACCAUAAGGCUCAAAUUCUUCCUGGGGGUUUUGGAUCAUGCACCGGAUUUGCUCCAACCCCUGAAUAAUCAUUGGUUUCCAGAUCCAUCCGCCCCUCCACAAAUCCUUCUCCCAAAUCAAGGACACCUUCAUCCAACAAAUUCUGACUCGGUAGGCCUUCCUUACUUAUCUUCCGACUUCCUAUAUUAUCCAGAGCCAAGGAAAAGAAACAUAAAUAUCAUUCGUCGAGGAUCUUGUAAUUUUUUCAGUUACUUCAAAAUUAAAAUAAAUAAAUAAAUAGAAGGCUUACUUGUCGUAGAGCUGCAGCUAUUGAUGAUAGGACAUAUGUAAAACAUAGAAAGAUAACUAGUUGUGUCAUAAAAUUACACUUGUGCGCCAUGCCUUUGCUUCUUAUGAAGCACUCAAUGGAUCUACACAGCACUGCAGACUGGAGAAAAAUAAAAGGAGGGGAGAGAGGGUGGGCGAUGAUGGCUAUUGGCAUGAGGAAACAUGUGGGAAUGGCUGGCGUUUUAUAUUAAUUAAGAUAAGAAGGACAAGUUGAAUAUGCAAAAGCCAAAACGUAACUGAUAAGAAUAUUUCUCCUAAAGUCAACUUGGGUAAUUAUUUAUUGUAUUUCUGUGUGGGUUAGUUCCACUUCCAUAUAUAUCAUCCCUUAUAUAUUUCACUUGUGCUAAUCUUCAGCAUAUUCUUUUUGAUAGAACAUAAUAGAUGCAGAAUUAUUUAAAUUUACAUAUAAUUUACAUUUUAUGCGUUUAUGGAAUAUAUACUUAGGAGUUGAUGUGUUAUUCCACAUGUUAAUAUGAGCAAACGAUAAGGUUCACACGGUCCACUUUUAAGGUAUUUUAAUAAUUAAAAAACAAGUACACGUGUUACAAUUUGAGUAGAGUAGUAUCACAUGUGAUAAUGUUCUAGAUUGAAAAAUCUCCUAAAUCAGAAUGUAAAAUUGGCGCAGCGUGACAAAGAGAAGAUUAAUCAAUGUGAAUGUUCAAAGAACAAGAAGUCUGGAAUCAACCAUAGAAAAUCUCAAUAUUUUGAAUAAUAACUGAUAACAUCACAAACAUGCAUAAUGCCAUAAACUUCUUAUAUGUCCUCAAAAUAGGGUUAGAAUUAAACAAUUAACAAAUUAUCUUAAACUUCUUCAAAACUUAAAAUGUUGAGUGAUGCUACACUUAUCACAUUUUUUCAUACCACAUUAGAAAUAUAAGUUACUAAUACAUAUGAGUCUAAUCUAUUAUAGAAAUAACACAAAUAUAAUUUAAAAAUGUAGUGAGAAUAACAUUUUUAUAAAAAGCUAUAAACGAUGGAAUGUGUUUUAGCUUUUUAUAUAAGUGCAUGCCAGAGGUUCAAAUCUCCUUCGAUCUCUUUUGAUUUUUGGGUAAGAUUUCAUUUGAUCUCAUUAGGAAGACAGAGAAAAAGAAAAAGAAGCUGAUAAGGUUUAGGUGGCUCUCCCUAGAAGUGGUAGGGGAUGUCUGUAAUUAUCUAUAAUUGUGACCAUGCAUGAAUGUAUGAUCAGUCGAUCUCCAUCACUGGGGACAACUACCACAAACCCUAAGUCAGCGAGUGAGUGGGAUCUUAACCCUAAUGACAAUCGAACUUGCCGACGUUGCCAUAUGCGACAAUUGAACAAAGUCACGAGUCAGACGUCUUUCCACCGUCCAAGCUCUCCAAACUUCCCAAGAUGUCCAUCAAUUGCAGUCACGGGGGUUCCUUACGUUAUUCUGUGCUGUACCAAUAAUAGUAUUUAAAACAAGAAGAAAAAAACAAACUUUCUCAAAUAAUUCACAAAUGAACUUUUGUUAGAACAAUAUAAUACACUUUUUCUUUAAUUUAUGUCAUGUCCAUUAAUGACAUAACACCAAAUUGUUAAAUUUUAGAAAUUUUAACGAAACAUUCUUUGCCCUUUUCACUUUUAACUAAAAUAACAAUUUUAUUCUAAAAAGUCAUUUCUGGUACUAUUCACUUACAACACAUUUUUGUCAUUUUGAUUAAAACUCAAAGUUUUCAAGUCAUUUUCAUUAGUUUUCCCUUAAAUUUUCUUUUACGAGUGGUGGACAUAUUACAAGAAAUUAAUAUAGAAAAUUUAAUUUAGGUCAUCAAAUUAAGAUUUGGAUCCAUCCGUAUCUAAAUGGUAGAGAUCUUAUGGAUUAUCACAUCUUAAUUUUUCAUCGUACAUCGUUCGGUCAGAAAUCAUUUGAUUUUUUCAUUUAAAAUUAAACACAAAUAGUACCUGACGAAAACUAACUGCAUGAUAUACGAUAAACAGUUAGGAUGUGAGGAUUCCUAAAAUCCUCACAAAGAGGAUCCGGAGAAAAUCCUCAUCCAUCAAAUUAUAAUAUACAUGGUACCUGAAUUUUAGGUCAAAAAUUCUUCUUUUUUUUUUCAAACCAAAGGUCUAUUCAUUUAUAAAAAAUUUGAAGUGUCAAACAUAUCAUUCAAGCCACUAGGAAUAGCCUAGUGGUGAGGGCGUGGGUAAGGGGUGGGGUAUAUAUCAAACUCGCUAUCUAACGAGUGAAGAAAAAUAUUACUCUGUAAUACUAAGUGGCUAAACGAUAUAUACAAUUAUUAACUUUAAUAAUGUGACAAAUAUAUGUCAACAAUACAUCAUAUGAUAUAAGAAUACGAUUCAAAUAAAAUGACUUUUAUAGCAUUACUCUCUAGUUUAACUUCUAGCUCGACUUUUCAACCCUUCAAUUUUGAUUUUAAAACUAAAUACACAAUUAUUUUUAGGGUGCGUUUGAUUUAUGGGAAACUAGACUUGGGAAUGGGAAAUUGUUGCAUUUUUCAUGUUUGGUAAGGGUAUGCUUGGGAAACGAAUUUCCUUGACCAUGGGAAAAUAGAGGGGAAAAUGAUGCCCUCCACCCACUUAGGAAAUCAUUUUUACUUCGGUUUCCCCUUUAUGUUGUUCAAAAUUGUUGAUUAAUUUGUAUGACCAUCGAGGAGCUUUUUUUUAUUAAUUUCUUUUAUUCCAACAAAUUUUUUUAAUCAUUUUUAUCGUUGGGAAUUUUCUUCACUCAUGAGAAACUAACAUAAAGCAUUAAUUACUUUUUUUUUAUGACAAACUUGAAGGAAAAAUUAGAGAUUUGUGUUGAGAUUUCACUAGAUUUAGGGAACUUUAAUGAAAAGCUUCUGAUACUGUUCACUUUAAUAAAAAAACCACAUUUUUACACUAAAAAGUCAAUUAUGGUACUAUUCACUUUACCUUUUAUUUUGUCCUUAUCGUUAAAACUCAAAGUUUUCAAACUCUUUUUAUUAGUUUUUUUUUUUUUUGUCGUUGUGAGAUUUCACUAGAUUAGCGUGCAUAUACUUUAAAAUAAUGCGUGGCAAUAGAAUCAAUAAACAAAAGUGAAUCAAAACUAAAUACCCUUCAAGAUUUAUGGGCCUAAUGAUUGAGGUAUCAAAUUUUGGAAAACAUUUAACUAGAGAGGAAGGGAGAGAGGAUUAUAUACCAUUUGGAGCCAAGAUUGGCUUCCCCAAGAAAGCUCCUAUGCUCCUUAGAACCUUGUCUUCUCCUUUUUGAAUCUCCAUGGAACUUCUCUUGGCUUUCUCCAUUGGUCCUCUCCGUUGAUUUCUCCAAAAAUUGACACAUGAGACAACCUAAAUGCCCCACACCUCUAGUAAAUAAAGACUAGUAAUCUGUCCUCUAGGGGCUGGCCUUUGAUGUUAGACAGGGAGAAACGUUCUCCUCUCUUGUUCUAGAAAUGAACCACCAAAAAUCAUAAAGAGAAAUAAGCCAAGUGUUAGCUAAUUUAGGGAGGUAAGUCAAGUGAACUGACCCUCUCCUUGGCCAUACAUAGAAGGAUGGCUCUUUUGGAUCUUAUGUCAUUUUCGUCAUUUCAUGUCCUUAAAUGAAGCUUAAUGUGUUUGGGCCCAGUGGGCCCCAAAAACCCCAAACUAUUUUAAGGCCUAAAAUUAACGUCUAAUCGUUAAUAUGAUAAAUUAAGAUUCCCUAAUUAAUUUCACCUCUAUUUAUUUACUGUAAUUAAUUGUUUCCAUCACCUCGUACUUAUCUCAAUACACUAGCGUAUCAAUGUAUGAUCCUUUAGGUUUCAAUAGGCAGUGAGGUGAUUAGUAAUACUACAAUCACUUAGCAAAUUAAAACAUUCUUUUAAUUCUCCCAAUCAUCGAAGAGUAUGUGGUUAUUCCUCGAGAAGACUCACAAGUCAUGAAUGACUUCUAGCCACUACCCAAGCAAAUAUAGAAUAGUUUAGAGAGCCUACUUGGUUGCAAUUACAAUGCAAUUCAAUCAUUCUUUAACUCAAUACUUAUAAUCAAAUUAUUAGAGUAUGAAUGUUUAUGUCAAACCCCUAAUGUGAUUUCCCCAAAUAUAUAUUAUUCAAUUGAAACGUAUAAAGAAUGCCUUCUUUAAUCACGCUAGAUACUUUGACCACAAAUUCGCAAAUUAGAUCGUAUAGUAUUCUCCUUCUCUUAUUGAAGGUUAUAAAUUCCUUGUUACACUCAUAUGCCUCUAUGAAUAUGUCAAACACAUCCAAAUUGGGGCAUGGUCAUGUUGCAUCAUCAAUUAGCCAAUGGCUUUUCCAUAAGACCAUGGUGCUUCAAGUCAAAUGAUUACUUGUUUUAACAUUCAUUAAAUUGACGACAUGAUGAGCAUGGGAAUGGGAUCCUUGUAUGGGCUAUCGUGUAAGCCACCUUUGCAUCACAACAUUGAAGAAAAAAACUCAGCAAUUCAAUGGAGGAUUAGUUGUUUAAAAAGACAAAAAGAUAUAAAAUGAUACAAUUUUAAAACUUUAAGACGUAAUGUGAGAAAAUUAUAAGUACUUCAUGAUAAUCUUCUUAAGUUCAAAGGUGUAAAAUGUAACUAACCCUUAUUAUUAUUAUUAUUAGGGUUUUUAUCAAAAACAGUCCCUGAAAUUGGGUGUUCGAAAUCAAUGUGGUACUUCCGUUACAAUUCCGUAAAAAAUUCUGUUAUGUGAUGAUGUCUCUUAUAAUUGGAUCCCACAAAUCUAAUUAAAUAUAGUUAUGUGGAUUAAAAAUAAUAAUAUUUUUAUUUUUAUAUAAUUAAAAAACUUUAAAAAGAAAAAGAAAAGAAAAAGAAGGUGAACUACAAGCCCAGCGACAUCCCUGAGCUCUUCUCAGCGUUGCCGUACUUUCAUAACCCCAACCAGCCUUUCAACCACACUGGGUUUGAAUUGCUGCGAUUUGGUCUUGAAUUGAGUUUUCUUUUUACUGGGUUUGGUACUCCCCCAUUUCAGUUUUCUUCUUUUCUGAUUUGGGGAUGAUUUGAGUUUUUUCCAUUCCAUUUCUAAUUCCACAACUUUACAGUUUCGAUCGAGAGAGAACGAAUGGGAGUGUUGUCGAACAAGAUCCUGAAGGAUCUUCUGAAGUCUGGAACACGGUGGAGGUGGCGAAAGACGUGAGCCACCGGGAAUGGGGAGAGGGUCUGUUGGUGCGGAAGUGCAGAGAGAAGACGGUGAAAUGUUCAUUUUUUUAAAAAGUUUUUAAUUAUAUAAAAAUAAAAAUAUUAUUAUUUUUAAUCCACAUAACUAUAUUUAAUUAGACUUGUGGAUUCAAUUAUGAGCCACAUAAUUUUUUACGGAAUUGUAACGGAAGGAUCAUAUUGAUUUGCAACACCCAAUUUCAAUGACUACAUUGAUUGAUUUUCAAUUUCAAGGAUCAUCUUGAUAGCAUGGGUCUGUGAUAAAAAUCCUUAUUAUUAUUAUUAUAUCAAAUUAAAUUGGAUGAGGAGAAAUAAUUUGAGCUGACUUCUGUGAUAAAAAUAUUCUUGUGAUAGCUCUUCCUAUAUAGGCAAUCAUACUACAUGAUUUUUCUUGCUAUUCACCAACUCUUAGCCUCUUCCUCUUCUUCCUCCUCCUAUUUGAUCAAAAUGCUUCAAAAUCCAUCUCUUAGACUACUUCUGGUACUCUCAUUGGUUUUCUCGUAUGAUCUAUCUUCAUCUGCAGUUCCUGCAACCAGUAAGGCUCAAGAAUCUCUCUUUUUCUUUCCUUUCACUUUUUAAAUAUUUUCUUAGGUCAUUUGGAUUCAGUAGAAGGGUCUAAAGCUGAUGCAACAUGAUAUACAUAUAUGCAGUCUAUCUGUAUACAAAAGUUUAUUUGUGCAAAAAAUAGUGGUUUAUUUCAUUAUUUUUUCUUAUAUAAAAGAAGUGGAUUAAUAGUUCGUUAUUAUGCCUGUUUUGUAGGGAGCCUCAGGUCAGAGGAGAAAGACUUGUCGGUCCAAGAAUCUCUGGUUCAGCUCUCUAUCUCUUUCGCCUUCUCAUUCAUUGUUUUCUUCUUGUUCUUUCCUUAAAGUAGUGAAAUAUUGUACCAAUGACAAUUAUUUUAGAGCGUUGUUACUAUCACUCUAAAACAUUAUCCUGUAUUCAUAAAGCGGUAAGGCAUUUUUAAUGAAAAUGUCAUUGUGCACUUCUUCAAGGUGAAAAGAAGUAUGAAGCAGUGCAUGAUGACUUUUUCAAAGUAUUAAUAACAAUUCUCUUAUUAUACUCGUUUUAUUAUGCAAUAUAUAGAGAUUCGUACAUAAAUUUAUGUAUGUGUUAAUUAUUUGCAAUUUAUCCCAUAAUAAUGCUUUCUUAAUUUAUCUUUCUGGCAGGGUCUAGUGGAUGUGGGGAGAGGAGACGAGGUGUUUGAUGCGGGCGAGGGAGAGAGUUUUAUUGAAGGAAGGAUGGCUAUAGAAAGUGAAGACUAUCCAGGAACAGGAGCAAACAACCAUCAUGACCCAAGAACCCCUGGAAAAGCUUAAAGAUCCUGUUCCCUCUCAAGCUUUAGUUUUAGUAUGUUUUACAUAUGUGUGUGUAAACUUUACAGUACGAUCCAUCUAGAUUCUGGACGAACUUUUAUUUGUGUUUUUGUCAAACAUUCGUAUGAAAGUGGAUGGAACUUUAGAUGUAUUAAACUUUUUUAUCUUAUUAAAUGGCAUGGGAAAUUCGAACUUGAGACAUUUUCAGUUUGAAAGAGAAAUUGCCCUUCCGAUAUGCUCUUCCAAUUCUACAAGUGAGUUUACAACACCUAAUUUUUAUCAACAACGGAAUCUUGUAAUAGCAGGUGGGAAUUUGAUCCUUGUUUUAUUUAAAGUUGGAUGUGGAUAAGUAUGAGAUCGGUAGGGGUGAUUAUCCUGCCGAUGAUUUCACCAAAAGCGCUUUCAACCAUUUUAAAAGCACUUCUAAACUAGCCCGUAGACUUCAAAUCUUCAUUUUAGAACUGGUGAAGUCCUCUUCUGAGUCAAAUGCCAAGAUAGAAUGUUACGAGGAUGGAAGUCCAGCUUUGAUUACUUGACACCCAUGUCUGCGAAUACUAUAAACAGAGAACUCAGUACAACUAGCAGAGGAUCUCAUGCUCCAAGUGUUUUUCAAGUAUCUGCCCUUCUGUGGCUUUACAAACCUUUUGCUAACCAAUGUAAUCGACAAGGUCGACAAAAUUGAUGAAGUUGUAAUUGGCACCUGGUGAGACCUUCAACAAAAUUGACAGCGCAGGAGCCGUAGUGUUGCACUUGAACGGGUGCACCUCAGCUAAAAUGGACGUGGUUUUGCCAAAGUUUAUUGAUUAGUCGGUUAGUGCCCCAGUCCUUACGAAGUUCCAACCUUGGUAGGUGGUACUUAGUAAGGGUCACUAUCACACCCUAGAUAACCUUCAAACCGAAGCAAGUUCACUAUCACAUCCAAGAUAACCUUCAAACCGAAGCAAGUUCACUAUCACAUCCAAGAUAACUUUCAAACACCUCUGCCCAAUCAAUCUUAUACUGAUUUGGUUACCAACGUUUUUCAGAACAGUGUUACCGAUAGAGAGCCCAGGACUGAGAAUAAUUGACAUUGUUAAAGCAUAUUAAGUUUUUAUAUAUAAAUGUUUCUUAACUUGUAGUAGUUACUUCCAAAAUAUGAAUUUGGUUUUUAAUAUCAGUUAACAUACUGAUCAUUUACUGGAAAAUGGUUUUGUUGAAGUGAUUUACCUUAUACUUUAUCAUCAUGUCUUUAGUUUCCUUACUAAGUGUUCAAACACCACAUUGGGGUUGUAUACCUCUAUGGCUUCCUGCUGGACUGGGAAAUGUAUUGUUGUGAGGAUCUAAUGGUUGUUUAUCUCCGUCUUCCUAGCUCUACUGGUAAUAGUCGCUGCUCAGGUAAUGGCUGGCCAACCCUAGGAAAGCACUCAAGGGUUCAAAAUAUUAUGGAUGUGGAGAAAUCAGAACUGUGUUUUGUUCCGAAAACAUUUAGAGUUGAUGACCCGGAUGAGGCUUCAAAGAAUCCUAUAUAUAUGGACCGCUUUAGGCAUUAAGCCUAACCAGAUGGAAUCCACCUCAAAAAUGUAAUGUUUAUCAGAACUUUAGAAUCUAAAACAAAAGGCAAGAGCCAUAUCUUGAAUUCAUCCAUGUUUAUCACUAAUUUCCCAGCCUCUGGUAUAUAUAGGGAGGAAAUUGUAAGAACUGCAAGCAUGCAAUGCUAGUAGACAGGAUAGUGUGGAAACCCUCAUUCUCGUCAUUCCUAAAAAAGUACGUAAACCUUCACUGUGUUUUUGCUCGAUUGUCUUGGGCGCGUAUUGCUGGUCUUGCUUCCUGGUCAGAUGUGGUGAUCGGUUUCUCACUUGGGUCGGUACAUUUUGCACUUCAAACUGAACCGUUGAUUAUUUCUGGAGUUUUGAGUUCGGACUUCAAAAAGAAAGGCAAUUUUACGAAAGUAUAGAUACUGCAAUUGUAUAAAGGUUGUUGAGCUACAUAUCUGUUCUCUUUUUGUUUGCUCAUUGUAAAUAUAUAUGCAGUAGUGGAAAACCCUCUUGCUUACCUGUCUGCUUCAUUGAUUCCACGAUUAAUCUUGAACUUUAGGCAACCAUUUCGGUAAAGUUAAAUUUGCAUGAGUUGUUAUGUUUCCGUGGAACAAUAUUACUGACUCAAUCAGGAUAGAAAAAUGGUUGCAAGAUAAUAGCAUGCAAGUCAAUUGGCUUACAAGUUUCUGUUUAUCUGAACUGAAUUUUAUCGGGUUUCAGUCAUAAUUCAUGGCUUCUCUUCUAUAACCGGUUCAGAUACUAGAACUUGCUUAAUAGUGUUAGGAAUGUUAGCUGAUCGUAAUGCGUAUUGCUAUAGCCUACCAGAACCUAACGCAUCACACGAGCUUCGCAGCUUAUCCUGGAUUUUUACUUUGUUCAGUGCAUGAUUUCCAGAGUGUAGGACUGUUUCUUGCAGAGUACAAGUAGCGGUCAAAGAAAGAGGAUUUCAAGAGGUGUAGCUAGUGUCUGCACUGCAGUACAGAGUAGAGUUGGUUACUUAUAUUGUAAUUUCGUUUCCGUUGAUUCUUUGAUUAUUAUGUAUGAGUCUCAGCUGACUCUAUGUUUUAUUAUAUCUCUACUUCCAGCUAUCACAUGUCAAUCCUGGUGUAUCUCGGGAUCAUAACGUGACAACUUCUGCCGACCCAAUGUCGAUCUAGGCUAGAAUUGCUUUCGUCUUCAGUUGUUUGGCAUGAUACUCGUCUCUUAGAGAUUCUUCUGUUUAUUCAGUCAGGUUUAUUGGUCUCGAGCUAUAAGUUUGUCUCCCCUUUGUGAUGAAUGAUUUUUUCCUCCUAACAACUCAUGUUUUUAAUCCUUUUUAGUUUUUUUUUUAAUGGAGUUCAAUUUUUGUCCCGCCCUUUUAUUUUUUAUUUUUUUCCUAAUCAAUAAUAUUUUCCUCUUACUGUGGAGGUUACUUGUCUUGCACGAGUAAAUUAUAUAGCCUUGUAUUUCAUCAUAAAGUCAUUCAUUCAUCGAUCAGUAAAGAUAAUAUACGUAAUUCUAACAUGGUAUCAUGACAAUGAAUUAUGAUAGUGAUAAUCAAAUCACUCAUCCUAGAGGCAAAAGUGUCACAAGAGUCUCCUAUCAAAAAGGCGCUGAAUGUACAAAUGAUCCUUCGACGUAUAGUUUUGGGCAUUGGUCUGGUGGCAACACCCAUCCAAUCUAGUGAGGUAAAUUUGAUUGAUGAAGUUACUAGCACCGUGUCAAUGACGCAAUACCUCUCGAUCAAUUCGAUAGUUUGGGGGUACCAAGUAGAUGAUUAGUGUGGUGAAUAUCAGUAGGAGGGGUAAUAUGUGAGGAUUGGAAAAAAUGUCUACCAUCAGAAAAUUAAUAAACCUCGUAACAACUAAUAAGAGCAUUUCCAAUUAUGCUCUUUAUUUUUUAGUUGAAUUUUAGCUAAAAAUGCUAGAAAGCUAUUUUAGGAGCUCUCUAAAAAAAUUAUACUCCAGCCAAUUAAGAGGAAUAGAGUACUUUAUGUAUAAAAUUAUAAAAAAAAUUGUAUAUAAUGUUAGGAGCUCCUUUCUCACUCAAAUUUAGAGUACUUAGAGCAUCUCUAAUAGAAGUCCCUAUAUAGGGACUCCCACCACCACUUUUAAGUAUUCAUUUUGGAGCUUAAAGGGAAUCUUUGUAUACUUAAAAGAAUAUUACCUUCAAUAGUGAAUAAAGGUAGUCCUUACAGUAGAAUUCCUAAAUUUGAAGUUUUUAUGAUUUAUGUGAUAAUUUGAUUACGUGCACAUUUUUUUUUUAUGUUAACAUUUUUUAAUUAGUUAAAAUCAUUAAAAGUAAAACCAUUAAAAUCUUCAAUCAAAAUUGUGGAUUUCGUUUUUCACUCAAGGUGUACAUUUUUUUUUUUGUUUAUGUUAACCAUUUUUUUUAACUAAAUAAAAACAUUAAAAUUAAAAGUAUAAAAAAUAUUAAGAGCUUCAAUUAAGAUUGUGGGCCCCGUUUUCCACUCAAGAUUUUUCCUAUACAGUCUCUAUAUGUGAGAACAUACGCUAUGUAUUCAGUGAGUCUUUAUACUUUAGGAACUCACUUUCCGACCCAUUAGAGAUCCAUUUUGUCCCUAUAUUUGUUUUAUACCCAUGUUAUGCGGUGGUUGUCCGUAUUUAAGGACUCUACUGGUGAUGCUCUUAGCAAUUUUGUUAUCAUAUGAGCAUGUUAAAUAGUGCAAUAGAAAAUGAUAAUUUCUAGAUAAUCUUUAAUUUUUACUUAGGAGCAAAAGUGAAUGCAUGUAUGGACCAGGUGAUCCUAAGAGUACUCAAAAGUCCAAAGAAGAGCCUGUGAAGACAUUCGAGAACCACCCAAUGGUCUGGGCAGGUGGUGAAAGAGAGAAGACCAUGAUGGUUAUGCAGAUGUUGUGCAACAUUAGCUCUCAACCAAGAAGAAAUAUCACCAUGGUUCUGCUGUUCUUGGACCUUGGUUUCAACGAAGAAGAAAGACAUUCUCUCUCAAAUUCCCACGUGAUCAACUCCCCAUUUUUCUUUAAAAAAAAAAAAUGUUUUCCAAUCAGGUUGUGCCACCUAGCAUUUAUUUGAGAUGGUGUAUUACUCAACCAUUUAUACCAUAUGUUUGAAACUGUUAUUUCUUAUAAAAUCAUGAUAUAUAAGUUCAAGUAACUACGAGUUCAUAGCACUUUACAAAAUAUUUUUCGGAGAUCAUAUGAACUUCUAUCUCAUACCAUCAAAUUCACUAAAAUACUAAGGCACAAAUUAUGACAUUUUUCUAUGUUACAUGUUAAUAAUAAACCUAAUUAAAAUAAUAAACUGAAAUUCGCAAUACAAAUAUAAUUUUUUUAAGUAUAAAUAACACUUAUUUAUAUGAUAUAUAAUAAAUUUAUUUAAACUCACGCGCAAGGUCUAGCAUGUUGCCUAACUAGCGCCCUAGUGUACCUUGAUUAUGAGUCUAUGACCACCCAAUGUUAAAUCUUGGAUCCCCACUGGUUAAUUCAUUGGAGAUACUCUAAGGAGUUGGCCACUCACCUUAACUUCGAAUCCUUAUAAUAUUAGAUUCGUUAAUGUGUGAAAUUAUUAUACAUGCUCCACAUUACUCCAUAUGUGUUGUUUACGUAUUCAGCUUGACUACAACCUUAAUUUUACCAAAAUACCGAAGAUUACAAAAACUUAAAAAUAGAAAAUUGUAAAAUCCAAAAACACCGGCCAGAUGGCACUCUAAAGUUUUAUAUUGGGAGAAUGGAACCCAGAAAUAUAAAAUAUUUAAUAGUGGGAUAUAUAUAUGACAUUAAAAUUGUGAUUCGAACAAUUAUUUCCAUAAAAGCAGGGGAACACAUUUGGCGCUUGCAUUGAAUGUGCAGGCCUUCAUGACUUUUGAUCAAAGUUACAAUAUUAAACACGAAAACGGUUCAUUCUCUUUUCAAUUAUUCAGAGAUUAUUUUUAGAAAAUUAAUCUUAUUUGGAUACCGUGUAGACGUCAUUGUUAUCAUAAUCGUGAAUUUGUUUGAAAUGCAUAAAUAACUAAAUAAUCUUCAAAUUUAAUGAAUUAUUUUUUAAGAUUGUUUUUAAAUGAUGAUACAAAAAAUAAAUUGUUUCGAUUAUCAUUUUGUAUCACAUCGAAGGGGGAAUGGCUUCUUACCAAACAUUAUCAUUGUAGAAUUGAGAAACUCAAAAUCCUUAUAUAUGAAUCUGACAAUGAACAAUUAUCGCCGUUCACUGUUUCGUCUUCGUAUGACCAAAUUCAAGAAAAAGGGCGAUCUGCUAAACUAUACAUAUUGCAUUUCUAAGUCAAUUUUGGUCACGUCUCAACAAACAUCACCAUUAUUAUUGUUUUCAACAUGAUCAGCCAUCCUUGUCUUUCAUAAUCAUUAUCCUCUCAUACUUCUUCUAUACCCCACAAAAAUUGAUCCGGACGUUUUUAACUAACAAGAAAAUGAAUGUUAUAAAGUCAGAUCACAAUCAUGGGCACGUUUGAAAAUACUUUUAUUUAAAAUAGUUGAAAAUGCUUUUGACGAAAAUGUUUUUGAAAUCAAUCCUUAAUAAAAAUGCAAGUGAAUUAAAAAACAUUUUCUCUAAAUGUGCUUUCAUUCAUUUUAAAAGUAAUUACAAACAAGACCCGCAAUGCUUACUAUAAAGCCAAAUGCCCAUCAUUUCUAAACGAGAGGACUCUAGCUAGGGAAAUUUCCUGGAUAGGAACUAUAGAACCACGGGAGAUAAUUGCUUACUCAUUGUUUUUAUAUACCAACUUGGAUAUACAUAGGAACAAAACUUAUUUCCUAACAUAUACUGAGUCCUUGUUUAUGUGAGGACAUAACAUCAUUUCAUUGUGUAUACACUAUAUAAUUAAAAUCGUUCAUUCUUUUUACGAUUAUCCAAGAUCGUCUAUAGAAAAGUUCAUUUAUUUUGAAGAUUGUUUAGCCAUCUAUAUUUGUCGGAUAGUUUGACAAUUAUGGCAACAAAUAAUAUACUUAUGAUGAACCGUCAAUUUAUUAUAUUUAUAUGAAUUGACUAAAUGUUCUCAGAUUCGAAUGAAUAAUUAUUCUAUAAAUGAUCUUUAGACAAUGAUAAAGAGAAUGAAUUUCAAUUAUAACACUUAUAUAUACAAUAAAAUUGUAACACAUCAUGUGAAAAAGAAUAUUUCUUACUUGUAGUGUCUAUAUACACAUAAUUUUUGUCACUUUUUGUAGUCUUUCUGUCAAUUUGCUAUUUUAUAUUUAGCUUUGUCACCUAUGUUUGUCCUUGCGCGGAAAAUUGUGUUGCUUUCAACAUAUACAGAAAUAAUUUUCAACGUACAUAUCCUUUUUGCAUGCAUCCAAAUUAUUCUUCAAAAACCUUGUUCUCUUACUUUUGUAUACCUCAACCCUUUGAUCUUUCACGCACUCCAGCUAAUGAUCCCAGUUCAUAACUCGUAUUUUUCCAUCUAUAAAUGUUCCUCUACAUCCUAAUGUUUUCAUAAACUAAUACUCCUCAUCAACAUCAGAUCCUUAUCAUUGUUCUCCUUUCGAUUACUAAUUUUGGAGAGAGAGACAAACAUUUGAGAUGAAGAUCAUUAAGACUUCGAUCCUAGCACUUUUCUUUCUUCUUCCUUUUGUAGUGGCUGACCUUAGGGUUAAUUUCUAUAAUGCUACCUGCCCCCAAGCUGAAUCAAUCAUACGUCAAGUUGUGCAGAAACGGUUUGCAACUGAUUCAUCUAUCACUGGGGCCUUGCUUCGCAUGCAUUUCCAUGACUGCUUUGUUAGGGUAAGCUACAUUCUUACAUUGAAACACACUUUUCUAUUGUUAAUAUGUACUUCUAAUUCGAGAAAUUAUUUUUCUUCUUAAUUUAGGUGAUAUUUUAUUAAUUAACAGUCAGGAUCAAAAUGUAAGUGUAAUACAAUUUUUAUUAUGUGUUCGAAUGUAGAUUGAUACUCGAUAUUCAGUCAAUAUCUCGUUUCAUCGACAAUUAACCAAUGCACUUUUAUGCAUAUUACAGGGUUGUGAUGCAUCCAUACUUAUAGAUUCAACCAAAAAGAAGUCAUCUGAAAAAUCGGCAGGGCCAAACUUGACUGUACGAGGAUACGAGCUUAUUGACGAGAUCAAGAAAAGCCUGGAGGCUGCAUGCCCUUCAACUGUAUCCUGUGCCGAUAUUGUAACCCUAGCAACCCGGGAUUCAGUGGUUCUUGCAGGAGGGCCAAACUAUGCUGCUCCAACAGGACGCCGUGACGGGCUCGUAUCAAACCCUACCGACGUUAACUUGCCCGGUCCAUCAUUUUCAGUAUCUCAGGCAUUGCGAUCUUUCAAUGUCAAAGGGAUGACCCUAAAUGACAUGGUGACCCUAUUGGGUGCACACACGGUUGGUUUUGCCCACUGUAAUUUUUUCCAAGAUAGGCUCUCAAAUUUUCAAGGGUCAGGAUCUCCUGAUCCUUCAAUGGAUCCAGCUUUGGUUUCAAAGUUGAGCACACUUUGUGCAGCUAGUAACAACCCCACUACAUUUUUGGACCAAAACACAUCUUCCACUUUUGAUAACCAGUUCUACAACCAGAUUCUUUUGAAAAGAGGUGUGUUGCAGAUUGACCAAGAGCUUGCUUCGGAUACAUCUACGGCUGGUAUUGUUUCUGGAUUUGCAUCAAACGGCGUGAGGUUCAGUCAGAGCUUUGCAACUGCUAUGUUAAAGAUGGGGAGUCUCCAGGUUCUGGUUGGAAAUGGGGGUGAAAUUAGGAAAAACUGUAGGGCUUUUAAUCCUGCCAAGUCAAAGAACUAAAGUAUGUUAAGAGGGCUCUAAUUAAUUGUUAAUUAGUUUCAAUAUUCUUUCCUGUGAAGAAUCUGAAGAAAUAAGUCUUACUAAGUCGUUGUGCAUGGUUGUUUGAUUAUGAUUGAUAACUACUAGCCAGAGGUGGCAAUCAUGUAUGAGGUGAUAGGAAUUAUGCCAUAUGGAUAAGCAAAUCUCAGAAUAUCUAUGUAUUAGAACUAGUGGCGACCAUGUAUUAAUGGACAAAAACAUAUCGAAGUCGAACUAUAAUAAAAUAAGAAAAUGCAUGUUCUUUUCUCUCUCUCUCUCUUUUUUUUGUUGACCAGCCUUAUUAUUAUUAGGGAUCAGGAUUCGAAACUGUUACAAUUAUUCAAGGGAGGGAGAGUUUUGAACCCACGAAGUAUGGAUGGAAAUCCAACACCAUAUCUACAAGAAUAUUGAACCACAUGCAUUUUGUUGACCAGCCUUGUUCAUCUAUUAAUUGACUCGAGCCGCUUUUUAAGAAGAAAAAACUACAAUUAAAAUGAAUAUUUCUUGAUUUAUGUUGUUGACUUAUUAUUAAGUGGGUUUUUUUCUUUGUUGUAAAUUAAUUUGUAACUCUAUUCAGAUUACUCCAAACGUGUAUAUUUGAGCUUGAUAUCCAUAUUGGAUAAUACUUGCCUUCAUAUGGCGUAUGAUUCCUAUAAAUGUUGAAAAGUGCGAGAUGUGCGACUGCACAGGGUUCCGAUGAACCAAAGGUUUUUGGCUGACAAAAAUUGCAGGGGGUUGGGAGGUUGUGCAGGUGCGAGGAAGAAGAAGAUGCGUAACUUUGGGCCUCACUUAAUACAUAUUUUUUAUUGUAAAAAUGACAAAUUGGAGUAAAAAAUACCUCUAUAAUCAACAAAAAAUGGGCCUCUAUAACCUAUAAAAACCAGUAAACCUGUGCAAAGAAAUGCAAAUUUUCUCUUUCCUCAUGCUCUAGCCUCUAACCCUUAUAAAAAAUAAAAAAAUAAAAAAAACCUUUCAUGUCUUUAUGCUUUGGGUUUUAAAAGAAAAUAAUGUAUUCGUGCUUGUUAUUGAAAAUUUGAAAGGCAAUAGAUUUUUGUUCUUUGUGUUCUUCAAAAUUAGGUGCUAUUUUUAUUUUUUAUAGAAGAAGGGCCUCAACUUAUUUUCCCGCACAGGCCCUUCAAAUCAACGGACCGGCCUUAUUGACCAACCUUGUUCAUGAAAAAAUUGCAGAUAUCUCACCCUAUGCAAAAAAAGUGUCAUCGACGUACAAAUUUCAUAACAAGUGUUGUUCAAUUUUUUAAUAUUUAUUUGAAUAUCAUCCAUAAUCGAUCUUAAGUCGUCUUAUUCAUAUUGCAAAUCAAAUUCUCAAGUUUCAAAACCCAAAAUCAAAUUUCAAUUGAAGUCUCAAACAUGUGAGUUAUGGCUUAAAAGAAAUGUGAGUUGGCUAAGAAAGAUGACGGGAAGGUGUCCAGCAAGAGGAGGAAGAAAGAACCUUCAAGGUGCCACCAUUUCAUCUCGGAAAAAAAUUGGUUCAAGUUGCGUAAACACGCUUUCUUUCAGAAUUCAUUUGUUCUAGUGUGCAACAAAAAAAAUAUCCAAAUAAAUCUUAUGAGUACAAUAAAAUUAUCCAAAUUUGAGACUAUAUCAUCCAAACGUUUAGGUCGACGUAUAUUGGGCUUUUUCCUUUUUAGCUUCAAGGGCUGUUGGACUAACAUGACCUAGAGUGACAUCAUUGAAAACUAAUUUGAGCCUACUUCCUUUCUCACCCACAGCCACCACCGGGUUAUAGCAAAAUUAUCUUUCUGAAUGAACAAUACAUAGGCAACCAAAGUAGGUUUAAUUACUUCAUGAAAAAAGUCUGCCUUUCUAAAUGAACAAUGCAAAACCAAGUGGGAAAAUAUGUUUUGAUAUUUUUCAUGGCUUAUUAUAUUAACACCCCACAUUUUCUUUUUCAAUUAAAAAUUAUCUUAAUACACUUCGCAUACUUCCUCAUAAUACCCUCACAUCCCAUAUUCUUAAUAUACACCUUACAUUUUCUACAUGUACCCCAUAUUUUCUAUACACUCCACAUUUAAUUUGGACAAAAAAUGCCAACUGGAAUUUUGACAAAAGUUGCUGCCUGGGAUUUAAAGCAUAUGUGGGUUGUUUUCAAUUCCACCAUUAAAACCUAUGUCAUCUGUUUUUAAUAUUUGGUGGCAAUUUUAGGUGUUUAAUUCGUCAUGUAAUCCCAGUGAUCCCUAAAAGAAGAAUACGAACAAAAGCUUCAAUAAUGCAUCAAAAGAAAGAUUAAAUAAUUAUCGAUGUCAUCAAAAUCACUACAACAAUAAAAAAUAUGAAGUCUUACCUCAUGUGAAGCUUCCGAAACAUCGAUUUCGUGUUUCAUUCGUCAAAAAUAAUUUUUCUCAAUCAACAUGUUUAUAGUUUCAUUGGUUUCAUUUUUGUUCAACAAUGGAGGAUUGGAGGGGUUUUGAUAGUUGAAGAAAAUAAAUAAUACGUUAAAAGUGAUUUGGGUGUAUAUAAUUUUUUUUAACCUACUAAGGUCAAAAUUAUCAUUGCAUGGUAGAGUAAAUAAGUUAUUUAAUACUAAAUUUUAAUGUGAGGUGCAUUUAACAUUUUGUGAGGUACUAAUAUAAAAAGUUUUUUUUCAUCUUUAACAUUCAAUUUUAUCUUUCUUUUUGUCAUCACCCGUUUUGCGUACUCUUGGUGAAGUAGGCAGCACUGCCAACUCAAUUGCCUAUACCAUGUUAGCUAAUUUAUACCGAAGUGGCUCAUCAAAACAUGUUUGCCUAUACAAUGGGAGAUGAUCUCACAAUCAGCACACUAUUCUAGCCAAAAAAAAAAAAAUCCAAAAAAUCAUCAUCAUUUCGGAUCUCAAUUGUUAAAGUAAUCAACUUUAAUAUGUUAUCUUUAUUCCGUUAUUAUUGAUUAUUAUAGUGACAAUAUUUGAUUUUAAUGAGUUUAACAAUUAAAAAUUAAUUUCUCACUAUUGACAGUGCGACUACUAAAGCUACAGUACUUGGAACGAUAAAGGUACCCACAAGCACAGUGAAGAUUCCUUGUGCUGUCACUGAAAUUGGCAGUUUUCCAAUUCUAGCUAAAUUCCACCUUGUAAACUUGACAGAAAUGGAACCCUGCCAAACUCCCAAAGUCCCAUGCAACAUAAUUAUUUAAUAAACUUUCUUGUAGGCUUCAGUUUUUCUUUCUUCUUUCUCAUUAAUUUCUUUAUAUAGUGUAGAAAACACUUUUUAUCUUUUGUUUUUUAAUUUUUGGAUAAAAUCUACGGCUAAGAUUGUAGAAAAGGUAUUCCAAGAGACACCGACCACUACCAGCAUCUGGUUCUGCUUUUAGGGCACAUCCUUCGAGUUUUUCCAGUUUUGCAUGCUCACCGUUGAAUGAACUGAAUAUUAGACAAAGUGAACGUGUGUAUUUAUACCAAACUAUCAAAACUAGGCGCUUUCGGUCCCAGUUUAAUAAAGUUUUUGCGAUAUUUUCGGUUUACACACAUUUGAUUAAAAUUCUUCCUCAAAAGACCCAUCCAAAGUUUUAUCAUAAAAAAAAAAAAAAGAUCCAUCCAAAUAUAUUAAAAAUUAGGGUUUUGGAUUUGAGCUUUCAGUGUAAUAUUUUGCAUUCGAAAUGACAGAUUGAGCGUAAUGAGAUAAAAUUAGGGUAAUUUAACUGCAGUUACAAGAAAAACCAACACUGUUUGUGGCACAAAAUGGGGUGGGGCUCGUGGCCUUAAUUUGUUGAUUUUUUUGGUAGUGUGCCAAAUCUCCAGCAUCACCAACCCUUAAGGUUAAUAUGUGCCUCAACAUAAACAGCAAUAACCUUUCCCUUUAAAAAUGUUAGUCAUGUGACCUUAGAAGACAAAUCAUGUUUUGAGUUUCAUAUUGUAGGUGGAAGUCUUGCGUUUAAAGACGUCAAAAUCUUGAGGCUAUUGAUAUAUGUCGAUUGAUUUUAUAUUAGAUACUCACAUCAUAACAUGUUAUAUCAUUGCCAAAUUUUUUUUAUUAGUAUGUCCAACAGUCUCACAUGCUUCCGCGUCAACUAAUAAAAAUUGUGCAUAAGUAUAGACAUAAAAGCGCCAUACAUGAGGUGCGUGAUAAGUCAUCUCAUGUUGAAGAUAGAAGUCUUGCUUGGAAGGCUUAAAAGAUCUUUUGGGUUGGACACCUUCAUUUUAAUAGAUAUCUUUUUCAUUUUUGUCAAACAGUUUAAUAGAUAUCUCAUGUAACACAAAAAAAUAUGCAUCCCUACAUCGUUAUUAGUUUGUCGAACUAGUUAUCAAAUCCAGUAAAUUAAAUCAGUAACGUCCAAAAAUUUUAAUUAAUUAUAUUCAUGUCUUCAAAGAAGACUCUUUCUCAUAAACUAAAUUUUUGCGACAAGUCAUAUAAGAAGUUCUAGUGUUCCUAGUUGAAGUAGAUAUUUUAUUUUUUUAUUUAUAAAGCUUUAUAUGGAGAAUGGAAUCAAACGUCAGCCUUCGAGUGACCAAAAUACCAACUGAAGUACAAAUUCAUUAUUGAUUAAAGUAGAAAGUCUAUGACCGUUUGGGGUUCUAACUUCUACUUUCUAUUUUAGUAGAGUAAUAAAUAAAACUCUAAACUCGAAAUACACGCGAUCGAUCUUAUGUUACACAAAAAAAUUUAAUUAUAUAUUUUCUUCCAAUUUGAUUGAUAUAUAUUAAAAGACGUUCUUGUAUUCCUUGAUGAAUCAUAAUUUUUAUAUAUACAAAUAAUAAAGAAAAAAGAAUCAAACUUGAGACAUCGAGUCCAAUAGUACUCUUAACCAACUAGCUUACAACGAUCAUUGCUGGGUAAAGCAAGAACUAGAUGACCAUGUAGACUUUAAAUUUUUUUCUUCUUUUAGUAGAAUAAUUAAUAGAACUCCGAACUCGGAAUACACGUGAUGUCACGUUAUGCUGAAUAUUUCAGUUAUAUCAUCAUCGUUAUAGUACUUCUUUUAUUUAACUUACUCCUAAGCAUUUAUACUAUUGUUUAAGGAAAGAGUGCUUCAUAACUACUAUAAAUAAGAUAUGAAUAAAAAUUUGUGCAUAAUGGUAACAUCAUGUAUAUUUCAAUCUUCAAUUAAAUGUCGAACUAAGCCACUUGGAUUAUCCUCGCGGUGAGGGUGUGUGAUAAUUGAUGGCAGUAGGUUAGAUUCAGGAUUUGAAACCUUUAACUGUAACAAAAGAAAAAAUAUAUCGAACUAUGCCCCUCAAACAAUUUUCUUUCUUUCUAUCAUCAUAAUUAAGUGAUAGUCUAACCGAAGUUAAUCUAAAUUAUGAUGCGCAGACAAACGUGGAUGUAUUUAUAUUGGUAUGGCAAAUAUGCUCUCUUUGCGCACCCGAAUUUGAAUUUCCGCUCAUAAUCCGUAUGACAUUAAAGUAAAAUAUGAUCCUUUCAAAAGAUUACAAAUAAAGAAUUCAAACUUUAAGUGCAAAAUGAGAAGUAUGAUGCUCCUCGUAUAUAAUCUUUAAUUCGAUGAUAUAAAUAUGUAAUUUGCAGUAAUGCACGCAGAAAGUAACUGUAAGUGUUUCAUGAUGAGUAGCUACUUUUUGUUUUGUUUUCUUAUCAAAUAUUAUUUAUGCCUUUCUUCCUUUCUGAAAAACUAGCUAGAUCCCCAAGCAUUGCAUAUCAAACAUGUCCUCAGAAAACAGCUAGAUCCCCAAAAUAUUAUGCCUUUCUUCCUUUCAAAAAUAAUAUUAACCGAUCCCUUUCUUUGUACAAUUAUCAUUGUUAGUAGUUUAUGUUUUGGCAAACAAUAUCGUGUGUAGCUCUUGGUUUUUUAAAGUUACAAACUAUUCAAAUACAUGCAUCUGACACUUAAUCAAGAAACAUAUAAUGAUAAAAGGCAGUGACAUCAAACUAAAAAUAUUGAUUAAAGCAGCCUCCCUUAUUGUAUAUCAGGAAAUCUAGAAAUAAAGGGAUAUCAGGAAGUGUGAAUGUAAAAUGGACAGCAUCAUAAUAUUCGUACAUUGCAGCAAUAAACCUUAGUCAUGAAGCAAACACCGUAUAACCUGCAGAGUGAAGAGUGCAUGCAGAUCCUGGAAAACAAAAAGUUAAAAAUGCAUAAAAGCCAGCACAGACACAAAACCGCGCCUGAAAAACAGAGUCGGUUCCUGUUUUGUUCUCAAAGCCCUAAUAUUAUAUUGCAACAAAGAUAAACCAAAAGUGCUCGAUUUUUAAGCCAACCUUUACGGCCUCUUACCCUCCUCUCGUUUAAUGUAAAAUAAAUAAAAAGAUUUAAACUCUGCUAGGUUUGUCCAACGUCACAGAAUAAAUUAUUGCCACGGUUUUUUGACCAUCCAUUUGGCCUGUUCCUCCCUCUCAUCCUAUUUCUUUAAUGGCUUCUUCUUCUACAGCUUUCCAGCUUGCCUUGCUUCCCUUCUCAGUCACAUGCACUUACUCCUGCUCUUUCAGACCUUAGUUUUCUUGUCCAUCUUUCAAACUGCACACCUCUCACAAUUAUCAUCCCUUUUGUUUUACUAAUUUGACCUUAUCUUUUGGCUAUUUUCUCAUGCAAACCUUGCUCGUAUAUAGUACGUAUACAAUACAAUGGUAUAUUGAUUCUACAGACUUUUACUCUCUCUUAUAUAUUUCUCACGCUAAUGAAUUGUUGAUGCACAAAAUCAGUGAGAUUUUAGAACAAUGUAAAGUGUCAAGUUUAUGAUAUUUUCAAGGUUGUUCCGGUCACCUAGUAAAGAUAAUAUGUAAGGAGAUAAAAAUGGAGAAGCAAACACAAGAUGUACAUAGUUCACCUUAAGUUAGGCUAUGUCCACGAGGGUAUAGGAGUUCUCAUUAAUAUUGAAGAGUUUACACAAUAUAUAGUUCCAGCAUAAUCAUUAUUAGUGAGUCCUAAUGAUAAGUUUAAGUACAAUAACAACAUUCAGGAUUAAUUGUAGGAGAAUGAUCUUCUUUUAUAGUUGAGGAGAGUCUUUGGCUUCCACUACGGUCGAUGUAAGACUCUAGGAGCUUUAUUCUGAUGUUGACACAUGUCCUGUUGUGACUAGCCUCCUGAUUAGAGAAAAACUCUUGUGCUUCAAUAAAGGUACCUCUAAAAAUUCUUCAAUAGGUCCUUAAAGGUAUGAAGUUAAGUGAUGCUCGUUAAUUUCAAGAUUGGUUAAGUAUGAUACUAACACGAAUUUUCUUUUAAACUUCUCCUAAUAAAUUAUGAUUUUUUCCUUUCACUAUUUCGAAUCACUUAUCAUUUCUUUGAUUGAAUAUUUAUUUAGCCUGCCUAUUAUGUUUUAUUCAUCAUUAUUCACUAUACAUUCCCUAACAUUAUUAUUGCUAUCAUGAUAAUGUUAUCAUUGACUAGGAAUUGAAGCUUUUAUACUGCACAGUGCUCUUUACGUAUGGUAUGCAACAACAGUAAUAAAAUCUUAUCACAAUAAGUGGUGUUGACUAUGAAUUAUAAAAUGACAAUAUGCUCGGUUUUGCGCUCAGUCUUCCAUUAGCUCCCCAUAAGUCUUUUCUUAAAUUAUCUUUACAAGUCUUCCUAGAACUUCCUAUACCCUUUUUGCCUUAAGCUUCUGCUUCAUAAUUGCAUCUUCUAACCGAAACAUUUAUUAGUCUUCAAUUCACAUGUCCAAACCACCUUAACCGUUUUUCUCUCAUCUUAUCUUCAAUUACGGCCACUUCUACUUUACAUCAGAUAUCCUCGUUCUUAAUCUUGUCAUUUCUCGUGUGCCUACACAUCCAACGAAGCAUUCUCAUCUCUGCUAUGCUCAUUUUUUGCAUGUAUUGAUGCUUGACCGCCAACAUUCCGUGUCAUAGAGCAUUGUGGGCCUUAUUGCCCUCCUAUAAAAAGAUUUCAUUGAGUUUUAGUAACGUACAUUUGCCUCACAACACACCUAAUGCACUAUUACACUUCAUCCAUCUAGCUUGUAUUCUAUAGUUAAGAUCUCCAUCCAAUUCUCUGUUAUUUUUCAACAUAGACCCAAAAUAAUGAAAGCGCUCACUCUUUUGUAUUUCAUGACCUUCAAUCCUCACCUCUAUCUCAUUUGGACCCACAUUUCCAUUGAACUUGCACUCCAUAUACUUUGUAUUUAACCUACUUAAGCGAAGACCUUUAGAUACCAAUCCUUCCCACCAAAGGUUAAGCUUCGCAUUUACUCCCUCCUAUGUUUCAUCUAUCAACAUUAUACCAUAUGCGGAAAGCAUACACCAAGAAAUAUCAUCUUGAAUAUGUCUCGUUAACUUGUCUAUCACCAAUACAAAAAGGUAAAGACUUAAAGUUGAGCCUUGGUGCAAUCUAUGGUUAGCUUUCAGUUUUUCCUUCAUGAGUUCUUACUGCAAUUCUUGCUCCAUAUCCUUUAUUUCUUAGAUAUAUGUUACACAUACUUCUUUCUUCUCUAGAAUCCUCCAAAGAAUUUCUCUUGGGACCUUAACAUACACUUUUUUCAAAUCUAUAAACACCAUUUGCAAAGCCUUUUGCAUAUCUCUGUAUCGUUCCAUUGAUCUCCAUAAAGAGAUAGAUUGCCUCUAUAGUCGAAUGCCCUAGCAUGAACCUGAAUUGAUUGUCUAAGACCCUUGUCUCUUACCUCAAUUUGUGCUCAAUCACUCUCUCUCAAAGCUUCAUUAUAUGACUAAUUAACUUAAUACCCCUAUAGUUCAUACAACUAUUUUAUGUAAUGAACAGUAGAACUAUAACCAUAAACCAUGUCUCUUUGUCUCUGUGGGAAACGUAUCAGUGAAUAUUUCUACUAUCUUGGAUGAUUAUUAUUAUCAACCUCAACACACUUUAAGAAUGAAAAUGCUAGGGAGAUCUUUUUUUAGAUCAUAUAUUUUUAAUUAUAUUACAUGACAGUUGAUAGUUGGAUAUCAUCAUUAAUGAUAUAAAGAAAAAAAUUCAACCAUCAACCAUAAUGUUAUGUGUCCUACAAAUAUGGUCUAAUUAAAAGGUGGUCUCGAGAGCAUCAACCCUUCAAGAAUAAUGGGAAUACUCACAAUUAUAUGAGACUACUAUUUAUAGGUUUCCAUUGUUUCUUAAGAACGUCAAAUUUACUGUUCAACGCAUAAACCUUUCAUCAAUGUGCGUGCUCUAUGACAACUCUUGAUUGAUAAAUGAUGGAAGCUGAACAUGAGGCAAAAUCCUUCGCCACCUCAAGUAGGAGUACCGAAUAUCAAGACCCCAAUCGAGGGGCUCUAAUACAAGAUAAAAAUCAACGAGCCACAUAUACUAGAAGAGUGCUAUCAUUAUCACAAAUUUAAGCACAUUUCGGUAGAACCUGAUGUGAUGAGUCGAUUUUAUACUAUAUAUUAUUCCCUAUUUUUGGUAAAUUUUGGUUAUUAUUUUGAUGAGAUUUUGAUGCUUUACUAUGUGUUUUUAAUGUAAGACAUGCGACUUGUUUUGAGCGUAAAGUAAUCAAAAGGUGGAGUUUUUUAGUGAUUACAAUUGGAGAAAGUUCAUGAAUCUGUCAAGAAGAUUUUAUCAAAAUUUCAUAAUUUUAUCCCAAAGCAUCAGAUCGUGGCAAAUUAAUUUAUGCCCAGUGUGCAGUGCUGGCAGAUUAGGCUGCAAAGCUUAUUUGCGACUUUUGGGCUGGAAGAUGAUGGAUUUUGGACUUGGGCUCUUCUUGGAACUUGAAGAGAAGGUCCUAAUAUUUAGUUUGCUUCGCUUUAGGUCUGUUUUGGAGCCCUGAAGGUUAAAAGAAACGUGGCGAUUUCUGUGCUGGGCAGAUUUCCUAGUUAGAAUAGGAAUGUAAUUCCUAGUUAUCUUUUUAUUAUUUUAUUUCCUAGUUUUUUGAAAACUUUUUCUAUGAGGGUUUUAAUUUGGAGUAGUAUAAAUAAGGCUUUUUAGCCAUUAGGGUUUUUUUUGGGGGGGGGGGGGGCACGCGUUAUUUUGACUUUUUACCUACAAGGUGUUUUCAUUCUUUUCUAGUUAAUGAUAUUUUCUUUAAUUUUUAUUAUGAGUAUGCGUAACUAAUUCCUUGUACUAAGGUUAGGCCAUGAACCUUAGCAUGAAUAUGUAAUUUUAUUAAUUUGCUUAUGAAUGGAUGCAUGUUUGCUUUGAAUUAUUAAUCACCACGAUUAAACUAUCUAAUUGUCUUAGUGAUUCGUGACCAUUAGGGAUUUUAGACAAGUAAUUUGAUGCAAUUUCUAUUGGAACAUCACCCUGAAAUUGAAGAGGGCUUCUUGUGAUUAGUAAUUAUAAGUUCACUUAAGGCGGACAUCACGCUCUUAAGGGUUGCAUGGUUUUUCAAAGGGUUUUCACAAAGUUUAAUGAGUCUUGCAUGUUUAUAUUUGAUCUGAACAUCACAUAUGGGUUGCAUGUUAGAUAUACGUUUUCGCUUGAACAUCACGAGGAAAAUAUGCAUUAGGAAAACCUAACCUUCAAAACAUGUAUGUGGAAAUUCAUAAGUAAUUGGUACAAUUUCGUAGGAUUGUUAAUGGUGACGGCAGAACUCUAGUGUUUAAAUUGUUUUCCAAAACCUUUGUCUUUUGCUUUCUUUACUUUGUCAAUUAUUUAAUUAUUUUUAUUUAAAUUCGUUUUUAUUAUUUUAAAUUCCAAAAUCAACAUUUUUUGAACUUUGUUCUAAAUAAUUAGCUAAGGAUUAGUUUAAAUACAAAUUAUUCAUUCAAUCAUUGCGAAAACGACCUUACUUAAACUGUUAUACUACGACAACCUUGUACUCUUGCAAAUAUUUUUAAAUGUUUUUAUCCCUACUUUUGCAGGCGGUAUAAAUUUCACAUAAACAAAUAAAAGCUUUGUGGAGCUGAGUGGAAGGAUGUAAAAGUUUUGUACUUUCUUUUGGUGAAUUGCAUGCAUGCAUAUACGACAAAGAGGCCAUCCCAUUGAAAUAUAACAUUAAGAGAUCAAUGGAGAGGAGUUGAUUGAUAGAUAUAUUGUAUAGCUGAGAUUAUGCCACUUCUCAAAAGAUUAGAGAGUUAGUUAGAGUAUGUAGAAUGUGCACUGUUGAGGUUCUUGUAUAAAUACUCGUUGUAAUAACUUUCCCAUUGAGAAAAGUAAUACAAAAAGCACUUCAGCUUCUCUUUGCUUUUUCUCAACUUCUCAAUCUUCUUCUUCCUCUGAUUCCUUGCUUUCUUCUUCUUGAUUUACAUUGAUCACGUUGUUCUCUUUAAAGAAUUUUGAAAGGUUGCCUCCGUUUUGGGGUCGGUGAACAAUUUGAUGAAGGCUUGUAUUGUAUCCAUUUAGCUCGAUCCUCAAUGAAUGUGUGCAACUAGUGGAGGAGUUCGUGUCUAACUCCCAAGUUUGUGUUUAUCAGACUUAGGGUUUCUUGUAAAAUAUCACUUUCUAUUGUAAUUGGAGUUCUCUAUUUAGAAAAGUUGGGAUACGAGAUGUGAGUGGUUAAGUCUAUUUUUCUUAUAUUUUCCUCUCUCUUUUACAGUACCAGACGAUCAAGGUCGACCCUUUUGAGCGUAUCUAAAUUUUGGUUGAACUACUCAAAUCAUAUAAAUAAUGCUAGGGUUAUUAUAUAUUUGUGUCAUAUUUACAAGUGAUAUUCUACAUUCUUCUAUAUAUUAUGAAGAAUCAAAGAAUUUGCACCUGAGACGAUAUUUGUGUCACAUUUAUAGUACAAUGACUAUUUUUAAGUGUCAAUAAUUAAGAUCUUUCUUAAAUUAAGAAAAAUUAUAAAAUUUCAUGUUUUGCUAACAUAAAUUUAAAUAAAAUGCCAAUCCAGAACUAAAUGUGUACCUAGAAUCGCCAAUCCAAUUGAGCCAUGAUAUGUGCAAAUGAGGCGGUGGGUGGUGGUGAUAAUGGUAGUGGUCGUGGGCAUGUAGUGGUGGUGAUGAUGCAUAUAAAUGGUUGUUUUUUUUUCAAGCUCUCGCUUUCAUAUAAUUUUAGAAAUGACAACUAGUUAGAUGAAAUUUAAAACUCGGAUUUAUGCUCCAAAUUUCUUUUGUUCACAUAAAAUUUCUAAAUUUUUUAUGUUUGGGAAAUUUUAUUGAAACCCAUGUAACAUCUUUUUACACCCAACUUAAAUUUUAAAUGUUAAUUGUCUAUUUUACCCUAUUGCAUAAUUAUUAUUAAGUACAAAAUGAAAUUAAUAAUAAAACUCAAAUUUAUCAAUAAACUCAAACACUAUAAUUAAACUCUAGGAUCACUCUUUGUUUAUCUUACGUUCAUUCCGGCUAAAACCCUAAUAGCUCUAAUAGAGAAAAACAAGUUUUUUUUAUUGAUGGAUGGUGAUUUUGAAGUUUUAAAUCCUCCAAUUUGUCCUACGUUUAUCAAAAUACCAAUGCACCAAUAUUAGUUCUAGCUUUACUAGCUAAACAACAACCAAUGGCAUCAAACGAUCUAAGCUCCCACGAAGAGCUCUAGCUCGACUCAAUUUAUUCUUCUUCAUUCCUCCUUUGAUGAUCUCCUCCUCUAGUCCCAUAGAUUUUUCCCAAAUGAAACUGAGGCAUGGGUCAAGAUAUGUGCCAUAUUACUAUUGUCUUUUGUUGCACCUCUAUGAAUAAGUAUCCUAGUAAUCCCAAUGUAGUGCAAAGACUCAACAAUCUGCAGUGCAGGCACACAUUUGUUAGUUCGAGCAUCAGCAUCAGCUCCUUUCUUUACCAACAUCUCAAUCACAUCCGCAUGUCCCAAUUCCACUGCCAGUGCAACGCGAUGUAUCCACCAUCAUCUUUAGCAUCCAUAUCCACACCAUUUUCAAGCAUCGUUCAAAUGACUUCUAUCUUCCCUUUGAAACAGACUCUAUGAAGAGCAGUCCACCCAUGUAGGUCUCUUCCAUUGAUUGCCGCAGCUGACAUUGAAGAACUCACCGAUGUUUUCUCCAGAUUCUUGUGCAAACCACGUGCUCAAUGAGCCAUAAGGUUUAUUUUAUUAAAGCUAUUCAUAUCUCAUGUAUGCAUACACGAUUGAAGACUGGCAACAUAUGCAUACGUGGUCUGCAAGAAAUCGUCUAGGAUGCAUGUGGGAAUGGUUUAUGACAGAACAUUGAUGUUGAAGUUUAGUUUUUAUGGUAGGUAUGAGUCACCUUACUGGAGAGGCCUUGCAGAAAGAUGCAUUCAAGUAGCAUGGAGAUACAGAAAAAAACACCUACAGCGAGCUGACACCUCUCAGUCUCAAUCUCAUUCUCAACCUCAACCUCAAUCUUGAUCCCAAUCCAAUCAUGCAUUGUUAUAAGCUAAUUAGCAUAUGGGUGUAAAGAUAAUUUUACAUUUUGAAUUGGUUUUGAGAGUGUUGUUUAGGUAAUAAAUUUGGGUUUAAAGAGAUAUUAAUUCUUUAAUACAAAACAAUAUGGGUGAAGAGAGUAAGUUGGGUGUAGAAAGAGGUUAGAUGGGUUCAAAUAAAAUUUCUCUUUAUGUUUAUAUAUCCAAACAAAGGAUUUGAUUUAAGUCAUUUUAGAAACAUGUUUUCUUCAAAUUCCAAGAUUAUUUUCCUCGUCCAAAUUAAGGUUGCUUACAUUUGUAAUUUGCUUCCUUUUCUGUUAUAUCUCUCGCACACCCUUCAUCUCACCUUCUUCAGUAACGCACUGCCAACUUCCAUCAUAUGCCCCGCAUGUUUGAUGCUCUAGUUUCCUAUUAAAACAUCAGCUGGCAUCAUAUUCAUUAAUGUGAUCAAAAUGUAUACAUGUGACCUCUCUAGUAUUAUUUGUUCUAUAUUUUCUUGUUUGAUAGUAUUAAUUCUUCGUCGACGGGAAUAAAAAAUUGUGAAGGGUAAUAAUGUAACUUCCUUUAUGGUAAUAUAAUCAAUCAAAUGCUCUUUCAGCCCUAUAUAUCCCCUCAAACCUCCCUGAAGCGGUUUACUAUGUAUUCAUAUGUACUUCAUGUUUCUCUUUAUAACUUUUUCUAGUUUUCCCAUUCAACCUAGGUUUCAGCAGCUUCAAAGACCAAGACCUAACGGAAUAUAUGGAAGAUCAUCAUCAACAUCAAGGCCAAGACCCUGACGGUAGUAGUCCAAGCAACGGCUCGACCGAGAGAAGCCCUGAGCCGGUGAGGUCAAGAUGGAUACCGAAGCCAGAGCAAAUCCUAAUUCUGGAGUCAAUUUUCAACAGUGGAAUGGUGAAUCCUCCCAAAGAAGAAACUGUGAGAAUAAGGAAACUGCUUGAGAAGUUUGGCUCUGUUGGGGAUGCCAACGUUUUCUACUGGUUCCAAAACCGCCGGUCGAGAUCUCGCCGCCGACAACGGCAGUUGCAGGCAAGCCUUGAACAAGGGACCAAUAAUAAUAUAAACAAUGAUCCAAUGGCUUCUCUUUCUCAUCACCAAUUGCGUGGUGAAAUUCAGUACGGAAUAAGCUGCAGUGUUCCUGCUACUGCUCCUCCCUUGGCUUUCGGAGCUUCUCCUAAUAAUUUCCUUAUGGGUUCUUCAUCUUCUUCGUCUUGUGGCCAUCAUCUGAUAACAGAUAAUGAUGUUCAUCAUAGUACUGCUUGCGUUGAUGAUCAGUUCUUUCCAGUUUCUGGUCAAAUGGGGUUUCCGGAAAUCGAGCAGAGCUCCGGUGUAACGUCUGCGUUAGGAGGAGGCCCUUCUGAUACCUCCAAUUUGCAGUUCCAGUCUGGUAAUUGCAUGGACCGUUUCACUCAUUUUUACACUUUCUUUGUACAGCUAUAUAUUCGCACUCUUUUAUAUAAUUACAUUCUCUCAUCUGAGCUCAAAUUAAAUCAGUUUUUCAUUUCUUCAGUAAGUUUAAUUUGUUAUAUCAGUUUCCUAAAGCAAUUGUCUUCAAUUUUGCUGACUAAUAUUACACUGUUGAAGUUCCAUAGAUUCCCAAUUAGUAUGAGAACGACGGAGUAUGUGAAAGUUAUUGUGUUCGAAUUGUAUGAAAGUUGUAGAUUUCCCUAAAUCCAUGUAACUUCUUAUUGUGGCAGUCUUUUCCACUCGGUUUCAGAUUGCUUUUAAGAAAAUUUUGCAAUGAAAAAGUGUAACCUUUUUAGGUAGUUGAAAUGGAUUUAAAAGAAAAAAGAAAAAGAGAGUAUACCCCAUAUACAUUAAUUAUUGUUUGACAAUAAUAUCGAUUUCCAUUAUAAUAACAAUCUGCAGAACUUCAUUGUUAAUUCAUGAAGGAUAUUCGUUAAGUUUCGUAAUACUUAAAUGUAAGGAAAAAUAUUCUCUGCUUUUGUUUGCCCUAAGAUUCUGUGAUCUUUUUCUUGUACAAAAGCCUUUUUGUGUUCUUUUGGAUCUUUACACUAUGAAACCUGAAGGACAUCUGCAUUAGUUUAAUGAAUCAUCCUCAAGGAUUUAAUAAUGAUAAACUCAAGUGCUAAUCGAAUCAAGAGUCUAAUGUCUUUUUCAAUUAUGUAUUUGUUAAUGUGAGCCCUUUAUUCCUUGAACACGGGUUGAAAGCUCCGGCAAGAUUUUCUCCAAUAACCUUCACUUUGUUUUUUAAUAAUCCUAGCUCUUGUAUGAGUUCUUGACCCAUCAAUGAAUAUCAUAUCUCUCUCAAAACCCAAAUUAAGAAGCUUAGCUAUUACAAGAAGUACUGAAUCCAUGAAGGGUCCAUUAAUUUAUUUUCAGGUCUCAUCACAGUGUUUAUUAAUGGGUUUCCAACAGAAUUUCCCAAAGGGCCACUUGACAUGAAAGCCGUGUUUGGCCAAGAUGUGCUAUUGGUUCACUCCUCUGGACUCCCACUUCCAAUCAAUGAAUUUGGUUUCUUGGCACAAAGCUUGGAGUCUGGUGAAAGCUAUUUCCUGGUAUAAUACUCUCUCUCUCUCUCUCUCUCGUGAGUCAUAAAUAAAUUUACAUUCUUAUGUAUACUGCUGAUUAAGUCGCCAAAUGUUUUGUUAAUGCAGGUUUCAAGACCAAGUUAAGCACAAUUUAAGCUGCACCUACAAUAUGGGAGCUUCCUACAUGUUUCUUCAUCAUUUUGCCUUCUUUUCUGGUUUCGUUAUCGUCUUUCGUUUCCCCCCACCCCCACAGUGUGAUUAUUAGAAAAAUAUAUCUAUAUAUUAGCUACCAUGCAUGAUAGUUUAUGGUCAAUCAAAUUAUAUCCUUUUUCUCUUCUUUCUUUCUUCAUUGUAUUACUGAAAUUGACCUCAUCAGCAUUGCACAAUAAAUUUAGGGACUUAGUAUAUGAGACAGCAGCAUAUUAGCUUGCAUAUUUUUGUAGAACAAUAUGGAUAUUAGGUUAUGGAAUGCUGUGUGUUUUUUAUUAAAAUCUUAUCGUGGAUAUAAUUUAAACUCAUAAUAUCUUUCAACAAAGAUGGUUUGCCUAUAUAUAUGUGGCUUAAAUGUGGAACUUAAGGUGACUUGCACAAUAUAUUUUUCUCCACUUGUGAAUAUGAAAUACCAGGUUUAACUCAAAAGAUUGUGAGUUUGAUUCCUGAUUAUUUUGUUUGGCUCGUUGCGUAGCUUAAUCAAAUAUCCUUCGUCCCCAUUUUCCCUCUCUGUAUAGAAUAAAGAAAUGUGACAUUUAGGACCAUUACUCGGCCAAGUACUCUAGCUAAGGCCUUGUUUAGGAUUUUGGUUCACAUUGAAAUAUUGUUUAACUUCAAACUUAAGCAGUAAAAAGUGUUUGAUAAAAUAAACAUCUGAUUAUUCUAAAAGCAAUGGAAUCUGGCAACAGCUUUUAAAAGCACCAUCUAAGUUGUUUUUGAAAGCUUUUUCAUCAGAAAAACAUAGCCUUUAAUGAAGUUUCAAUUCUCAUAACCCUCAUUGGUUUUUAACUUUUUAGAAAUGAAAUCUACCCUUAAUCCCCCCAACCCAAACCACAACCUACUGUGCACAACCAUACUCAACAGCCUCCAUCUUCCACCACCCGCCACCACUUUCAACUGCCACCACUUCCACCACCUUCACCCCAACCAACCCCCCAUCACCAUCAGCCCUCUGUCAUCACCGUUGUUGCACCACACCCGAUAUUUGCCACCACCACCACUUGUAUCACUCCAACCAAACCCCAGCACCAACCAAUGUUCUAAAAAUAGCUUGGCGGUAAUCGGAAGACCCACAUAAUCCCGAUGAUAAUACGAUAAAGGCUAGCAGAGGAUGUCUUAUGAUUUGGAAGAGCAUCAACUACUUGAUUACCUCCCUUAUAAAUGUGAAAAGAUCAAAAAUCUACUUGGGAACUCUAAUGCAAACAAUUCCUCUACUUCACCCUCAAGUGGGAAAGCACCAACUGAGGAAAGCUAAGAAAUGUGAAAGGAUCAAAAAUCUAUUUGGGAACUCUAAUGCAAACAAUUCCUCUACUUCACCCUCAAGUGGGAAAGCACCAACUGAGGAAAGCUAAGAAAUCAAGAACCAAAGCAAAAUCAACUUCCAACCAAAUAAAAUUUCAAUAUCGAGCUGAAUCAUUGCUAUUACCUAUGGCACAACAAAAUUAGAUAUCAAAUAGAGUAAACCGUUAGCUUUUCACUAAUCUAAGAAUUCAAGUAGCAAGUUUGAUAUUGAAAUUACUGAUUAAAAAUCAAAUAACUUGAAUCAGAAGAACGUAUUCUAGCCAAUGUUUAAAAUAUCGGUAUGCAUGGGUGGAAAUGUCAGUAUGCAAAUUCGUGAAAAUAUUGACGGAUAUAUCAAAUAUCGAUAUCGAUAUCGGUUGCUUUCGAUGAAAAUGGUGAAAACUUAAAAUUAAACUUUAGGGAUUGUCAAACAUUGAUUUGGACGAAAUAUAAGAAUUUUUCCGAUGUGUUAGAAAUAUCAACAAUAUAUGUCGAUUAUAGCCCAAAUUUAGGAGUUUCUCCGAUAUGAUGUGAAGUUUAGACUUCAUCCCCCUUUCCGUAUCUUUCUCUGACUUUUUGGAUAUUUCCAUAGAAAUAUCAAACAUAUCGAAGAAAUUUUAAACAUCGUCUAUAGCUCAUUCUAACUAUUAAAUUGUCGACAAUCGACAGUAGCAAAACUAGGUAUGUACAAACAAGACAUGGUGUUUAGCGUAACGUGUAUCCCCUUCUUUCAGCCAAAAUAUGUAUUCAGAGGUUAGUCGGUGGGUGAAUAUGAGAUUCUUCAGAAUCUCUUAUCAAGAAAAAAUACGCAACUUUUAUUUCUUCUGCAGCAGCUUGCCUUCAGUUUCUUUAGGAAUCCCUUACUUAUCCAGAAAAAAUAAAAAUUAAGUUCCAAACUUUACUCUUUUAAAUUAGAGUUAAAGUAUAAUGACCAAUUCUAAAGUUUCCUCUCAUAAAAAAUACUAACUAAAUUUGAUUUUUUUUUUUUUUGGUCCACCUCUCACACUUACGCAUGAUAGUACACUACUAAUCACUUAAGGUUAUAAUAUGUGUAUUUGUUCAUUAAGCAAUAUUAUAUCCUUAAUGUUGUAUUGUGAUAUUGUAAAUUUAGAUCAUAUAUAUUUUAAACAAGGUUUCACCUAAUUAACAUGUGUUAAAGUUUUUUUUUUUUUGGGUAACCGGAGAAAUAAAGAUUUAGGUGAGUUAAACUAUUCAAAAGACUUGACAGUACUACAAUAUGUUAACGACUUAAAAUUAUGUGGGAAAAGGAACUUUUUCAUAUAGAUAUCUUCCUCAUUACUUGGCAAGACACAAAUAAGCAAAUUCCUUCUUAGUGUUUCCCAAUCGUUGGGUUGAAUGUAUAGAAAAAUAUGGCUUAAUGUUCUAAGAAUUCUAGGUAAGUAUAUACAAAAGUAUGGCUUAAUAUGGUUCUUCCUGUUGGCCGCUCUUGUUUAGGUACACGUAUAUAAUCAUUACUCUUACCUCAUCGUUUAUCUUCGUUCUAAAUCUUUUGGAAUCUCUCUCAAAUUUUCUUUUUUGGGCAAUCUCCAAUUUUCUUCUCGACCCGAACAAAAAUGAGUGGGGAAAAUAUUGAACAUAGAAGUUGAUGAAACUGCAUGGCCAGUAGUACGUGCUGGAUUCCUCUCCUUGAAUAAAAACCCUAGAAAAGAAUAAGCAACUUGGCAUCCACACCGACCAAUAUAACCAAUCCAAAACAGACGGAUGUUCGGUACGGAAUAAAAUACUAUGUGAUGUCAAAAUUUAGAACUUUUAUUGGCUGGCAUCUCCUUUAAAAUUGCUUGUUUAACUUUCGUUAGAUUCUAUGGUUCUAUAGAUGCCAUAAUAGAAAAUUACUGUGCUUAAAUUUUAAUAUACAUUGUUAGCAAGGUUAUUGAUCUUCUUGUACUUGACCAACGAACAGCCAGUCAACCUUUUUGGGAAUGCAAUGUUGAAAGUUUCAAGGAAAGGGUGGUGCCAUCUAACAUCUAUUUUUCCCUCACGCAUCCUUUGUUAAUUUUUGUAUAUUGAUAUUUUUUAAUUCAUUCGAUUCAACAAUUGCAAAUUAAAAAAGAUACGUGAGAGGUAAAAAUGGAUGUGUAGAUAGCAUCAUCCUAAAGAAAAUGCUACAAAGACCAUUUUUUUUACACCAUAAUUUGUAAACCAAAUUAGCGGAUGGUUGAAAUCCAUUUUUAAUGAAUUAAAGAAAAAUCUUGUUAUAUAACAAAGUUUGUCAAUAUCUUCGUUAAGUGGAGAGGUUGGUUUGACAAAAUUAUCCUUAAAAAUGUGGUCAUGCGGUUGCUCACUUGACAAUUUAAUGAGAAUAUUGACCAUUUUUUACAAAAUAACCAAAAUGAUUUACGAUGGACAAACUUAGAGACCACUUGUAUCAAUUUUUAUUUUCAAGAACCAAAGUGAGGAGUUAUGUCUAUCUCAAAGACUAUUUUGGCUAAAAAGGGUUGGUUUGACAAAAGUAGCAUGAAAAAGGUAGUCACGUGGUCGCUCUCGUGACAAUUUAAUAAUGAUGUUGACAGAUUUUUCGGAAUGAGCAAAAUGAUUUAUGGUGGACAAACUCAUAUACCACUUCUACGAUGUUCAAUCUCAGAGACUAAAGUAAAAAAUUAUGUCAAUCUCAAGUAUGAUUUUUUACUAAAAAGCUUAAUUCGAAUGCAUUUUCACAAAGUUACAACAUAGAAGGAGAUUUGAAAGAUCUUGAUGCAUACAAUUAAACAAGAUAUUCACGUUCCUUGGGCAUAUUUUAUCUAUCCAAAAGGCUAUUUUGACACAUUCUGCAACAAAAUCCUAACUAUGCGCUAAAUAGCAUCUUUCGAGAAGCUACCAUGGCAUCAAUUGAUUUAACUACGUUAGGGCACAACUAUAAUCAAUCUUGUAUAUUUGGUGAUUCUUUCGGACAUUCUUGUUAAAUUUAUAUGGGUGAUGUUAAUGGCCUCCUAGAUCAUCUUCAUCGCUAAAUCAUAUCAUCCUUGUUAAGUUCUUGAGCUUAUGCAGAAGUAAAGCCAGCACUUGAACAUUCAGCUCCUCUUUCAUCUUCCUCAGAAGCUCAUCAGUACGCAAUGAAGUAAUCUUAUGACACGGAGCUUGAACUUGGCGUACUCAGAUUCAUCAAAACUUGUGAUAAAGACUUCUCAUAAACCCUAAACCUAACCCUAACCCUGCUAAGAUACCCACCCCAUAAUGGCCUAAACACAAAAACAAGGGCCGGAAACAAGGGGCACGGAUCAGAAAGGAAUGAAAGCCCAGGUCUAAACAGUUAAAUUACAUGUAGAAAAAUGGAUACCAAUGGGCCUAUCUUACUUGGGCCCCAAACUGUCCAAAUUUAUGCUAAUUCUAAUACCAUUCGUGACCUCGAAAUGCAAAGUAACAAAAAUUUCAAAAAUAACAUUCUUACAAACAAAAAUAAAAAGGAUCAUUCCCUUCAUUAGAACAAAGGUCUAAGUUCGAGUCAAGCUGCCAAAAGUUUCUCUUGGUUGACGAUUUGUAAAAACUAAAAACUAUGCUAAGAUUUUCUUUGUAAGUCCUCAAAAAAGUUUGCCUUGGCCUUGAAAUGGGAUAGUCUCUCAUGUCCUAAACUUUUUGUAACAAAAAUAUAAAAUAAAAAGGACAAGAAUGUCUUCAUUUUGUAGCCCUAAUCAUGGUGAAAGGCUAGCACAUAUCAAGUGAAUUAUAAUCAGAAAAAGGCAUUACUCUCUAAAUUUUGGUUCAAAUAGAGUUUUGGCCCUUGAAUUAAAAAUUUAUGAGUUGGACUUGUCAUAAUAAGGAGCAGUGGUUCUUUUGGGAAACAUUGCUAGAAUUUAUAUACAAAAUAAAGAGUUUAAUACUAAGAGAAAAAAGGUUUAAAAAGAGGAAUAAGGAACAAAAAUUCUAACAUGGUUACUCAAAAUGAUCAUUGCUAAAGAUUGUGAGUUGUGACAAGUUUAUAAACUAGUACUCAGAAUUUUUUGUUUUAAACAUCAAAAGCUCCAAUUCGACUAAAAUUUAGAGUCGAUGCUGUAAUUUUUUUCUAAUCUAAAAGGAAACAAAUUUAAACUCUAUAAGAACUGGACAUGAGUGUGCCACUUCUCCAUUGAAAAGAAAUGUCAAAUGUGCCAAAUAAAACCAACCGCAUUGACAUGACCAUUCCCCUCCUUCACCCCUACUAGCUCUCACUGCAUAUAUGACUAGCACCAUUAUCCUGCCUACAACAUUGUCAUUCACUGUUAUUUGGUAUCCUUUGAUAAAAGCUCAUGCAAAGAUCUGUAGACCCUACUGGAAAUUCUUUUCCUUGUUUCCAUGUGUCUAAGACCCCACUUGAAUUUAUCAAUUACUCGAAAAGUUACAUUGUGUGACUAUGUAACACUUCAUGAUAUAUCGACCUCAUGUUGUAACUACAAUCAAAUUAUAUCACCUGUACUUUUUAGUUGAAUAUAUCGCAUGUAUUUUACUGUUCAUAUACCCUGAAGUAUAGAGGGGAAUGUUCAAAUUAUAUCACCUUGGCCGGCGCGUGGGUGGUCGAAAUUUUUUUCUAAAAAUAUAAGGAUGUUCGUGAGGUGGUGUAGAUCACGUUGGUAUAUUCAAACAUCUCAUUUGAGCAAUGUAUGAGAAGUUAUUAGUUAGUUUUGGUUAUGUGCUCUAAAUUAACGUUUAUUCAGUUAAUUCGCAUAUAAGUGAGACUUAUCCCAAGGACGAGCGCCGUCAAGGGCGAUUCGGGGACUACGACCCUUCGACAUACCAGUGAGUGGGCUUUUGGUUUUCAGUAUAUACUUAUAUACUUGAUAUUUUUCCCAGAAAAUGCAUUUAAUUGAAAGUAUGCCUUGAAAUGCCAUGCAUAUAAAUUUAUAUUCUAUAUAUGAAUUGGUAUAUGAUUCAUAAUAUAUAAUUGUGGUGAUGUGGACGUUCAGGUAAGCUCAGGUGAGUUAUGAAUUGUGAAUGUGAUUAAAGUUGUGAUUGAGAAACAUUGAGCUCAUAAACCUGCACCUAGGGUGAUUGUGAUUUAGACCGAGAUAUGACACAUGCCUGUUUAUAAUGUCAUAUCCCGCACCAUAUGCUCACAUUGGAUCCAAUUUAGGUGCAUAGUCUUGUCGUACAGACCAUCAUAGGCGGUUCAAACUCAGCCUUGUGGUUCCGACUAGCGAUUUAUCGCCCAACUAUCAUGAGAGCGUAGUAUUGAGCACGAUUGUAUUACACCCAGCCUUGUCGUACAGACCCUAUUAGUGGUUCCGACUCAUGUGUAGUGUAGUGCCGUAUAGGUCAUUGUAGCGACUCCGGCUAGAUUGAUUAAUGAGCUAUGAAUUCAGCCGUACAAACUUCUACAGGGGUUCCGGCUACUACGUUAUUCUCCAUGAAUUUAUUCUCACCUGAAUUACUUAUUUUGUUUAUAUCUUGGCAUGGCAUACUUAUGAAUAAGGUUAUGUGAAACAUGAUUUGAAUUGAGAUAUUUAUAUAUACAUUUAUGCAUAUGUUUAUAUUCUAUUUAUGGGAAAAUUAUACAUGUUUUACAGUGAGGGGUUAGAGGAUUUUAAUGAUGAAAUGGUUUUGAAAAACAUUUGGUUUUGCCCACUCACGUUUUCUGUUUUGCGCCCCUCCAGGUUUUAGGUAAGCUUGAUGUUGGUGGCGUACAAGGAUUUCGGCGGUUCUGACAUAAUAAAAUAAUUGUAGGAUAUCUUCUGGUACUGUAUAACUAGUACUUGUCCUUCUGGACUGCACCUAGACCUUCUAUGCUCUGAUUAGGAGUAUUUACACUUGUAUCUCACUCCUAACAUUUCCCGUUUAUUAGUGCACAUUAGUAGCUUUUGGUUUUUGUUUAUUUGUAUAUUUCUUAUCUUUAUUGCUUCCGCACUGUGCACAUGGCUAUGUCACCCUCACGUGACGGCCAUCAUGCCUCAAUCUCAGUCGGGGUGUGUCAUUUUACACAAAAGAGAUGGUACUUACACACAAAAAAGGGUACAUUUUACAUAACAAAGUGGUACAUUUUUAAAGACAAAUGGGUACAUUAUUAAUAAAUUAUGGGUACAAAUAAAAGGUCAAAAAAUAUGUGUAAAAAUAAAAGUUUGAAAAAUAUGGACACAAAAAGAAAUUAAUAUAUGGGUACAAACUAACAAAAGCUAUCGUUUUUAAAACUGAAUAGAAAAUUGGCAUAAUUUAAAAAAAGGGUUGCAAAUUAAAAUGGGUACAAACUAAAAAUAAAAAUAUAUGAUACAAAAUUUAGCCAUAAAUAUAAAUUUAUCAAAUGUAAAGUUUCCAACACUAAAUGAAUAAUUUAGAAAUAAAAUUUAAUUAUCUUGAUAUGUAAAAUAUUUUAUUAUUGAAAUAAUUAAUGAUGUUUAUUAAAACCAAUGGACCUUGAUUAAAAGUUGAAAAGAAAUAAGGUUUCAAUCAAUGGAGUUAAACAAAGUCGGAUAUAUAUAUAUAUAUAUAUAUAUAUAUAUAUAUAUAGAGAGAGAGAGAGAGAGAGAGAGAGAGAGAGAGAGAGAGAGAGAGAGAGAGAGAGAGAGAGAGAGAGAGAGAGAGAGAGAGAGAGAGAGAGAGAGAGAGAGAGAGAGAGAUG
rnacentral:lncRNA from 1 species